rnacentral:lncRNA from 1 species
CUUAUUUCUUGGACGGACAAGUGAGUGCUGUCCUUGAACUUGCCUGUGUCUUCAGCGCCUUGCAGCCUUGAGCUCGAACAUUACAUAGCACUGGGAGCUCUGGCAAAGAUUGAAGCUGCUUGCAGCCGACUAAGUUGAGUUCAGACAACCGAGAAGCUCGUUUGAUGCUUGCAGGUAUGCUCCUAAUCUUGGUUCCGGACAGAUAUAUGCGUUUCAAUGAGGUUGAGCAAACGAGACCAUUAGGGAUUACCAAUAUACCGCUGUCGCUGAGAUUUAGUUCUUCUAAAGAGAGAAAACCGGUGUAGGUGAAAGGCAAUUUUUCAAGUUCCGGACAGUCAUACAAGUAGAGACGUUUAAGUUGGUUAAACGGUAGAUGCUUGUUGGGAUAACCUUAAGGUGCUCGCAGCCACGAAGGUCUAAAGUUUGAAGCCCAAUUAGAUUUCCAAAUGACGAAGGAAGCUUUUGUACAGCUGUCCAUCGCAAACUAAGAGACACCAAAUGUUCCAUUGGCUCCAAGAUCUCUGGGAAAUGUUCAAGUACAGAGCACCCAUCGAGAUUGAGUUCCUUGAGAUAUUUCAACUUCCAAAUGUGGAUUGGUAAACUCACAAGACUGCCGCAACGAACCAAUGAUAAUUUAGUUAUAUUCAAGAAAACUCGCACGAGUUAUGCAGCCAUCUUGAUCAAAACUACCAGAGAAUUUCAGCUUACAACAGUUAUUUGGAAGUUUCUCAAGGUCUUUGCAAAGAGUUAUAUUCAAGUAAGAAAUGUUUUCGUUAGACCACACUGAUUCAGGCAACACCUUUAUACCACUUUCUUGUAAACCCAAGUAUUGAAUCUUUCCUGGCAUCUUUGGAAGAUACUUGAGGCUGGUGCAGCCUCCAAGAUUAAGAUGAGUAAGCUUGUCAAGAUGUUGAAAACACCCAGGAAUUUCAACCAAACUAAAACAGCCGCUGACAUUUACGUUCACAAUUUUUCACUUUAAAAGGCUUUCAACAACAGCAACCGAUGCCUGGUCCUGGUUCUCGGCACAUGGCGCCCCCAGCUGGAGGAAGGCCACCGAAGCCAGUUGCUCCUUCUCUAUGCUGUGGAAAGGCAGCAGGCCAAUCAGCAGAAACCCAGUGUACCAGAAUGGGAGAAACAUCUUGUAAAUCAACUGAGUACAGAGGAGGUUAACUCGCUGAAUUCAAAGUUCAAAGAAGCAACCGAAGCGGAUAAAAAGGUAUUUAAAACUUUAAUGUUUCCCCAAUUGUUCAGCUUCAGCAGCAAAGUGAUGUGUGCAUGUUACAUUCUGAUAAAUGUCAAAUCAUAACAAAUAUCCCAAAGACUUGGUAUUCUUUUGAUCGUGGGUUUUACUUUGCUCUUAAUAUCGCUCAUUUCCAUGGAAAAGAUUUUGAUCAAGUUUAAGCAGGGAGGCUGUUAGGGUUUUGAAGUUCAUAAUCAGUUCUUUGAUAUUAAUAAUUUUAAUGAUUACAUUCCUCAUGUUUUUAGUGGAUGGCAUUCAUUAUACUUUCUUUUUGAUACAGCAUGUAUUAUACUUUAUUGCAGUUUUGUUCCAUUUUCAGCUUGUUUUCCUCAACCUUUUGAUGUGAUUCCGUUUGUUAUUCGCGGGUAGAAGAACUGGAGAAAGAAAUUUUGGAUGCUAGAGAGAAAAUUGAAUAUUUCCGGGUCAAAAUGCAGGAACUUGUGAGCACCUCGUGUUUAUUUCUGCCCUUUCUUUCUUGUAAGUCAUUGCUUGUGCAUAUUGAACAUUCUACAGUAGUUUUAAUUUUUGUGUUUGAAUAUAAUUGUUCUACGAGUGAUAGAUUUUUGGACGUCCUAAUCAUUUGUUGCUUUUAAAAAAUCUGCAGACUUCUUACUAUUUGAUUUUUUUCAGUGGUGAAAGAUGUUUUUAUAUUUUAACAAUUGGAUGUUUGUGGUCUGAUCUGAAUUAGUGUUGAUUCUUGAAUUGACAAGUACACUUGGGAGGAAGUGCAGAUCAUGUGUUUUAUCAUUGUCCUAUAGCUUUAUAUGUGUGGCUGAGGUUGUGUAGGGAAGGAAAUGUAAGUUGGGUAAUUCCUGCAGGGUCAAUAAGUAGUUUGGUGGUGAUAUGAAGGCUUUUGUGAGGGUGCAGUAUGCCAGCAAUUUGUUGGGGUUUCUAGGUUUGAGAGAAACAUGAGGAUUUUUUAAAACAAUAUUUGGGUAGGGACUAGUUAUGGAAUAAAGUUAGAUUUUGUUCACCACGUUGGCCGAGUAUUUUCUCAAUUUCAUGAUCCAUAUUCUUUGAUUGGAAAGAUACUGUUUUUGGAUAUUCUGGUUUUUAUUGAAGGUCCUGUAUGUGGGAAGAAACUGUAUUGUUCAUGUAGUCUAGUUUUCAUUGUUGUCCGUUUUAAGGUGGGGGACAACUUAACCAAAGAGAUUGCAUUUUGUUGAGGAGAUUGGGUAGGCAUUAAAGCAUUCCUUCUUUUGCACCAUAAUGGUGAGGAAAUAAAGAUCCAAAUUUGGUUGAACAGGGAACUGAGGCAUGGGAAGAAUUUAUCACGUGUAAAUUUAGACCACACUUUUAGAAGAUAAUUUUAUAUUACAGUAGGCUCAGAAUUUUUUACAAGGCAUUUGACUAAAAAAUGUAGGACUUAUAUCUAGCUACUAGCAUAAGAAAAUGAUGUUUUAAACUUUCAGUUUUUGAAUGCUGAUUCAUAUUUGCUUUAAUCUGUUUUCCAUUUGGUAUAAGGUUUUUUGUACAAGAGCAGAUGUGACAAUCGCCUUAAUGAGAUCACAGAAAGGGCAUAUGCUGAUAAACGUGAGGUAUGCUGUAGGAUACUUGAGCCUAAGCACAUAUUUGUAUUAAUCUUAAGUUACUGUCUUGGCUUGAUGAAUACUACAUGAAUCUAGGCUGAGUCCCAGGCUAAGAAAUAUGAAGAGAAUUACAAACAAGCUGGAGAUGUAGCUUCCAAGUUAACUAUUGAAGAAGCCACGUUUUUUGAUUUAUAGGUACCUUUCACCACAUAUAAAUUUGUGGACAAUUAAUACAACAACAACAACAACAAAGCCUUUUCCCACUAAGUGGGGUCGGCUAUAUGAAUCCUAGAACGCCAUUGCGCUCGGUUUUGUGUCAUGUCCUCCGUUAGAUCCAAGUACUCUAAGUCUUUUCUUAGAGUCUCUUCCAAAGUUUUCCUAGGUCUUCCUCUACCACUUCGGCCCUCAACCUCUGUCCCGUAGUCACAUCUUCGAACCAGAGCGUCAGUAGGCCUUCUUUGCACAUGUCCAAAUCACCGGAACCGAUUUUCUCUCAUCUUUCCUUCAAUUUUGGCUACUCCUACUUUACCUCGGAUAUCCUCAUUCCCAAUCUUAUCCUUUCUCGUGUGCCCACACAUCCAACGAAGCAUCCUCAUCUCCGCCACAUCCAUUUUGUGUACGUGUUGAUGCUUCACCGCCCAACAUUCUGUGCCAUACAAACAUCGCUGGCCUUAUUGCCGUCCUAUAAAUUUUUCCCUUGAGCUUCAGUGGCCUACGACGGUCACACAACACGCCGGAUGCACUCUUACACUUCAUCCAUCCAGCUUGUAUUCUAUGGUUGAGAUAUCCAUCUAAUUCUCCGUUCUCUUGCACGAUAGAUCCUAGGUAGCGAAAACGGUCGCUUUUUGUGAUCUUCGCUAGAUUGCUCCGGUCAUUAGUGUGGAUAAGUAUAUAAAUGGAUAGAGACAGGAAAGCAAACACAAGAUGUACGUGGUUCACCCAGAUUGGCUACAUCUACGGAAUAGAGGAGUUCUCAUUAAUUGUGAAGGGUUUACACAAGUACAUAGGUUCAAGCUCUCCUUUAGUAAGUACAAGUGAAUGAUUUAGUACAAAUGACAUUAGGAAAUAUUGUGGGAGAAUGAUCUCGUAAUCACGAAACUUCUAAGUAUCGGAGUGCGGUAUCGUCUUAACUUGCCUUAUCUGUCUCAUAGGUAGAUGUGGCAUCUUCUUUGGAAGUACUCUUCCUCCAUCCAGGGGUGGUAUCUUUAACUGGUGGAGAUGCACAAGGUAAUGUAUCAAUUUCACUUGAAGCUUACUUGUAGUUUCAGGCUUGGUCAAGCGCGAUACAAACCAUGUAGUAGGAGUCCCCCAAGUCGCCGAGCUAGGGAUCUGCUGAAAGGGUGACAGACAAGGUAAGCAAUCAGAGCUCCGGCUGAUUGUUCACAUUCUCCCUAUCUUGCAGGCAGCAUGAAGGAUAAAGAGAAGAAAAUGAGAAGAGAUGAUAUGGGAUACUUUUGCUUUUGAAGAAGUAACUUUCCACAGGCUUAUUCUUGAACUGAGCUGGAGGGUUUUCUGGUUUCCUCCAGAGUAUAAGGCCGACUGAAGAAUUUGAGGGUCAAAACAAGUCCAUCAAAUCUAGAGUACGUUCGACCCUGCUGAUAUGGGAUACUUUUGCUUUUGACAGAGUAAUGGAUGUAUCGGCACGUGUGCUGUUACGCUUGUCUCCACAUGCUUCCUUGUAUCCUUCUCACUUGCCCUAUCUGUUCCUCAGGCAGAUGCGGUAUCUUCUCCUGGAAGCAUAAGAUGUUGAAGAUGAGUACUCGAGAGCAAUGGCAGGUAAGUAAUCAGGUAAGGGGUUCCAGGCAGUCAGUUCCUGGGUGGAAGCUUGAUUCCAAGUGCUGACUGAUUGCUCUCUUUCUCCUUGUCUUGCAGAUAAGAACAAGGCCAAAGGAAAAGACAGGGAAAAAGCAUGAUAUGGGAUACUCUUGCUUUUAACCCUGAUGAUAUGAGAUAUUCUUGCUCUAGUAUAGCUUGUUUGCAGAGAUAUUAUCGGGGGGAAAAAAAGCUGAAUAUUUCGAAAGGCUUCGUUGGGAGUGCCCUCUCAGAUAUGACGAAAGGUUGAGCAUUUUUGCAGGUCUGCCUGUGCGUUGGGGAUGGAGGUCGACAUAUAUAGGAGUCUCCUUAACAACAAGUAGUAAUGCUAUUCCUUUACCCUACUUGGUCAUAGCACGGUGGUGGGAGCUGCCAGCUUCAUAUGUUUUAACUCUGUCAGAGCACUUUGAAAAAGUGGUCUGUGGUAUCUGGAAAGGUGAUGUUGCGUGUGAAGAUUACAGACAGCUUUAUCCAAGGAGAUCCGGCUCUUGAAGUUGGGAAAGUGUUGCCUCUUCGGUUUUCGAACAAGCAAUCCUAUCGGGGAUCUGGCUCUCGAGAUUUGGAGAAAGAUGCCUCUUCGAUUUUUGAGAAAGCAAUCAUGCUGGGGGUCUGGCUCUCGAGAUUCGGAGAGCGGUGUCUCUUCGAUUUUUGAGAAAGUAAUCAUGUUGGGAGUCUGGCUCUCGAGAUUCGGAGGGCGGUGCCUCUUCGAUUUUGGAGCAAGCAACUUGUUGGGAGUGUUUUCUCGAAUGUGAGUAAAGGUUGGGCAUGUUUGCUAGUCUACCUUGCCACGAAGCACAGAGGUUGACAUAUAGGGACUUUCCAAUUAUCCAGCAAUGGUACUGUUCCUUUACCCUCUCUUCGAUUUUUGAGAAAGUAGUCAUGUUGGGAGUCUGGCUCUCGAGAUUCGGAGGACGGUGCCUCUUCAAUUUUGGAGCAAGCAAUCUUGUUGGGAGUGUUUUCUCGAAUGUGAGUAAAGGUUGAGCAUGUUUGCUAGUCUACCUUGCCACGAAGCACAGAGGUUGACACACAGGGACUUUCCAAUUAUCCAGCAGUGGUACUGUUCCUUUACCCUUGUGGGUAAUAAUAUGGUAGCUAGACCUUCAAAAUUUAUGUGUCUAAACUUUGUUAGUGCUGUUUCUUUGCUAUUCUUUUACCCUUCUUGGUCAGAGCGAUGUAGUGGGAGCUGCAAGCUUCACGUGCUCAACUUUGGCAGAGAACUUUGGCAAAGUUAUCUGUGGUACCCAUGAGCUACUGUUGCGUGUGGGAAGCGGGUGAUUGAACAGUAAGACUCAUGUGCAUUCUACUUCACCAGAAGUCUUCGACAGAAUGCCCAUAAUUUCCGCAAAGCUGAGUGUGCGUGUGACAGGUGCUGACAAGGCUGGAAAAGUAGGUGCCUCUUCGAUUUCUGAGAUCGGCCCUCGUGGUCUCUAAGCAGCCCAGCUUUUGAGAAAGCAAGCGCCUUUUCGAUUUCUGAGAUUGACCUUCGUGGUCUUUGAGCAACCUAGCUUUUGAGAAAGCAAACGCCUCUUCGAUUUCUGAGAUCGACCUUCGUGGUCUCUGAGCAGCCCAACUUUUGAGAAAGCAAACGCCUCUUCGAUUUCUGAGCAGGCGCCUCUUCGAUUUCUGAAGCUCUGUCGAGUGCAGAUUUUUAUAGGGGCUGGCAUUAAGUUCCAAAGCACACUUGAAUCUCCACCAGUAGAAGCUCCAUUCUUGCACUUCUAAGAUCUUGAUUUGUCCGACCUCUUCUCUCUUCAACACCUUUGAAAAUGUCUGGCCCCUCCGACCGUCGUUUUGACUUGAACAUUGUUGAAGAGGCAGCUCCGCCUUCUCCAGACAACAUAUGGCGCCCAUCCUUCGUCUCCCCUACUGGUCUCUUACCGUUGGGGAUUCCGUGAUGAAGAAUGAUAUGACCGCUGCGGUGGUGGCCAGGAACCUUCUCACUCCCAAAGAUAACAGACUACUUUCCAAACGGUCUGAUGAGUUAGCUGUUAAGGAUUCUCUGGCUCUCAGUGUUCAGUGUGCAGGUUCUGUGUCUAAUAUGGCCCAACGCCUAUUUGCUCGAACCCGCCAAGUUGAAUCAUUGGCGACUGAAGUGAUGAAUCUCAAACAGGAGAUUAGAGGGCUCAAGCAUGAGAAUAAACAGUUGCACCGGCUCGCACAUGACUAUGCUACAAACAUGAAGAGGAAGCUUGACCAGAUGAAGGAAUCUGAUGGUCAGGUUUUACUUGAUCAUCAGAGAUUUGUGGGUUUAUUCCAAAGGCAUUUAUUGCCUUCGUCUUCUGGGGCUGUACCGCGUAAUGAAGCUCCAAAUGAUCAACCUCUGAUGCCUCCUCCUUCUAGGGUUCUGUCCAGUACUGAGGCUCCGAAUGAUCCCCAUCCGGUGCCUUCUCUUUCUGGGGCUCUACCGACUGCUGAGACUUCUCCUAAGCAACCUUUGUGAAGGCUCCCUCUUGUUUGUUUAUUUUGACUUAUGUAUAUGUACAUAUUUGUAGCUUAUCAGGGAUAUCAAUAAAUAAGCUUUCCUUCUUUUGUUGAAGCUUUGUGAGUAGAGCAUGUAGGUUGAGGUAGUGUUCCCUUAAUUUCCUGAGUGAGGAAAACUUCUCGGUUGGAGACUUGGAAAAUCCAAGUCACUGAGUGGGAUCGGCUAUAUGAAUCUUAGAGCGCCAUUGUGCUUGGUCCUGUGUUAUGUCCUUAUUUAGAUCCAAGUACUCUAAGUCUUUUCUUAGAGUCUCUUCCAAAGUUUUCCUAAGUCUUCCUCUACCCCUUCGACCCUGAACCUCUGUCCCAUAGUCGCAUCUUCUAAUCGGAGCGUCAGUAGGCCUUCUUUGCACAUGUCCAAACCAUCGUAACCGAUUUUCUCUCAUCUUUCCUUCAAUUUCGGCUACUCCUACUUUACCCCGGAUAUCCUCAUUCCUAAUCUUAUUUCUCGUGUGCCCACACAUCCAACGAAGCAUCCUCAUCUCCGCUACACCCAUUUUGUGUACGUGUUGAUGCUUCACCGCCCAACAUUCUGUGCCAUACAGCAUUGCCGGCCUUAUUGCCGUCCUAUAAAAUUUUCCCUUGAGCUUCAGUGGCAUACGGCGAUCACACAACACGCCGGAUGCACUCUUUCACUUCAUCCAUCCAGCUUGUAUUCUAUGGUUGAGAUCUCCAUCUAAUUCUCCGUUCUUUUGCAAGAUAGAUCCUAGGUAACGAAAACGGUCGCUCUUUGGUAUUUCUUGAUCUCCGAUCCUCACCCCUAACUCGUUUUGGCCUCCAUUUGCACUGAACUUGCACUCCAUAUAUUCUGUCUUUGAUCGGCUUAGGCGAAGACCUUUAGAUUCCAACACUUCUCUCCAAAGGUUAAGCUUUGCAUUUACCCCUUCUUGAGUUUCAUCUAUCAACACUAUAUCGUCUGCGAAAAGCAUACACCAAGGAAUAUCAUCUUGAAUAUGUCCUGUUAACUCAUCCAUUACCAACGCAAAAAGGUAAGGACUUAAGGAUGAGCCUUGAUGUAAUCCUACAGUUAUGGGAAAGCUUUCAGUUUGUCCUUCAUGAGAAAGCUUUCAGUUUGUCCUUCAUGGAGUGCCGGCUGUCGACUACCUGACGCCCUCCCCCUCCUCCUUUAUCCGGGCUUGGGACCGGCAAUGUAAGAUAAACUUACACGGCGGAGUUUUGUGGACAAUUAAUAACAAGGACAAAAUUAUUUUAUAGUUUUUAGGCCUAGUGGGAUAGAUAGUUGAUGAAAGAGAGAAAGUAGUGUGGGAAAAUAGAAUCAGUUGAAUGUCGUACCCCUAGUGGUAUAUUCUUUUUAUUAUCACGGACGGGUUAUCUUACAUGAUUUAUUUGCAGGAGAAAAAAAUGGAGCUAUACAGGGCAGUUGUCAAGAUGGAGCAAGACGGUGAUGCUGAUGAUAAGAGUACUUACAUUAGCUUAUUCUUUAUCAAACUAUCUGAUGGAUUGUACAUAUGAGCGGUAGGUCUCGGGUUCGAGACUUGGGAGUAGCCUCUCCAUAAAUGGGGGUAAGGCUAGCCGACAUUCACCUCUCCCAGACCCUGCGUAAAGCGGGAGCCUUGUGCACUGGGUACGAUCUUUUUUUUUCUUUUUUAUUAAUAGCAUUGCCUUUCUAGAAGCCGAAAGUCAUGCUGUUGUUAAAUUAUCAAACUCCUACACAAAAACCCUUAUUUUCACUAUUAUAAUAUUUUCCUAAUCACUCUGGUUUGUCUGAUUAUCAUAAUUCGAAUUCUAUGUAGCGUUCAUGAGUGUGUCAUUUUCUUUUUCGUUAUUGUUCACUGCUGCAGUAUUUGUACUACAUUGCAUUUUGCAAUCUGAAAUUUUAUUCUGUUUUCAUAUAGGCUGGCAUCCAAGUAGGAGCUGGUUACUAGCAUGAGGAUCAGGAUAUGUUUGAAGACGAAGGUAUGGCAAAAAUGAAUUAUUAUAGGUCCAUUAUUGUCUCUGAGAUAAUAAAUUUCUGGUAGCACUUGGAUUCCUUUUACCUUUUCACCUUGUGGUAAAUGGAUCAUAUUGCCUGCUGUUGUAGGUUCUUUGUCAUCUGGCUGUGGUUUGCCAACCUGUUCAAGAGUUUCAAUGCAGUUAGUACCACCAAGGUAAGCUGAUAUUGUACUACAUUCAGUUUUCUUUUUUAAUUUUAGAGUGCAUUCAGUGUUUAUUUAAUAGAAAUCAAUUCUUUGACCUUGUAUUUAUGCGACAGUGUCUUGCUCCAUGAUUGCUGUUAAUACCACCUAGUUGUUUGUGGCGGUGAUCAUUUAUCUUUUGUUUCAAGAGUUGCCUCAAGUGUCGUUAUGCUUGCUGAGUUGUUUAGUUAUUAAAGGAGGUUCUGGGAAUUUUACCAAUGCUUGAACAGUUUCUAUCUUCACCAUGUUUCCAGUUCUGAUGGUUUAUCAUGUAAAUCUGUUAGUAGUACGGGUAUUUCAACCAAAUAUGGCGAAGAAUCGGUUGCAGGAUUGUUCUUGGUGCAAUUAAUUGCACAUUGGAGGGGACUCUGAUUUAAGCAUUGGGUCUUGGUUAACCAAGAUUAUUUUUGUGUUAACGUUGACAAGAGAUGGUGUCAUAUUGCGCACAUUUUUGGAAUAUUGACGGAUUCCAGGUUAAUCAAUAUAUUUAUCAUUGUUAAAAAUAGUGAAGGGGAAGAUCAAUCGGCCAAAAUAACCAUGAGCGGCUACGAUAUUGUAGGUUUCUUCCUCUGGGAAAAAAAAAAUUUUAAUUCUAGUUCCAGUGAAUCCACCUUCUUUUCUAAUAGCACGCCGGUUACGUAGCACUAUCAAGCUUUUUGUUUUUGCAGUUUUAUUUUUGUUAUUGCUGGCAUGCUGGAUUGUGCUGUAAAUGCUCUAAUCAUGUGUGAUGUAGGAUAUGGAUCAGGAGAGUAAGGAUUACUACUUUUCUGGCCCUGGGGAGUUCGGCCUCAACCCUAUCAGGACUGGGUCAUCACAAGGAGGUGGCUUUUCCCAGAAGAGCCGCCCUUUUUACUUUCGACGAUUCUGUUCCUAAACACCACUCCCAGCCUUCAAUUCAGGAUACUCACCGCAAAGGUACAAGGAUAGCUCAGAACCUUCAUUUGACACCUUCUCUAGGUUUGAUUCGUUCAGAAGCAUACAAGAUACUGGAUUUUUUCGUCAACCAGAAACACUCGGAAGAUUUGAUUCUAUGCGCGGCAGUAGAGAUUUUGAUCAGGGUCAUGGUUUUCCAACAUGAUCCGGACCUUUAAAAUUUUAAAGACCCGAAUCAUUUGAUCCUUGGAUUCUGAAUGUUUAGGUCCGGAGAGGAUCUCUUCCCCUUAUUUGUUAGUCCAAGCCUUGCCUAUUUGUCAGUCUUUUCUCUUGGACAGACAAGUGAGCUAUCAAAGUACAAAUUCGGCAUUCAUUAUACUUUCUUUUUAAUACAGCAUUCAUUACUUGUAUCCCCGGGAAGCUCAGAAAACUCACAAAGAGAUGUGCAUUCAUCCAGACUUUCAGCUUACACAUGUAAACCACUGUAUUGUAAAUUUAAGUAUUUAAUAUUUCUUGCCAUCUCUGGAAGAUACUUGAGACUGGUGCAGCCUCCAAGAUCAAGAAGAGUGAGCUUGUCAAGAUGUUGAAAAUACCCAGGAAUUUCAACCAAACUUACACAGCCACGGAGAUUUAUGUUCACAAUUUUUAGACUCCCAGAGAGAUUUGGAACUUCAGUUAGAUAUCUAGAGUCAUGCAUAUCGAUCACUUGUAAGUUGACAAGUCUCUGUAUCAAUAGUAAAUAUAAAUAUAAAGAAUUAAUAUAAUUUCAACACUUGAUUUGAUACAAGAAUUAAAAUAGGCAUAGAAUAUAAUAUACCUGCUCUUCUUUCCAAAGCUUCUUAACUUGGCUACCUGGCAUAUGAAGCUCAACUAGAUUGUCCGGAGAAAAAUUUGACGGCAAAGAUUCCAGUGGAUAUUGAAACCAAUCAAGAUAACGAAGAGAAUCGGGAAGGUCUAGAGAAGCGUUGAAUUUGUAGCCACCAUCCACAAUUAGCAUUAUUAGGUUAGACAUCUUUUUGAAGUCUGCAUGUUUCAAUGCUUGCUCUUCAAUGUAAGGCCAAUAAACCCGUAUGGCUUCAACAUUUGGAGUUUCCUGAGAAUAAGAAAAAAGUUUAAAUGUGAAUAUAAACAUAUUAAAAUGUAACGCAGAUUUGGAACAAAGAGUAUUUGUGAUGGUAAUCAUGUACAAGGUGUCUUAGUCUAGUCAAAUAUCCAACAUAAUUGUAUCCUCCUCUACUUGUCUAAAUAAACAAACAUUUGUUCAUAUUCCAAACACUUCCUAACACAAUAAAUAUUCAAUCAAAUUCAUCUUUUAACAAUCUCACUUCUUUAUUAUAAAUUAGUUUUACUUUGUUGUGUUAUCAUCUCAAGUUUGUAAAUUUUAUUUUCUAAAAAAAAGAAAAGAAAAAAAUUGAAUGCAUUUGGCUCUUACCGUGUUACUCCUCAAUACACGACAGACAUCCUCAUCAUUGAACAACCUACUCCGUUUACCGGGAUCUUUCAUACCUUGUUUUUGAACAAUUUUCCUUCCCAUUUCUUGUAGCAAAUCGUGCAUCUCUAUGGUUUCCCUUCCCCCUUUUGAAUCAAUUGAUAUGAGAGACAUCUCAAUGAGAAUUCUAAUUCCAGAUGUCGCAAACAAUCCACGAACAACUAACAUUCGUUUUACCUCAACCAGAGACUUCCCUUUAUGAAAACAUGCUAUAUCCAGAAAUAUCUCCUUCUCAUUUUCUCUCAAUCUAUCAAAACUUAUUCUCAACACUUUCUGAAUAUCUUCACUGGGAUAUCGUUUCAAUUUGUUAAAUUCAUCUUCCCAUUCUUCUUUGCUCUUGCAAUUGAAGAACAAGGACCCCAGAACUGUAAGAGCUAAAGGAAUGCCUUUGGCAUAAGCCACCGCCUUUUCUGCCAAGUCUUUAUAAUCUGUUCUACGAGUACUAUUAUCCUUGAAAGCACGCAAAUAGAAGAGCUGAAGAGCGUCAUCCGAUUUUAAUCCCUCAACAUAGUAGAUCUUAGCCUCGUCAACAAUUUUCCCAAGUGUGCCCCUAUCUCUACUUGUGAUAAUGAUUCUACUUCCACUGCCAUACCGGAGAUGAUCGCCAACUAAACGUUCCAUUUGCCAUGAAUCACCCACGUCAUCUAGAACAAUGAGGACCUUUGUACGACUGAGCCUUUCUUGAAAAGUUGAUCCUACGGGCAAAAAAACUUCUUCCUUUAAUAUCUCCUUAAAAAGUGUUUUUUCCAAGUGAUCUAGUCCACCUGCUUGUUCUGAGUUCUCCCUAACAUUCUUAAGAAAACAACAGGCUUCAAAUUUAGAAGAGAGUCUGUGAAAUACGGCUUCAGCAAGGGUGGUCUUGCCAAUACGGCCCAUGCCCCAAAUACCUACAGAUAAGCAAGUGUCCUGUGAAUGAAUGUAUAAUAGUGAUUCGAUCUGCUCGAUGCAGCUUUCAAUUCCAACAAAGCCCUUUAAAGAGAAAGAACCGAGAGAGCUGGAAGGCAAUUUUUUAAAUUCCGGACAGGCAUACAAGUCGAGACUUGUUAGGACAUCCUUAAGGUGCUUGCAGCCACUAAGGUAUAAAGUUUGAAGCCUAAUUAGAUUUCCAAUAGACAAAGGGAGCCUUUCGACAGCUGUCCCUUGCAAACUAAGAGACACCAAAUGUUCCAUUGGCUCCAAGAUCUCUGGGAAGUUUUCAAGUUCAGAGCAGCCAGAGAGAUUGAGUUCCUCCAGAUAUUUCAACUUACAAAUGUUGGUUGGUAGACUCACAAGUCUCUUGCAAUCAACCAAUGAUAAUUUACUUAUAUCCCUGGGAAGCUCAGAAAACUCGCCAAGAGAAGUGCAGCCAUCUAGAUUAAAACAACCAGAGACUUUCAGCUUACACUUGUUGCUUGGAAGUUUCUCAAGGUCUUUGCAAUGCCAUAUUCUCAACUGAGAAAUAUUUUCGUGAGACCAAACUGAUUCAGGCAACUCCUUUAUACCACUUUCAGGUAAAAAUAAGAAUUCAAUAUUUUUUGGCAUCUCUGGAAGAUACUUGAGACUGGUGCAAAGUCCAACAUCAAGAUGAGUAAGCUUGUCAAGAUGUUGAAAAUAUAAAGGAAUUUCAACCAAACUUCUACAGUUAGAAAGAUUUAUGUGCCUAAUUUUUGGACUCCCAAAGAGAUUUGGGACCUCCAUUAGAUAUAUACAGUCAUGCAGAUCUAUCACUUCUAAGUUCAUAAGUCUCUGUAACAAGAGUAAAGAGAAAUAUCAAGAAUUAAUAAACGUGACUUAAUUUCAUAAAAGAAUUAAAAUAGGCAUAUAAUAUACCUGGUCUUUUUUCCAAAGCUUUUUAACUUGGCUAUAUGGCAUAUGAAGCUCAACUAGAUUUUCCGGAGAAAAAUUGACGGCAAAGAUUCCAGUAGAUAUCCCCACCAGUAAAGAUAACGAAGAGAAUUGGGAAGGUUUAGAGAAGUUGUGAUUUUGCGGGGAUGGCCAGGAUAGUAAUCAACAAUUAGCAAUUUUAGGUUAGACAUCACUUUGAAGUCUGCACAUUCAAAUGGUUGCUCUGUACACCGAGACCAAUUAAACUUUAUGGCUCGAACAUUUGGAGUCUCCUGACAAUGAGAGCAAAGUUUAAAUGUGAAUAUAUAUAAAUAUAUAUAUAUAUAUGUAUUUAUAUUGAACAUGUUAAAAUGUAAUGCACAUUUGGAAAAAGAAUUCUAAAAAGUUAUAGAAUAAUCUAAAAGUGUUUGAAAAAGAGCAGUGUGUAUAUAUCGAUUUACAUAGCUUUACAUGAGAGAGUUGUACAAGUAAUGAACUCUUACAAAAUAAUUAAGAAUAUCUGAAAGAUUAUUAUCCUAACGAGUUUCAGAUUUCAAAUUCCAAUGGGCAUCAAGAUUAGAUGCUGCAGUAGAUGCUUUAUCAUAAUCUUAAGAGUAUUUGCGAUGGUAAUGAUGUAAAAGUGUCUAGUUAAAUAUCCAAGAUAAUUGUAACAAAAUAAUAUAAAUGAGUUUUACUUUGGUGUGUUAUAAUCUAAAGUUUGCUAUUUGUUUUUUUCUUAAAAAUAGAAAAGAAAAAAAAUUCAAUGCAUUUGGCUCUUACCGUGUUACUUUUCAAUACAUGACAAACAUCCUCAUCGUUGAACAACCUACUACGUUUACCGGGAUCUUCAAUACCUUGUCCCAGAACAAUUGUCCUUCCCAUUUCUUCAAGCAGAUCAUGCAUCUCUAUAGUUUCUCGUCCCCAUUUUGAAUGAACUGAUAUGAGAGACAUAUCAAUGAGAACUUUAAUUCUGGCUGCCACAGAGCGUGAACGGAUAGCUAAUCUUUUUUUUACCUCAUUCACAUUCAUCCCUUUAUGAAAACAUGCUAUAUCCAAAAAUAUCUCCUUCUCAAUACUUCCCAAUCGAUCAUAACUUAGUUUCAACACUCUUUGAACACCUUCAUUGGGACCUUCUUCCAAUUUGUCCAAUUCAUCUUUCCAGUCUUCCAUGCUCUUGCAACAUAGGAAUGAGGACUCCAGAAGCUUAAGAGCUAAAGGAACGCCUCUGGCGUAAUAAACCGCCUUUUCUGCCAACUCCUUAAAAUCUGUUCCGGGAGUACUGUUAUUUUUGAAAGCACGCAAAUAGAAGAACUGAAGAGCGUCAUCUGGUUUUAAUCCCUCAACCUCGUAGAUCUUACCUUCUUCAACAGUAAGUGUUCUCCUAUCUCUACUUGUGAUAAUGAUUCUACUUCCAGUGCCAAACCGAAGACUAUUCCCAGCUAAACGUUCUAUUUGCUUUGAAUCACUCACAUCAUCUAGAACAAUGAGGACCUUUGUACGACCGAGCCAUCUACGAACAACUUUUGAUUCUGUGGGCAGAACUUCUUCCUUUAAUAUCUCCUUAAGAAGUGUUUUUUCCAAGUGAUCUAGCCCUUCGUUUUGUUCUCUCUCCGUCACAUUUCUAAGAAAACAAGAACCUUCGAAUUCAGAAGAGAGUCUGUGAAAUACAGUUUCAGCAAGGGUGGUCUUGCCAAUACCGCCCAUGCCCCAUAUACCUACAGUGAUGCAAUCGUCUGGUGAAUCAAUGCCUAAUAGCAAUUCGAUCUGCUCGAUGCGGCUUUUAAUUCCAACAAGGCCCUUUAAAUCGCAGGAUGAUUGGCAACACAAUUUAGUCCAAAUAUCCUUCACAACAUUCUUUACUAAUUUGGCAUCCGUCCUGGCAUAUAUAUGUACAUAUGAUUAUGAAGGAAAGCAAUAGUUAAUCUUAGAUAUACCUUACAAAAUCUUAGCAGAAAUCAAAUCGUCAUAAGUUUAAAGAAAAUUUAAAAUUUUGUACGCGUUAAUUAAAGAGUUAGUUUGUUACCCAGCAUUUUUUGGAUGAGGAAACCCAGAUCUUUUGGCUGCCUUCGUCAAAGCCUCUUUCCACUCUUUCACCUUGUCGAUACUUUGGUGUUGAGCCAAUGCAGCCGCAUAACUCCCCUGUUGUUCUCGUACAUCCGAUGCAUUGGUGUGGUAAAAAAUGGGUAUCACGAAAUCGCCUCGUCUUUUUUCGUUGCAUUCGAUUAUACGCACAAGCUCAUCCAAACACCAUGCGGAAGUAGCAUAGUUUUGUGAGAAAAUGAUCACCCAAAACUUGGAUUUCUCGAUUGCCUUCAGAAGAGCAGGUCCGAUUUCUUCUCCUCUCUGAAGUCUGUUAUCUAUGUACGUAUCAAUUUUCCUCCGAACUAAGGCUUCAUGAAGAUGGCAGGUAAAAGUAUUACGGGUAUCCUUUCCUCUGAAGCUGAUAAACACAUCAUAUUUUUCUAGACUUGGGGGGAUAUCAGCAUCAUCAUCAUCAUCAGCUACAGCAGAAUCAGCUCCAACAGAAUCAGCCGCAGAAGACGAGGAAGAAAAUGUUAAUGAUCUGCAGCACAUGUAAAACAGAGUCCCGAUGGCGAUGACGAUGAUGUUGAAAACUAGAACAAACCCAAUCAACUCCAUCCCUCUUAUCUCUAUCAACCGAGCCGCCAGGUUUGAGAAUAAGGUGGGAUCCCUGAAUGUAGUGGCCGGUGAAUCACUGAUCAAAGAACGAGCAGCCGCCAGGUUUAAUGAUUUGGUGGGAUCCACAGAUGUAGUGGCUGGUGAACCGCUUCUUCUUCUUCCGCGAAGAUUCAGACAACCGAGCUUGGAUGGAACUGAACAAGAUUUGGCGAACGAAUACAAAGGACCGAGUGGUAAAGCCAUGAUCCGCAGGGGAACGGAUCACUCAUUCUUCCAUUGGGGACAGGUGCACGAACGACAACUAGAUCUGUUAUACAGGCGAUUUAGCUACUUUCUUUCAACCCUGGUAUUAGGUGAGGGGAUACACGCAGAACCGUCAGAGAGAUCAGAGUUUACCAAAGAAAAAUGGGAAAAAUGUAUGAAAACUUUAGUUUUAACAGUAAAGAAAAAAUAAAGGAUAAAAUGAAUAGUAUUAGGAUUGAUUUUUUAAGGUAAAAAUAUAAUUUUUCGUUAAAAUAAAUAAUACCGAAAAUUUUUCGUUAAAGUUUUUUAUAAAAUUUGAAAUUGUAGUUCUUAUUAGGUAUGUGCACAAAAUUACAAAGGCACUGGGGAGGACAAAAAUUGAAAAAUUGGAGAGAAGGAUUAGUCACUUUUACAUACUUAAAAAAUAUUUGAUAAUCGAUACUGCUACUACUUUAAAAUUUUCUUUUAAAUACAAUUAAUCAAAAGAAAAGUUUGCCCACAAGCAUAUUUGUAAGGAACUGAAUCCUCUCGUGCGCUUAGGAUGGGAAUCCUUCUGAGUAGUUCAUCAGAGCCGUUCAAACUUGAUCCAAUGACUUUAAAUAUAGAACUUCUCUAAAAGUUAUAAUAAUUGAAGCUGUUGGAUCAAAUUUAAACUGUCUUGAUGGGCUGCUUAAGAAGAUCUCCAUCAUGAGCUUAGGAGAGGAUCCGGUUUCUUUUUUUUGUAAAACAUCUUUCGGUAAAAUAUACGCACUUUCCAAGAAAAUCAUCAAAGAGUAAACAAGAAAAAAAACAUGAAAGAUAUAAAGACGAAAUUGCACAUAAACUAUGUGCAUUCAAACAGAAGAAAAGGUUAUAAUAUAAUCCCUAGUGAAGGACUUAGGUACCGUUUGGUACGUGAGACGGGACGGAAUAGAGUGGGACGAGGCGUUCCGUUUCACGUUUGGUGCACCUAAAACGGGUGGAACGCGCUGUUCCACGGGACGAAUUUUGGGUGAAUUUUCAUUCCGCCUCACCCCCUAAAACGACUCGUUCCACAUCCGUGGAACGCAAAAUUAUAACCUCUCCGUCUCCUUCUUCUUCCUCCUUGUUUCUAUCCGAGGACAUCUUUACUCCUUCUCCGUUCCGUCCUGUACCGUCCCGUCUGCAUACCAAAGGAAGGUGGAAUUGAAUCCAGCUCCUCCUGAUGGAGGAAGUUUCCUAGUGCUAGUGGAGGACACAUGGGAUGGGGCCUUAAUGAAUGUGCAAUAUUCAAAAUCAAUGUUAAAUGGUCAUUAAAGGGCACAUGGGAUGGGGCCUUGCUUUACGCACUUAUUCUUCUUUGACAUGACCAAAUAAGAGAAAAAGCAUUUAUACACAACCGAAAAGUCACUACGAUAGUUAUGAUAAUUCAAUCAUGCACUAUUAAUUAUGUCAUAAAUCCUCAUAGUAAUUAUGCAUAGACUUUUGCACAACUAACAGCUUCAUAGGCCUUUGACUAGAAUUAGAGCCCCUUUUUUUCUUUUCUUUUUUCUUCAAAAACAAAGGUUUAUAUUUUGGAGAGGUUUUUUUCUGUUAAAAGCUGGGAGGGAUUCAGAUAUUGGGGUGCAAUGAGAGUGGGGUGGGGAGGGAUGGGAAAUAGAUUCUCUCUUGAGCAUCUGCUUAGGAUCUUACUAACCCAUACACAAGGGCCGUUAGAUGAAUCCAACGGCUACAAUUAUUUAUAACUUUAAAAAGAUUCUUUAUUUAUAGCUGUUGAAUUUUCAUCUAACGACCCUUGUGUGUGGAUCAGUAGAAUACUCCAUUUCCGGUGGGAUGGGGAAGAGGUUCAAAUUUUUGGAUUAAAAUUUGAAAAAGUGGGCGAUGGUGGGGUGGGGUUCAUUGAUUGCGAGAAGGUGUCAGUUGGGGUAAUAAUAUCAAAUUAUAAAUAAAAUUUUACAAAAUAAAUGAGAUAAAAAUUAAUGAUUAGAUUAUUAUUUAAGAGUUGAUAAACGUAUUUUUAUUAGUAACACAUUAUUUAAUUUACCCAUUUUUUUUACAAAUUUAGCCAUAGGUUUGAGAGAAAGAAGAGACGAAACACUACUCCCAAGCGCGUUUCUUUAUUAUCUUAUACUUGCUCAGCUCACACAUUCACCAUGCAUUUGUUUCCCCACUCCAAGCCUCCCACAACAAAUCAAACCAUUUAUUUGGGAAAAUUUUUAAUAUUUUGUUAUCUCAUCUUUUCUUUAAUUUUAGUAUCUUUGUCCGUACAGUUUGAUACCAAUUUGGCUCGCUUAUAUUUUCAUGAAUAUAGUCAGGACUAGCCCAUGCAUAGUGCGGGUUGGACGACCGUCCGGUGUCCAUAAGAAGUGGGGGCACCAAAAUUAUUAUGAUGGUAUAUUCAUAUAUUUUUUCAUAAGAAUAUACAUAUUUAAAAUUUAUUUAAAUGGUAAAGAAAUUUAACUAGAACUAGUGGAUUUUGUGGUUUGAAAUCUAUGUGCAUGCUUAUUCUUUCAAUUUUUACGAAUUUCUAUUUGGUUGUUAAUUUCUUUUUAAUUACUAGCUAGUAGCUAUAUGGGUUGCAAUUUCUAAACAUUUGUUCAAAUUCAAGUCUAACCUUUCACAAAGAGUAAUGCGUAGACCAAAUUUGCAAAUCAUAUGACGUGUCACCAAUAGUUUUAAAGGAAAACUAAUGAAAAUGGCUAAAAAACUUUGAGUUUUAACGAUAAGGACAAAAUAGAGAUUAAAGUGAAUAGUACCAAAAUUGACUUUUUAGUGUAAAAAUGUGGUUUUUCGUUAAAGUGAACAGUACUGGGAGCUUUUCGUUAAAGUUCCCUAGUUUUAAUUUAAUGCUCAUUCAUUACUUAUACAUAUCAAUAAAGACUACUAAGCCCGCCAAUUUUGACCUUCAGAAGGGAUGGUCGAGGAAGACAACGACGAGGACGAUGACGUGCUUCCUAAAACCUUUUUUCGAUGUAAGCUCAUUGAACCACUACAAGACAAAUUGUCAUUAGCAAUGGUCAAAUGUCAUCGGAAACGAUAUUUUACCAUCGCAAAUACUUAUUUCCAACGGGAAAAAGCUCUCGUUGGGUGUCGAAAGUUGUCUUGUUGGAAAUAAUUUUUUUCAUGCCAGCUAUCGAAAAUACUUUAUUAUCGACGCACAAGACCUGUCGUUAGUGGUUAGUUUUUCGUCAAAAAUGAAUUUUCGAAAUGACAAACUUAUUUUAUGUUUGUCAUGGAAAUAUGGUCGCAAAUACUUAUAUAGUUAUUGAAAUUACUUUCCAAAAGACGACAUAUUUUUUGUGAUGAUGUUGUUCCGACCAAACAAUUGUGUCGGAAAAUCUUUUUCGAACAAAAUAAUCAAUAUUUGUGAGAGUGCACAAUAGUCACAAUUAUAAUCUUUGACCCUUAAAUACUGCUCUAGGCUGUCACAAAUCUUAUUUUAUAUACAAUAGGGUUAUCUUAAAACACCUCAUUGGAAAAAAUAAAAUGAAAGACAUUUCCAAUGGGAAUUGAGGUAAGAAAUAUAUGCUUUCUGGUAAAAAUUCCACUGAGCAUUGUUCAAAAAAUAUUUUGUAUUAUCAUUAAUAAAACAAAUUGUAUAAGAUCAAUGUGGUAAAACCAAUACAUUCAUUACAAACCUAAGAUAUGUGUUUGAACAUAUCUUUAUAUACUAAAACCCAAUCAAGGUGGUACUGUGGAUAAUCAGUGGGCGGACGAUUUUGCCCCUCGAUUUUUCUUCUGUUGACGCAAAUGCCCCUGCUUUUCUCUUUUCUUACCGUUUGUCUCACCCGUUGGCCAUUUUUCUGGUUGACGGAUUUGCCCCAUGGCUUUUUUUAUGGUUUAUGAUUGGUUUUGGUGGUUCUGCAGGGAGAAGGUGGGAAUUGACUGUGCCACGUGUUGGUCAUCGUGUUGCGUUCUUUUAGGGGUUUAUUUUGCUUCGUUUCCGUUUUCUUUCCUUUGUUAUUCCAGUUCCCUCUUCUCUGUCGCUCUCGAUUUAUUUUUCCUUUUGUUCUCCACUAUCUGCUUCCCUUUCGCGCGCUUUGUGUUUUGGUUUUCUCAGCCCUGCUUUUCUCACUUCACAGCUGCUUCCUUCUCUGGACAACUCUGUGGUACGUGAUUUUCUUUCCAUUUUUAUCUUUCUUUAUAGAUUUUUGUGUUAGUUUGUGAAAUGGGUUUUCUUCUGUUGUGUAUUGAGAGAUUGGGUGAUGGGCUCUUAUGGAUUUUAGUGUUUCAAACUCUGAGAGGAGUUACUGCUUGUGGGGAGAGAAGUCUGGGUUUGAGUGAGUUUUCUUCUGUUGUGUACGUUUAGAGAAUUAUUGUUGCCUAAAACUCUAUGAAGGGUUUGCUUUUUUUAUUGUGAACUUAAACAGUCGAAGAAGGUUUAUUUAAUGGUUGAAGAAAUUGACGAUUGUUUGGUCGUCAAAUAUUUCUCCUCUUUUGUUUGUUGAUUUCUUUCUAAUAUUCAAAUAAUUAUUAUUAUGUAAUCCUGAUAGCAUUGUUGCUACAACUCGAAUAGAUAUGUACCAGAGCAUGGGAGAUGCUCUUGCACAGCAGUAUGGUGGCUCUGCAGCUCACAACACUGUAUGUUCUUAUUUUAUUCUUGGGUUAAAGCAUGCAUACAUUAUCAGUUGGUAGAUGUCAUAGAUCAACCCCUAUAUUCUAACGUGAAGUAAAAAAAAAAAAAAACUCUUAACUCUAAUCAGAUGUCCAUUGAAAAGAAAACAAAUCACAUUACAGACCAAUACCUUUUUGCAGUCUUCUUGACAACGACAGCUUAUCUGGGUAUCUUCUGCCAGAGUUCUCGGAGUUGCCAAGCUUAUUAAUGUUGUAUGUUUUCUUACUCGGGAGCAUAAAUUUGUGCCUUAAUUAUGUUUUCAUCCUUUCCUUUCUUGAAUUUUCGUACUGUUGGGAACAAUUUUGUAGACUUUCCUUUUUCUACAACAUAAUUUGAGGGAUGCAAUCUCAUAUCAAGUUUCUUAGCCCUAUAAUCUUAUUUGUUUUGCAGUUAAGUUGACAACAACUUUGGUGGGACUACAAUUCCAGAUUCGUAUAGCAACAUGUCUAAACUGUUCAAGUUGUAAGUGCUGCUUCUGAUUCUAUGUCUUUUAGUAAGUUUAAAGGUAAAAUUGUGUUUUCUAAGGACUACAAUCUCUAUUUAUUCAUACAUCAUAUUUAAAGCUCCAACUGCGGAGGUGUAAAUCCAAUUGAUUUGGGAUUAAUCAUAGCAACAAUAGAGGGAAUCGUAGUUUUUGUUGGGAAACACAUUUCCAACCACUGUGUAGGGAACAUCUUAUGUUUCUAUCUGAUGAUAUAUCACAUUAGGUGAUGGUGCUGGUUGAUUGGAAUGACAAUCGAGAAGUAGCUCUUAAUAUUUAACACGACAAAUCAUGUCAAGAUUGAAUAUCUUUGUGUUUUUGUUGUUUCUUUCAGGAGUUUGAGGAAAUGCAACUUACAAGGGCCUCUUCCUGAUUUCAGUAGGUUUCCAAACCUUGGUUUUGCCAGGUUCAAGUUUAAUUGUGUAAUAAAUGGAGAGAUUGAUCGCCGUCACUCAUAGUUGCGUUUCAGGAAACAAGUUUAUCUCUUGCCAAUUUUGUGUACCCACUUUUUAUUCAUGAUGGUUAGUGUUGAUGCACAAAAUCAGCGAGGACUUUGGUACAACAUAAAGUGUUAAGUUUGAGACCUUCGCUAGAUUGCUCCGGUCACUAGUGUGGAUAAGUAUGUAAAUGGAUAGGGACAGGGUAGCAAACACCAGAUGUACGUGGUUCACCCAGAUUGGCUACGUCCACGGAGUAGAGGAGUUCUCAUUAAUUGUGAAGGGUUUACACAAGUACAUAGGUUCAAGCUCUCCUUUAGUGAGUACUAGUGAAUGAUUUAGUACAAAUGACAUUAGGAAAUAUUGUGGGAGAAUGAUCUCCUUUUAUAGAAGAGAGUUUCUUUCUUUGUUCUGACAUUGACAUGUGUCGUGUUGUGAUUGGCUUCCGAUGUUGACACGUGUCGCGCUAUGAUUGGCUUCUGAUGUCGACACGUGUCGCGCUAUGAUUGGCUUCCUAGUUGGAGGGAAACUCUUAUGGGUCCUUGAUGGUAUAACGUUAACCGGUGCUCGGUAAUUUCAGGAUUGGUCAAGUAUGGUACAAACAGUGUUCCCUUAAGUUCCCGAGUGAGGGAAGCUCCUCGGUUGGGGACUUGCAAGAUCCAAGCCGCUGAGUAAUCACAAAACUUCUAAGUACCAAAGUGUGGUAUCGUCUUCACUUGCCUUAUCUGUCUCAUAAGUAGAUGUGGCAUCUUCUUUGGAAGUACUCUUCCUCCAUCCAGGGGUGGUAUCUUUAACCGGUGGAGAUGCACAAGGUAAUGUAUCAAUUUCACUUGAAGCUUACUUGAAGUUUCAGGCUUGGUCAAGCGCGAUACAAACCAUGUAGUAGGAGUCCCCCAAAUCGCCGAGCUAGGAGAUCUGCCGAAAGAGGUGACAGACAAGGUAAGCAAUCAGAGCUCCAAGCAAUUAGUCCCAGAUCAAAAGUUUGAUUUCGAGUUCCGGCUGAUUGUUCUCAUUCUCCCUAUCUUGCAGGCAGCAUGAAGGAUAAAGAGAAGAAAAAGGAUAAGAGAUGAUAUGAGAUAUUUUUGCUUUCGAAGAAGUAACUUUCCACAGGCUUAUUCUUGAACUAGGCUGAAGGGUUUUCUAGUUUCUUCCAGAGUAUAAGGCCAACUCAAGAAUUUGAGGGUCAAAACAAGUCCAUCAAAUCAAGAGUUCGUUCGACCUUGAUGAUAUGGGAUACUUUUGUUGUUGACAAAGUAGUGAAUGUGGUAUGGCGAUGCUUUGCUCUUUAGCAACGUUGCUAGCGAAAGGCUGUUGAAGUUUCUUGAGCUCUUCGGAUAGGGCAGUGAUGCCGAGCUUAGAUUUGACUUAGACUGCACCGUCUGGAUUAUGCGGUUCUGCAGGGAAGGCGUCGUGCUAUAGUGAUCUGUUUUAGCUCAUCCUUGAACCUUCUGCUUCAAUCUUUUACAACGCAGAAGUGGUGCACAACCUUUGCAUUUGAAUGGUCCUUCAGAGCACUACUUCUUAGCGACUCAUCCAUGCUUGGCAGCUUCAGUGUAAAGAGCUAAUAUCGUAUCAACUGUUCUGAAGUAUUUGCCAAAAGGAUUCGUGACCUUGACAACAGUUGAGGAUGAGUACUCGAGAGCAAUGCUAGGUGAGCAACCAAGCAAAGGUUUCGGGGAAUCAGUUCCAAAUCGGAAGUUUGAUUUCAGGUUCCGACUGAUUGCUUUCUUUCUCCUUGUCUUGCAGGUAAGAGCAAGGGUAAAGGAAAAGACAAGGAAAAAGCAUGAUAUGGGAUACUUUUGCUUUUAACCUUGAUGAUAUGAGAUACUUUUGCUUUGGUAUGGCUUGUUUGCAGAGGUAUUAUCGGGGGAAAGGAAGCUGAGUAUUUCGAGAGGCUUCGUUGGGAGUGCCCUCUCAAGUAUGAGGAAUGGUUGAGCAUUUUUGCAGGUCUGCCUGUCCAUAGAGGGUAGAGGUAGACAUAUAUAGGAGUUUCCUCAACAAUAAGUAGUAAUGUUAUUCCUUUACCCUUCUUUGUCAUAGCAAUGUAGUGGGAGCUGCAAGCUUCACGUGUUUUAACUUUGUCAGAGCAUUUUGAAAAAGUGGUCUGUGGUAUCUGGAAAGCUGAUGUUGCGUGUGAAGAUUGCAGACAAAUUUUAUCCAAGGAAAUCUGGCUCUCGAAGUUCGGAGAGCGGCGCAUUUUCGGUUUUCAAACAAGCAAUCAUGUUGGGGAUCUGGCUCUCAAGAUUCAAAGAGCGUUGCCUCUUCGAUUUUUGAACAAACAAUCCUAUUGGGGAUCUGGCUCUCGAUAUUUAGAGAGCGGUGCCUCUUCGAUUUUUGAGAAAGUGAUCCUGGUAAGAGUUUGGCUCUCGAGAUUCGGAUAGCGGUGCCUUUUCGAUUUUUGAGAAAGUAAUCUUGGUGGGAGUCUGGCUCUUGAGAUUCGGGGAGCGGUGCCUCUUCGAUUUUUUAGAAAGUAAUCCUGUUGGGAGUGUUUUCUCGAUGUGAGUAAAGGUUGGGCAUUUUUGCCAGUCUGCUUUGCCACGGAGCACAGAGGUUGACACACAUAGGGACUUUCCAGUUAUCAAGCAGUGGUGCUAUUCCUUUACCCUUAUGGGUAAUGGUAAGGUAGCUGGACCUUCAAAAUUUAUGUGUCUAAACUUUGUCAGAGAUCUUUGGCAAAGUUAUCUGUGGUACCUGAGGAGCUGAUGUUGCGUGUGGGGAUUGUCGACAUAUUUUAUCAGGAAAAUCUGCUUCUUGAAAUCCGGAGAGUGGUGCUUCUUCGAUUUUUGAACAAACGGCCCUGCUGCCCUUUCUUUUAUAGGGGCACCAAUUGUGUGCAAGAAGUACGUUCAGAAAGUUAUUGCUUGUAGGAAUUUCCCUUUAUUUUCGUACUUCAGAAAUUUAUUGGACCUCAUUUCUCCUUCAUCAUUUCUGAAAAUGCCUGGCCCAUCCGACCGUCGUUUUGACUUGAACUUUGGUAAAGAGGUAGCCAUGCCUCCUCAAGACAAUAUAUGACGCCCAUCCUUCUUAUCCCCUAUUGGUCAUCUUACCGUUGGGGACUCUAUGAUGAAGAAUGAUAUGACCGCUGCGGUGGUGGCCAAAAACCUUCUCACUCCCAAAGAUAACAGACUACUUUCCAAACGGUUUGAUGAGUUGGCUGUUAAGGAUUCUCUGGCUCUCAGUGUUCAGUGUGCAGGUUAUGUGUCUAAUAUGGCCCAACGCCUAUUUGCUCGAACCCGCCAAGUUGAAUCAUUGGCGGCUGAAGGGAUAAGUCUCAAACAGGAUAUUAGAGGGCUCAAGCAUGAGAAUAAACAGUUGCACAUGCUCGCACAUGACUAUGCUACAAACAUGAAGAGGAAGCUUGACCAAAUGCAAGAAUCUGAUGGUCAGAUUUUACUUGAUCAUCAGAGGUUUGUGGGUUUGUUCCAAAGACAUUUAUUACCUUCGUCUUCUGGGGCUGUACCGCGUAAUGAAGCUCCAAAUGAUCAACCUCUGAUGCCUCAUUCUUCUGGGGUUCUGUCCAGUACUGAGGCUCUGAAUGAUCACCCUCCGGUGCCUUUUCUUUCUGGGGCUCUGCCGACUGCUGAGACUCAUCCUGAGCAACCUUUGUGAAGGCUCUAUCUUGUUUGUUUAUUUUGAUUCAUGUAUAAUUACAUAUUUGUAACUUAUCGGAGAUAUCAAUAAAUAAGCUUUGCUUCAUUUCAACGUAUUGUGUUAAAUAUACCAAAGUCUUCUUCACUAAGUUCUUUGAAUUUUUUCUUUUGUUGAAGCUUGUAUGCUGAAGCUUUGUGAGUGAAGCAUGUAGGUUAAGGUAGUGUUCCCUUCAUUUCCCGAGUGAGGAAAACUUCUCAGUUUGAGACUUGAAAAAUCCAAGUCACUGAGUGGUCGUGAGACUUCCGAGUAUCAUGGUGCAGUAGCAUAUGGUAGGAGUCCCCCAAGUCUCUGGUCGAAGGAGUUGACGAACCCGCCAAGUUGAAUCAUUGGCGGCUGAAGUGAUAAGUCUCAAACAGGAGAUUAGAGGGCUCAAGCAUGAGAAUAAACAGUUACACAGGCUCGCACAUGACUAUGCUACAAACAUGAAGAGGAAGCUUGACCAGAUGCAAGAAUCUGAUGGUCAGAUUUUACUUGAUCAUCAGAGGUUUGUGGGUUUGUUCCAAAGGAAUUUAUUGCCUUCGUAUUCUGGGGCUAUACUGCGUAAUGAAGCUCCAAAUGAUCAACCUCCGAUGCCUCAUCCUUCUGGGGUUCUGUCCAGUACUAAGGCUCCGAAUGAUUACCCUCCGGUGCCUUCUCUUUCUAGGGCUCUGCCGACUGCUGAGACUUCUCCUUAGCAACCUUUGUGAAGGCUCCCUCUUGUUUGUUUAUUUUGACUCAUGUAUAUGUACAUAUUUGUAACUUAUCGGAGAUAUCAAUAAAUAAGCUUUGCUUCAUUUCAACGUAUUGUGUUAAAUACACCAAAGCCUUCUUCACUAAGUUCUUUGAAUUUUUUCUUUUGUUGAAGCUUGUAUGUUGAAGCUUUGUGAGUGAAGCAUGUAUGUUGAGGUAGUGCUCCCUUAAUUUCGCAAGUGAGGAAAACUUCUCGGUUGGAGACUUGAAAAAUCCAAGUCACUGAGUGGUCGUGAGACUUCCGAGUAUCAAGGUGCAGUAGCAUAUGGUAGGAGUCCCCCAAGCCUCCGGUCAAGGGAGUUGACGAAUGAGGCAUUUCCUUUCUAAGUGGUAGCCCAAAACUCAUCCUUCAUAUAUAUUUGUUAUGAAAGUUGUUAGGCCCAAAGAAGAGGAGGCCUACACAAGGGUUUCCGAAUAUAUAUAUAUAUAUAUAUAUAUAUUAAGCUUUGUAGGUGAAGCUUUGUUGGGUACCAUGAAUUGAUUUUGCUUCACACUAUCUUGAUCAAGAGUGUGUGAAACUUUUGUAGGUGAAGCUUUUGUGGGUGAAGCUUUUGUGGGUGAAGCUUUUGUAUGUGAAGUUUUUAUGGGUGAAGCUUUUGUAGGUGAAGCUUUUGUUGGUGAAGUUUUUGUGGGUGAAGCUUUUGUGUUGAAGCUUUGUAGGUGAAGCUUUGUAGGUGAAGCUAUUGUGUUGAAGCUGUGUAGGUGAAGCUUUGGAGUUGAAGCUUUGUAGGUGAAGCUUUUGAGUUGAAGCUUUGUAGGUGAAGUUUUGGAGUUGAAGCUUUUGUUGGGUACCAUGAAUUGAUUUUGCUUCACACUAUCUUGAUCAAGAUAGUGUGAAGCUUUUGAGAAUUUGUAGUUGCCCUCCAUUUGUUAAAGCUUUCGUUGGUGAAGCUUUUGUGGUGAAGCUUUGUAGGUGAAGCUUUGUUGGGUACAAUGAAUUGAUUUUGCUUCACACUAUCUUGAUCAAGAUAGUGUGAAGCUUUUGAGAAUUUGUAGUUGCCCUCCAUUUGUUGAAGCUUUUGUUGAAUUUCCCAAUUUCCUUUUUUUUUUGUUUAGAAACUAGAAAUUUGAAAAUGUGGGAGAGACAACAUAUACAAAUUUUGCUUCCACAUUGUUGAGCAAGAGAUUGUGAUGCAAACCACACCUUGUAGUAGUCGAAGGUUUGGAUGAACCAUAUAAAUUGAAUUUGCUUCGAACAGUCUUGAUCAAGAGUGUGUGAAGCUUUCUACGAGUUGUAGUUGCCCUUCAUUGAUGAAACUUUUGUUGGCACCAUAAAUUGGUUUUGCUUCACACUGUCUUGAUCAAGAGUGUGUGAAGCUUUUGAGAAUUGUGGUUGCCCUCCAUUGAUGAAGCUCUUGUUGGCACCAUAAAUUGGUUUUGCUUCACACUGUCUUGAUCAAGAGUGUGUGAAGCUUUUGAGAAUUGUAGUUGCCCUCCAUUGAUGAAGCUCUUGUUGGCACCAUAAAUUGGUUUUGCUUCACACUGUCUUGAUUAAGAGUGUGUGAAGCUUUUGAGAAUUGUGGUUGCCCUCCAUUGAUGAAGCUCUUGUUGGCACCAUAAAUUGGUUUUGCUUCACACUGUCUUGAUCAAGAGUGUGAAGCUUUUGAGAAUUGUGGUUGAACUUCUUUGAUGAAGCUCUUGUUGGCACCAUAAAUUGGUUUUGCUUCACACUGUCUUGAUCAAGAAUGUGUGAAGCUUUUGAGAAUUGUGGUAAUCUCUUGCUGGCACCAUAAAUUGGUUUUGCUUCACACUGUCUUGAUCAAGAAUGUGUGAAGCUUUUGAGAAUUGUCGUUGAACUCCUUUGAUGAAACUCUUGUUGGCACCAUAAAUUGGUUUUGCUUCACACUGUCUUGAUCAAAAGCGUGUGAAGCUUUCUACGAGUUGUAGUGUUUGCAUUGUUACAGAGGAGAAAUGUCUGUAGCAGAUGCAAUAAGGCUGAAUAGCUUAAUCUUCGUAUACCAUGCACUAAAGUUGUUGUUGGCUUGCAAUAAGACUUUGUUGGUGACUAUAACUCUUGUUGGGCAUAAGUGCUCCCCUAGUUGAGUUGUUAAGCUUGAGGGUUUUUGAUUAUUUGUGAAUGCUAGGAGUUCACAUGUACAAGUUGUACCACUCGUCUUCUGGUAGGUGGAAUGAAUGGUGAGUUGUUUUCAUCAUUUGGUUGGUGUGAGUUCCUUCAUCACCUUUCAUCACAUUUCAUCACCUGGUAGGUGGCACGAAUAUGAGUUCCUUCUUCACCUGGUUGGUGGCAUGAAUGGCAAGUUGCCAAAUGAUAUUAGAAUACAGGUUGUACAUUUCAUACCUGGUUGGUGGCAUGAAGGAGAGUACGGGUUGUACAUUUCAUCACCUGGUUGGUAGCAUGAAGAUGAGUUCAUUCUUCACCUGGUUGGUGGCAUGAAUGGCAAGUUGCCAAAUGAUAUUAGAGUACGGGUUGUACAUUUCAUCACCUGGUUGGUGGCAUGAAGGAGAGUACGGGUUGUACAUUUCAUCACCUGUUUGGUGGCAUAAAGAUGAGUUCCUUCUUCACAUUUCAUCACUUGGUUGGUGAGAAUAAGGGCAAGGUGUCGAGGCAUAUUGUAGCAAGUGUCGAAUGACACAAAGUAUGUUGAACACUUUCGAAACACAGUUGGCUUAUGUAUGAAUGUGUUGGAAUGUAUGAUUGAACGAAUAUACUGUGAAGCUGUUUGUUUAUUUGUAUAGUCUUGUUGACAUAUACUUAGACUUUGUUUCAUGUUGGAAGCAUUCAUGUUGAAGCUUUGAACCCGAGUGUUUCAUUGCUAGGAAAGUAAGAGGAUUAUGACCGAGUUGUGUAAAUCACCUCUUUAUUGAAUUCAUGCCAAAUAGUCUUCGUUACAUAGGAUGCCGAACGGCUGAAGCUUAACACUUGUACAAUGUGAUUUUACUUGUAAUAGUACUUCAAGUGAUCAGCGUUCCAUGGAUGGCCAAGGGUCUUGCCAUUGGAGCUUUUAAGCUUGUAGGAGCCAGGGCGACUGAUGCCAACAACUUCAAACGGUCCAUCCCAGUUUGAACUAAGUGUUCAUUCACUCGGGACUCUGUCGCAGAGUAAUCUUUUCUUCAAUACCCAGUCCCCCACUUUGAAAGAACGAGGUUUGACCCUUGAGUCAUAGUAGUUGGCGAUGCGCUGCUUGUAGGCAACAUUCCUCAAGUGAGCUUGGUUUCUGUGUUCCUCGACUAGAUCUAAGUUGAGGGUAAGUUGUUUGUCAUUUUCGCUUUGCACGUAGUUCUGGACUCGGAAUGUUGCUUGCUCAAGCUCAACUGGGACAACUGCCUAUGUACCAAAGGCAAGCGAGAAUGAGGUUUCUCCUGUUGAUGUCCGAUACGAAAUGCGGUAUGACAAAAAAACUUUGGGUACAAAUUCUGGCCAACAACCUUUAGCCUUGUCCAAGCUGGUUUUCAAAGUUUGCUUGAUUAUUUUGUUGAUGGCUUCGACUUGUCCAUUAGACUGGGGAUGAGCUGGGGAGGCAAAACAUAAGUUGAUGUUGAACUUAGAGCAGAACAUCCUGAACUUAUUGUUGUCGAACUGUCGCCCGUUGUCAGUGACUAUCGCAUUGGGAAUGCCGAAUCUGCAAAUGAUGUUCUUCCAUACGAAGUCUUCUAUUUUUGCCUCAGUAAUUGUUGCCAAGGGUUCUACUUCAGCCCACUUUGUGAAGUAGUUAACUGCAACGAUUGCAUAGCGAACCUUGCCCUUCCCUGCAGGCAUUGGGCCGAUCAAAUCAAGUCCCCAUUGGGCGAAGAGCCAAGGGCUGAUCAUAGGAGUGAGCGGCUCGGGAGGGGAGUGAGGAAUAGUUGCGUAGCGUUGACACUUAUCACAUGAGCGAGAUAUUCUGAUGGCAUCUUGGUGGAGUGUUGGCCAGUAAUAUCCUUGGCGAAAAGCUUUGUGUGCUAGGGAUCGAGAUUCAGCAUGAUCUCCGCAGACUCAUUCAUGUAUUUCCCGAAGGACAAUUUUCGCCUCCGCGGGGGUAAGGCAUCUUAGAUAUGGUAGGUUAAACCCCGUUUGUAGAGUUUGUCAUUAAUGAUCAAGUAACGGGUAGCCUUGUAUCGAAUCUGCUUAGCUUGGACUUUAUCGUUUCGGAGGGUACCAUACGCAAGGAAUUUAUAAAUCGGGGUAAUCCAACUAUCCCCCUAUUGUAAGUUGCACACUUCUGUGGCCAUGAUGCUUGGUGCUGCCAACAAUUCGACCUAAAUUUUUCUCCCAAUUUUGUCUUCCACUGCUGAGGCGAGGCGAGCCAAAGCGUCUGCAUGACUGUUUGCCGCUCGAGGAAUUUGGGUGAUCUGGUAGUGGAAGUGCUUGAGCAACAAUUGUGUUUGUGCCAUAUAUGCUGCCAUGGAGCUAUCCUUAGCGUCAAAGUUGUUGGUGACCUGGUUAACCACCAAUUGUGAGUCACUGAAGAUAUCAAUUCGUUUAACCCCAAGGUGUUUGGCCAAACGUAAGCCUGCUAGAAGGGCUUCAUAUUCAUCAUCAUUAUUCGAUGCCUUGAAUUUGAAACGAAGAGCAUACUUCAUUGCCACUUUGUCAGGGGUCAUAAGGACUAGUCCUGCUCCACAACCCUGUUGGUUGGACUAGCCAUCAACAUAUAUACUCCAUGCUGGGGUUGUUGGUUCUAUUUUCUGAACUUCCGAGGGUAAUGAAACCACUUCUUUAGGCGUAGAAACAAUGUCAACAGGAUAUGUGAAGUCGCCGAUGAAGUCUGCCACUGCUUGGCCCUUCUCAGCUGGCUUUGGUUGGUAGGAGAUGUCAAACUCACCCAAUGCUAUCGUCCAUUUGAUUAUUCUCCCCGAAGUGUAUGGACUUUAGAGUAUCUGUCGGUGAGGAUGAUUGGUAAGCACGAUGAUGGAGUGUGCUUGGAAGUAAGGGCGAAGUUUUCGAGCAGACAUGACCAAUGCUACAGCCAAUUUCUCAAUGUUGGAGUAUCGUGUCUCCACAUCUUAUAAGGCCUUGCUAGCGUAGUAGACAGGCCGUUCGACAUUACCAUCCUUUCGAAUAAGAACGAAACUUAUUGCUGAAGCCGAUACCGAUAGAUAGAUAAUGAGAGUGUCACCAACCUCAGGUUUGGCAAGCAAAUGGGCUUUACUCAUGUAGUCCUUGAGGUUCUUGAAUGCCUCGGCACAUUCAUCAGUCCAUGUAAUGUACUUCUUACUUCCUUUAAGUGCUUUGAAGAAAGGAGCAUAUCUGUCUGUGGCCUUAGAGAUGAACCUAGUUAAGGCUGCCACCUUGCCAGUAAGGCUCUAGAUGUCUUUUGAAGCCUAAGCCGAAGGCAUGCCGAAAGCACAUUUGUUGGGGUUCAACCUCAUUCGAUACCUCUUCAGAAUGGUGAAAGUUUCAGAUAGGUUAGUGAUGUGUUGGUCAGCAUGUUUGCUCUUGACUAGCAUAUCAUCAACGUAAAUUCCAUGCUCUUCCCAAUCUGUUCGGCGAACAUUGAAUUGACUAGUCUCUGAUAAGUCGCUCCUGCAUUCUUUAGGCCGAAGGGCAUGACUUUAUAGCAAUAUAGUCCCCUGUCAGUAGUGAAGGUUGUGUGUUCUUGGUCUGGAAGGUUCAUGAGGAUUUGGUUAUAUCCUGAGUAAGCAUCCAUGAAGCUCAGGAGUUCACACCCUGCCGUAGAGUCUAUAAGUUUGUCAAUGAGAUGAAGAGGAAAGAUAUCCUUCGGGCAUCCUUUUGUUUAGGUCGGUGUAGUCGACACACAUUCUCCACAAGACCUUUUGGAGCAGGAGACUUUCUUUGGUCAGAUUUUUCUUAACAAGGACCACAUUUGCUACCCAUGUUGGAUAAUUGACUUCGCGGACGAAGCCUAUGCCUUUGAGUUUUUCAACUUCUGCCUUCAUUGCUUCGUAUCGUUCAUCGUCAUAAAAUCUUCGCUUCUGUCUCACCGGCUUGGUCUUGGGGUUAAUACUCAAGCGAUGACAUAUGAUAUCGGGAGAGAUGCCUGGCAUGUCCUCAUAUGACCAGGCGAAGACCUCAGUGUUCUCUUGCAAAAAAGAGAUCAAUGCCAACUGAAUGGGUGGUGACAAGGUGGUGCCAAUCUUCACUAUACGAUCUGGAUAAUCUUUUGAGAUAGAAACCUUCUCCAACUCUUUAGCGGGUUGUGUUUGUUGGGUGAAAGAGUCAUCUCGAGGAUCGUCGGGUUAACUGUUGCCACCGUGAAGAUCCAAGUUGGCUUCGUCUGAGCUGGUCUUUAUGACUUGGUCAUGUAUAGAAAGGGUUUCCUUGGGCACAGACAUGUGAUGUUGCUUGACCGAGGUGUUGUAACAUGAUCGUGCACUAAGUUGAUCUCCUCUGAUGUAACCAUUGCCAUAAGGGGUUGGAAAUUUCAUCAACAACAUAUGUGUGGAUACCAUGGCCUUGAGGUCAUUGAUGCAUGUGCGUGCAAAGAUGACAUUGUAUGUCGUUAGACAAUCAACCACCAGGAAGUUAGUGGUAAUGGUAGUUGUGUAAGGGCCUGUACCAAUGGUGAAAGGUAAGUGUAUACUCCCUAAAGGUUGCAUGAUAUCAAUGGAGAAGCUUAUCAGAGGAGAAAUCGAGUGAUCGAGCAAGUGUUCAGCUACAUUAAGUGCCCUGACAGUUUCAGCAAACAUGAUAUUGACCGAAGCCCCCAUGUCUACCAGGAUUCGUCGUACUUCAAAGUUGGCUAUGUGAGCUUCCACGAUCAGUGGGUCGUUGUGAGGGUAGAUGAUACCUCUUUCUUCCUCAGGGUAGAAACAUAUUGGAUCCUAGUUAUGCUUUUGAUACUUGCCUCCUCUGAUGUCUUCCACAUGAAACACUUGGUGGCUAGGCCUUAAAGCUCGUUCGCUGUUUUUCAUGGCCUAUUGGAAGAUUCAGAUAUGGGUGUGCCACCGCUUAUGGAAUAUAUCACAUUCACUUGGCGUUGGUUACGGUUAUCCCUUGAAGGGUGAAUGAGGAAUCGAUCAAUUUUUCCUUCACGCGCCAAAGCUUCAAUAUGAUUACGAAGAGUGAUACACUUCUCGCCGUCAUGGUCGUUAUGCUCAUGGUAGCAGCAAAACAUGCCCGUGUUCUUCGUGGGCAUGUAACUCGACUGCCUCGGUAUUGGCUUCGGUAUCAAGUGUGCUAUACUGGGGUAAAUGGCCACGCAUGUGGCUUUCAAAAGUGUGUAUGUCUCAUACCUCGGGGUAGGGCCUGUCCUGACACGUGCUUGGCCCACUGUGUUGACUGCCUGGGGGCGGGCAUUAUCGUGGCGAUACCCUUGGUUAUCGCGAUAGUGUCUCUUACUCCUUUUACUAAAAUGAGACUGGUGAAGAUGGAAAUCUUUCCUUUUGCCCUGAGAUUGAUAUGUCUGUUGACUUGGCGAAGUAUUAAGUAAGGCAGGGGGAGGCACUGCUGCCGUUUGGAAGGUCGAGGUCUUCUCAUUUGGUUGGAUCUGGCUUCCACUCCCUACUUGCUGAUAAGGGGUGGCUGUGGGGGGUUUUCCUUGAUAUGCCAUUGCCUCGACGGAGGCAUGGUUAUAAGCCUGCGCCAUCACCUCAGAGUAAGUCUUCCAAGUGUUGGCAUUGAUCAUGUAUUUAAAGAAUCAGUCAUGUAGGCCUACCGUGAAGGCUUUGAGGGCAGUCUUGUCGUCUGCCCUGGCACAACGGGAAUACUCAUGGCUGAAACGGCCAGCAUACAUAUGUAAUGACUCGUCUGGCUUCUGGCGAAUAGUGUACAAGUCAUCCGCAGAGUGCAAGCGAUCAGUCUGGAAAAUGUGUUGAGAAACAAACAAUUUCCUCAAUUCCUUAAAUGAGUCUACUGUCUCAGGUGGAAGAUGGUUAGAGCUCCGCCAGAGAGGGUGGAGGGGAAGAGAAGACAUCGCUCUUCGUCGGUGUCACGCCCCGUCCCAAAAACAAUAUAUUUCGAGAAUUAAUUAUGAUAGGCCCAACUUAAAAAUGUAGAUAAUUUUAUUUCUUUUAAUCACAUCCCUCUAAGUCAAUAUUACUCUCUGUUACCAGCUAUCCAUAUUUUCUUAAAUGUCAAACAUCUCUUUAAGUAAACACUAAUUCUCGAUUGUUUAGUCUCACUUAUUUUAUGGCUGCGUCUAACGUCUCGUUAGACUGCCUACGUACCCUAAACAGGGAUCAAGCCAUUCGUAGUUCACAAAUUCAAAUUCAAUUGAAUUAUGAUAUUCUUACACAUAAUUAACAAUCACCAACUAGCUUCAUACAAGUGUAUCACAUUGAAUGCUUAUUUAACUUGAAUCUAGAACAUCAAAAUUAGCGUAAGAAUACGGCGUUGACUCCCUGGCCACGCGCCGCCGCCGGUGGCGGUCGGCCGUCCCUACUUGCCGCAAAUUUCAACUAUUUUUAAAAAUUCUCAAAAAUUACAGAAAUGAAGAUCUCAAAGAGUAGAGCAAACUUUAUACCUGUGGCCAAGCCCAAUUUGGCCUGGAAAGGCUCCAAUUUGCCUCAAACACGCCGGUACCCUAGAAUUUGGGUGUCCUCGACUCGACUCCAUAGCAGCUCCGACGCCCCAAACCUUGUUUGGGCUUUGUUCCUAGGUUCUCAAGGAACAUGUUGGUGGUGGUAAUUGAAAGAGUUUGUUUCAGAUUUGGUGGAUCGCCACCUAUGAACUCACGCACCCACCGGUGUGGUUUUGCACAGUUUCAAGGCCAAUAACUAUCUAAUUUAUGAUAGAAUCAGUCAAGGGGAGGUCAUGGAACAUUUUUAAGGUGGUUUGGUAACAUAAUUCGUCAAAAAACCCGACGAAAAGCCACCGGAGGAGGUGGAGAAAAUCGGGUCGGGUCGAUAGCAUAGAACCGGCUCUAAGGAUCCGGUGCACUUCCUUCCUCUCCUUUCCCCUCCUUUCUCUCUUCUCUCAUUGGUCACUCUCACAUCCCCCCUUUCCUGAUUGGCCCUUCUCUCCCUCAUUUCUCUCCUUUAUCGUCCAUCUCCACCGCCUAACUUUUCUUACUUUUAAUCUGGGCCACACACGUGGCCUUCCGGAUUUGGCUCCAAAAAUCUGGAGCAUUCUAGAAAUGAUAAAUUUACAAUUUUACCCUCGACUUUAAACGUUAAUAACUUCCUCGUUAUAACUCCAUUUCACGAACGGUUUACGCCCACGCGUUCGUGAGGUCAAGCUCUAUUCAAAAAUAUAAAUUGUGACCUCAAAAGGUUCUAUGAAUUUUAAAUAGUUAAUUUCCAAAUUGUAAACCUCGUAACUAGUUUAAUUUAAAACUAAACUUACACAAAUUAUUAUAAAUUCUUGAAAAAUCAUAUAAAAGCUCAAUAAUACAAAUAUGUAGAUUAUUAUAAUUUUUGGAAACAAAACUUUAAAAGUUCUCAAUUUUAAAAGUUCUCGAUUAAAUUCUUCAUAAUCAUAAAUCGAUUUAUUUUCGAUUUUCUCCACAUACUCAUAUAUUUAAAUUUUUCAGGGUAUUACAGUCGGUGUGCAUCCGGUAUGCCAUGGUGGACUCAAAGAGGUUAAGGUGUUCAAUCGGGUCCUCUUUUACAGUAUAGAGUUGCAAGCCAAGCUUCUGCUUUGUCUUUGCCUGGAGGGGGUGUCGAGGAUCCUCCUUAUAAGAGGGCCAGGUCUAGGUUGGUUCUAAUCAGGUAUCUCAGCUUGUCGUUCGGCCCUCAACUUGUUUACUUCCUUAAGGAGUUGUAGGACAAGAAGGUCCUGAGUGGAGUCAUGUACCACUGGAGCUUUCUUUCGUAAAUCUCCAUCUCCUCUUGAGAGUAGGAAGGUUUGAUCAAGAGCAUGUGAUUUUUCCCUGGACUCGCCGUACUAACUUCCAAGGUAUGUCUGUCGGAACAUCUCUGAGUCCCCUCUACCUUCGUGUUUCUCUAGGACUUGUUGCCCCUUCCCCAAAUUGGUAGCCGGCCUGGGACAUGGAAGGGGAUCGAGUCUUUCAGAGACCCUUGGGUCAUUGAUCUUCGAGCUUACAUGGAUGGGAUUGUCUCGACGUUGCUUUAGGAAGUCUCGACAGUCGCGAAAGACGACUUUCGAUCUUUCCACUCCUUCUGUAAGGAUGUGCCUUCCUCCACUCCUCCUGCUUCGGGUCGAAGCAGCUGGGUUGAGAGAAGUCUCAUGUUGGUCGCCAUUUUGAUGAGUAGCUCGCUCCUCAACAAGAAUACCCAUGUCGAAGGCAAAUAACCCUCCAUGUUGAGGGGCACCCAGUUGAUGGUUGACUUCCACAUGGGUGAUGAGCUCGUGUGUUUUAGUAUAUCUAGCCUCGUGGAGCAUCUUAAAGACCUUCUCAUACUGCUCUUAGAGGAUCUCAUUCUUCAUCGCUUCUUUCGUUGCUUCGCACCAGGUGCAAGAGAGGUGUCAUUCUGUGUGUUGUGGCUUCCUUCACUCCCCAUGUUGGAAAGGGAUGCCUGGUCAAAAAAUAGUGUACGAAUGGUGGAAACCAGCUUAAAAAAGCUGAAGAGAGUGGGAAUAAGUGUCGUUCCCACAGACGGCGCCAAAUGUUGAUGCACAAAAUCAGCGAGGACUUUGGUACAACAGAAAGUGUUAAGUUUGUGACCUUCGCUAGAUUGCUCUGGUCACUAGUGUGGAUAAGUAUGUAAAUGGAUAGGGAAAGGAAAGCAAACACCAGAUGUACGUGGUUCAACCAGAUUGGCUACGUCCACGGAGUAGAAGAGUUCUCAUUAAUUGUGAGGGUUUACAUAAGUACAUAGGUUCAAGCUCUCCUUUAGUGAGUACUAGUGAAUGAUUUAGUACAAAUGACAUUAGGAAAUAUUGUGGGAGAAUGAUCUCCUUUUAUAGAAGAGAGUUUCUAGCUUUUUCUGACAUUGACACGUGUCGUGUUGUGAUUGGCUUUCGAUGUUGACACAUGUCGCGCUAUGAUUGGCUUCUGAUGUCGACACGUGUCGCGCUGUGGUUGGCCUUCUGGUUGGAGGGAAACUCUUCUAGGUCCUUGAUGGUAUAACGUUGACCGGUGCUCGGUAGUUUCGGGAUUGGUCAAGUAUGGUACAAACAGUUAGUGCUCGCUUGCAACCCAAUUUGCUGCUAUAAAGUUUUGUGUUUUACAAUAUGUUCAUGCUUAAACCUGUUCCAAUUUUGAAGGUCAAGAUGGGACACCUAUCUGGGCAAUGUUGGGAUGUCUAGGCUUGGGUAGAGAUGUGGACUUAUGGAAGUGGUGAAGUAGCUUAGCUCUAUCUCAUUAGCUCUCAUAUGUUCUGUUUAAGCUCAUUGGUGCUGGCUCUGAGGUUUUUCGAAGCUCUCCGUUUUCGAAAUCUGAAGCUUAGAAUCCCAUUCAACCACAAGGAACUAGAAUAAUUGAAAAAAAAAUGUUUUGACGUCCAAAAAGAAGCAUGUGCAAUCCUCUAAUUUUAUUAAUAUAAAAGAAGUGAUGCAAAUCCAGUAAAGAUGUAAAUAAGAGCUAUUAGUGGGAAAAAAUAGUUGUAUAAUUCCGGGCCUUGAAGAAGGCUACAAAGUAUAUGAGAAUAACGUAUCUAUAUAGUGUUUAUGUUUGUUCAUUUCUCCCUUACGGUUUUUUAUGCCUGUUAACACUUGAAUAAUGAUGCAGGUCAAUCAAGCAAAUAAGAUUCAUAAAGAAAACUCCACAUCUGUUGCCAGUAAUGCUCAUGGGCAGAAGUAUAGGAAACCAAAGCCUACAAAUAUGAAGCCUUUUAGGUUUAGAACUGAUGUAUGUGAAACUUGUUGUGACCAAUUUCUUUAAUAAGUAUUAGUAGCGUUGAUGCUUAAUAUGAUACGUUUUGGGCUUUUUUUUAGGAAAGAGGGAUGUUUAAGGAAGCAACUUUGGAGAAAAAAGCUCAUACACCACUGAAGGAGAUCACAUUAGUCAGGACUCCAGGGGCAAAGUCAACAAGCAAACAUCAGAAUGUGAUACAGGUAUACUUGGGAGCUACAAGUGCUUUGUAUGUGGUUUGAAUAUGAACAAUUACAUUGUGUAUCACCGUCAUAUAGGCAAAUUUGUUAUGUGUGAUGGUGUAUUGACACAUGACUAAAAUGGAUUAUCUAAUUUUAUGCAAUUUAUAAUUUUGGGUUUCUCUAAUUUUCUGCUUUUUUGUGAUUUAUUUGAUGAAAGUUUCAAUCUUCAGGUACAUUUUUCAUAUAUGUACUCAUCAAAUGUCACGAUUACUGUUCCUCUGGUUUUUUGGGCUACAAAUUAAAUUUUGGGGUUGUUUAAAUUUGUUUAAUUUGGUCCAAAAUUAAUUGAUUUGAUGUUCUAGGUUCUUUGUAGGCAAAACAUUGGACCAGUUGGUCAUAUUUGGAAGAGAAAACGAAGAUGGAGUUCUUGGUGUUGCAUGAAGUUGAUGUGUCCUGUCUCCAAUGGAAUAAAUUUGAUGUCACCAUCUUCAGCAUUCCUCAUGCAGACCAUUACUCUUGACUAAGUGAAAAGUACUCGGACCUUAUUGAGUAAGUCACUAAUUAUUCAUUUCAAUUAAAUGCUGAUUAUGAUAUUAUGUGUAAAUAGGAUUGUAAAUAUAUUGUACAUAAAAUUUUCAAUCUCGCAGCAACGCGCGGGCACCAUUGCUAGUUAACACUAGUCCUCAAACUCCGAAAUGCAAACUUGAAUUGUUUCGAAGAUGUGCUGAUAAAAGCAUCUUCCCCUUUGUACAUACAGUGUAUGUAGCUCCUUCGUAACUCCUCAUAUAUCUCACUGUGCCAAAACCACACAACCAAAAUUUAAUUAAAAGCAUACAUACGUGUGUGGGUGAAAACAAAUGUGAAAUUAAAGAUGAUAGGGUGCAUACCAGGCCUGUUCUUUUCUAUGGAAUGCAUCAAUUGUAGGUCACAAUUCUAUCACAACGAGAUACCCUUGUAAUAAACAAAUGCAAAGACAUGUUAAUAAAUUUGAAAACCAGCGAAGAGAAGGAGCACCAUCCGAGAGCUGGCUUAUAUGCCUCCCACUUCCUAUACACUCUCAUCCCUUUUAUUUUGGGUGGUCACGGUUAAGUCAUGUCAAUAUUUUGUAUUGAUUUUUUUAUAGAAAUAAUAAGACAAAAAGUAAUAGUAAUAUAAAAUGUUGACGUGAUUUAACCGUGACCGUACAAAUAAGAAGGGAUAAGAGUGUAUGGGAAGUGGGAGGGCAGAGAAGCUAGCUCCCACCAAUUGACGUGAGGGCUCCCCUCACGCUAUUACCGCGCUAAGCCUCCCACAAUGAAUCAAACCAUUUACUUAGGACAAUUUUUUAAAACUUUUUGUUUUCUCAUCUUUUUCUUCAUCUCAGCAAAAAUACAAGUAUACGAAAAUAACAAGGGAACUUAAACGAAAAGCUUCCGGUAAUGUUCAUUUUAACGAAAAACCACAUUUUUACACUAAAAAGUCAAUCCUGGUACUAUUCAUUUUACUCUUUAUUUUGUCCUUAUCAUUAAAACUCAAAGUUUUCAAGCCCUUUUCAUUAGUUUUCCUAAAUCCUCCUUUUUCAGUAUAUACUAUAUUAGUACAUGUUAGCCCAUUUGAUAUUAUUGUCUUCAUUUUUUUUCAUUAUAUACUAUAUUAGUAGAUUGUUGAAUUAAAAGUCCAAGUCAUCUUCAGUAUAUGCUAUAUUAGUAGAUUGCUAGCGUCUAGACAGGACCUAAGCUUCCGCUUAGAUAAAUUAGACGGUUUUAAGAAAAUUUAUUAUAUAGCUUUAUUAUAUAAAUAAAUUAUACUAGAAAAAAAAAACAAUAAAGCGUUACUAAAAAAAUAGAAAAAUAUUAUUUGCUAAUUAAUCUUGGUUAAUCACUACAACAACAACAACAACAACAACAACAAAGCCUUUUCCCACUAAGUGGGGUCGGCUAUAUGAAUCCUAGAACGUCAUUGCGCUCGGUUUUGUGUCAUGUCCUCCGUUAGAUCCAAGUACUCUAAGCCUUUUCUUAGAGUCUCUUCCAAAGUUUUCCUAGGCCUUCCUCUACCCCUUCAGCCCUGAACCUCUGUCCCGUAGUCACAUCUUCGAACCGGAGCGUCAGUCGGCCUUCUUUGCACAUGUCCAAAUCACCGGAACCGAUUUUCUCUCAUCUUUCCUUCAAUUUCGGCUACUCCUACUUUACCUCGGAUAUCCUCAUUCUCAAUCUUAUCCUUUCUCGUGUGCCCACACAUCCCACGAAGCAUCCUCAUCUCCGCUACAUCCAUUUUGUGUACGUGUUGAUGUUUCACCGCCCAACAUUCUGUGUCAUACAACAUCGCUGGCCUUAUUGCCGUCUUAUAAAAUUUUCCCUUGAGCUUCAGUGGCCUACGACGGUCACACAACACGCCGGAUGCACUCUUACACUUCAUCCAUCCAGCUCGUAUUCUAUGGUUGAGAUCUCCAUCUAAUUCUCCGUUCUCUUGCAAGAUAGAUCCUAGGUAGCGAAAACGGUCACUUUUUGUGAUCUUCGCUAGAUUGCUCCGGUCAUUAGUGUGGAUAACUAUAUAAAUGGAUAGAGAUAGGAAAGCAAACACAAGAUGUACGUGGUUCACCCAGAUUGGCUACGUCCACGGAAUAGAAGAGUUCUCAUUAAUUGUGAAGGGUUUACACAAGUACAUAGGUUCAAGCUCUCCUUUAGUGAGUACAAGUGAAUGAUUUAGUACAAAUGACAUUAGAGUACAAGUGACAUUAGGAAAUAUUGUGGGAGAAUGAUCUCGUAAUCACGAAACUUCUAAGUAUCGGAGUGUGGUAUCAUCUUGACUUGCCUUAUCUGUCUCAUAGGUAGAUGUGGCAGCUUCUCUGGAAGUACUCUUCCUCCAUCCAGGGGUGGUAUCUUUAACUUUAACUGGUGAAGAUGCACAAGGUAAUGUAUCAAUUUCACUUGAAGCUUACUUGUAGUUUCAGGCUUGGUCAAGUGCGAUACAAACCAUGUAGUAGGGGUCCCCCAAGUCGCCGAGCUAGGGGAUCUGCUGAAAGAGGUGACAGACAAGGUAAGCAAUCAGAGCUCCGGCUGAUUGUUCACCUUCUCCCCAUCUUGCAGCAGCAUGAAGGAUAAAGAAGAUAAAGAGAAGAAAAAUGAGAAGAUAUGAUAUGGGAUACUUUUGCUUUUGAAGAAGUAACUUUCCACAGGCUUAUUCUUGAACUGAGCUGGAGGGUUUUCUGGUUUCCUCCAGAGUAUAAGGCCGACUGAAGAAUUUGAGGGUCAAAACAAGUCCAUCAAAUCUAGAGUACGUUCGACCUUGCUGAUAUGGGAUACUUUUGCUUUUGACAGAGUAAUGGAUGUAUCAGCACGUGUGCUGUUACGCUUGUCUCCACAUGCUUCCUUGUAUCCUUCGCACUUGCCCUAUCUGUUCCUCAAGUAGAUGCGGUAUCUUCCCUGGAAACAUAAGGUGUUGAAGAUGAGUACUCAAGAGCAAUGCCAGGUAAGUAAUCAGGUAAGGGGUUCCAGGCAGUCAGUUCCUGGCUGGGAGCUUGAUUUCAAGUGCUGACUGAUUGCUCUCUUUCUCCUUGUCUUGCAGGUAAAAACAAGGCCAAAGGAAAAGACAGGGAAAAAGCAUGAUAUGGGAUACUCUUGCUUUUAACCCUGAUGAUAUGAGAUAUUCUUGCUCUAGUAUAGCUUGUUUGCAAAGAUAUUAUCGGGGGGGGGGGGAAAGAAAGCUGAAUAUUUCGAAAGGUUUCGUUGGGAGUGCCCUCUCAGAUAUGAGGAAUGGUUGAGCAUUUUUGCAGGUCUGCCUGUCCGUUGGGGAUGGAGGUCGACAUAUAUAGAAGUCUCCCUAACAACAAGUAGUAAUGCUAUUCCUUUACCCUGCUUGGUCAUAGCACGGUAGUGGGAGCUGCCAGCUUCACAUGUUUUAACUCUGUCAGAGCACUUUGAAAAAGUGGUAUGUGGUAUCUGGCUCUCGAGAUUCGGAGAACGAUGCUUCUUUGAUUUUUGAGAAAGCAAUCAUGCUAGGGGUCUGGCUCUCGAGAUUCGGGGAGCAGUGUCUCUUCGAUUUUUGAGAAAGUAAUCAUGUUGGGAGUCUGGCUCUCGAGAUUCGAAGGGCGGUGCCUCUUCGAUUUUGGAGUAAGCAAUCUUGUUGGGAGUGUUUUCUCGGAUGUGAGUAAAGGUUGGGCAUGUUUGCUAGUCUACCUUGCCACGAAGCACGGAGGUUGACACACAGGGAUUUUCCAAUUAUCCAGCAGUGGUACUGUUCCUUUACCCUUGUGGGUAAUAAUAUGGUAGCUAGACCUUCAAAAUUUAUGUGUCUAAACUUUGUUAGUGCUGUUUCUUUGUUAUUCUUUUACCUUUCUUGGUCAGAGCGAUGUAGUGGGAGCUGCAAGCUUUACGUGCUCAACUUUGGCAGAGACUUUGACAAAGUUAUCUGUGGUACCCAUGAGCUAUUGUUGCGUGUGGGAAGUGGGUGAUUGAACAGUAAGAUUCAUGUGCUUUCUACUUCACCAGAAGUCUUCGACAGAAUGCCCAUAAUUUCCGCAAAGCUGAGUGUGCGUGUGACAGGUGCUGACAAGGCUAGAAAAGUAGGUGCCUCUUCGAUUUCUGAGAUCGGCCAUCGUGGUCUCUGAGCAGCCCAGCUUUUGAGAAAGCGAGCGCCUCUUUGAUUGAUUCGGAAAACGAUGCCUCUUCGAUUUUUGAGAAAGCAAUUAUGCUGAGGGUCUGGCUCUCGAGAUUCGGGGAGCAGUGUCUCUUCGAUUUUUGAGAAAGUAAUCAUGUUGGGAGUCUGGCUCUCGAGAUUCGGAGGGCGGUGCCUCUUCGAUUUUGGAGCAAGCAAUCUUGUUGGGAGUGUUUUCUCGAAUGUGAGUAAAGGUUGGGCAUGUUUGCUAGUCUACCUUGCCACGAAGCACAGAAGUUGACACACAGGGACUUUCCAAUUAUCCAGCAAUGGUACUGUUCCUUUACCCUCUCUUCGAUUUUUGAGAAAGUAGUCAUGUUGGGAGUCUGGCUCUCGAGAUUCGGAGGACGGUGCCUCUUCGAUUUUGGAGCAAGCAAUCUUAUUGGGAGUGUUUUCUCGAAUGUGAGUAAAGGUUGGGCAUGUUUGCUAGUCUACCUUGCCACGAGGCACAGAGGUUGACACACAGGGACUUUCCAAUUAUCCAGCAAUGGUACUGUUCCUUUACCCUUGUGGGUAAUAAUAUGGUAGUUAGACCUUCAAAAUUUAUGGGUCUAAACUUUGUUAGUGCUGUUUCUUUGCUAUUCUUUUACCCUUCUUGGUCAGAGCGAUGUAGUGGGAGCUGCAAGCUUCACGUGCUCAACUUUGGCAGAGAACUUUGGCAAAGUUAUCUGUGGUACCCAUGAGCUAUUGUUGCGUGUGGGAAGUGGGUGAUUGGACAGUAAGAUUCAUGUGUUUUCUACUUCCCCAGAAGUCUUCGACAGAAUACCCAUAAUUUCCGCAAAGCUGAGUGUGCGUGUGACAGAUGCUGACAAGGCUGGAAAAGUAGGUGCCUCUUCGAUUUCUGAGAUCGGCCCUCGUGGUCUCUGAGGAGCCCAGCUUUUGAGACAGCGAGCGCCUCUUCGAUUUCUGAGAUCGGCUUUCGUGGUCUUUGAGCAGCCCAACUUUUGAGAAAGCAAACACCUCUUCGAUUUAUGAGAUCAACCCUCGUGGUCUCUAAGCAGCCCAGCUUUUGAGAAAGCAAACGCCUCUUCGAUUUCUGAGCAGGCGCCUCUUCGAUGUCUGAAGCUCCGUCGAGUGCAGCUUUUUAUAGGGGCUGGCAUUAAGUUCCAAAGCACACUUGAAUCUCCACCAGUAGAAGCUCCAUUCUUGCACUUCUAAGAUCUUAAUUUGUUCGACCUCUUCUCUCUUCAACACCUUUGAAAAUGUCUGGCCCCUCCGACCGUCGUUUUGACUUGAACCUUGUUGAAGAGGCAGCCCCGCCUUCUCCAGACAACAUAUGGCGCCCAUCCUUCGUCUCCCCUACUGGUCCUCUUACCGUUGGGGAUUCCGUGAUGAAGAAUGAUAUGACCGCUGCGGUGGUGGCCAGGAACCUUCUCACUCCCAAAGAUAACAGACUACUUUCCAAACGGUCUGAUGAGUUAGCUGUUAAGGAUUCGCUGGCUCUCAGUGUUCAGUGUGCAGGUUCUGUGUCUAAUAUGGCCCAACGCCUAUUUGCUCGAACCCGCCAAGUUGAAUCAUUGGCGGCCGAAGUGAUGAGUCUCAAACAGGAGAUUAGAGGGCUCAAGCAUGAGAAUAAACAGUUGCACCGGCUCGCACAUGACUAUGCUACAAACAUGAAGAGGAAGCUUGACCAGAUGAAGGAAACUGAUGGUUAGGUUUUACUUGAUCAUCAGAGAUUUGUGGGUUUGUUCCAAAGGCAUUUAUUGCCUUCGUCUUCUGGGGCUGUACCGCGUAAUGAAGCUCCAAAUGAUCAACCUCUGAUGCCUCAUCCUUCUAGGGUUUUGUCCAGUACUGAGGCUCCGAAUGAUCCCCCUCCGAUGCCUUCUCUUUCUGGGGCUCUACCGAUUGCUGAGACUUCUCCUAAGCAACCUUUGUGAAGGCUCCAUCUUGUUUGUUUAUUUUGACUCAUGUAUAUGUACAUAUUUGUAGCUUAUCGGGGAUAUCAAUAAAUAAGCUUUCCUUCAUUUCCACGUAUUGUAUAAAUACACCAAAGCCUUCUUCGCUAAGUUCUUUGAAUUUUCUUUUGUUGAAGCUUGUAUGUUGAAGCUUUCUGAGUGGAGCAUGUAGGUUGGGGUAGUGUUCCCCUAAUUUUCCGAAUGAGGAAAACUUCUCGGUUGGAGACUUGGAAAAUCCAAGUCACUGAGUGGGAUCGGCUAUAUGAAUCUUAGAACGCCAUUGUGCUCGGUCAUGUGUCAUGUCCUUCGUUAGAUCUAAGUACUCUAAGUCUUUUCUUAGAGUCUCUUCCAAAGUUUUCCUAGGUCUUCCUCUACCCCUUCGGCCCUGAACCUCUGUCCCAUAGUCGCAUCUUCUAAUCGGAGCGUCAGUAGGCCUUCUUUGCACAUGUCCAAACCACCGUAACCGAUUUUCUCUCAUCUUUCCUUCAAUUUCGGCUACUCCUACUUUACCCCGGAUAUCCUCAUUCCUAAUCUUAUCCUUUCUCGUGUGCCCACACAUCCAACGAAGCAUCCUCAUCUCCGCUACACCCAUUUUGUGUACGUGUUGAUGCUUCACCGCCCAACAUUCUGUGCCAUACAGCAUCGCCGGCCUUAUUGCCGUCCUAUAAAAUUUUCCCUUGAGCUUCAGUGGCAUACGGCGGUCACACAACACGCCAGAUGCACUCUUCCACUUCAUCCAUCCAGCUUGUAUUCUAUGGUUGAGAUCUCCAUCUAAUUCUCCGUUCUUUUGCAAGAUAGAUCCUAGGUAACGAAAACGGUCGCUCUUUGGUAUUUCUUGAUCUCCGAUCCUCACCCCUAACUCGUUUUGGCCUCCAUUUGCACUGAACUUCCAUAUAUUCUGUCUUUGAUCGGCUUAGGCGAAGACCUUUAGAUUCCAACACUUCUCUCCAAAGGUUAAGCUUUGCAUUUACCCCUUCCUGAGUUUCAUCUAUCAACACUAUAUCGUCUGCGAAAAGCAUACACCAAGGAAUAUUAUCUUGAAUAUGUCCUGUUAACUCAUCCAUUACCAACGUAAAAAGGUAAGGACUUAACGAUGAGCCUUAAUGUAAUCCUACAGUUAUGGGAAAGCUUUCGGUUUGUCCUUCAUGAGUUCUUACGGUAGUCUUUGCUCCUUCAUACAUAUCCUUUAUAGCUUGGAUAUAUGCUACUCGUACUCCUUUCUUCUCUAAAAUCCUCCAAAGAAUGUCUCUUGGGACCCUAUCAUACGCUUUUUCCAAAUCUAUAAAGACCAUGUGUAAAUCCUUUUUCCCAUCUCUAUAUCUUUCCAUCAAUCUUCGUAAGAGAUAGAUUGUCUCCAUGGUUGAGCGCCCUGGCAUAAACCCGAAUUGGUUGUCCGAAACCCGUGUCUUUUGCCUCAAUCUAUGCUCAAUGACUCUCUCCCAGAGCUUCAUUGUAUGACUCAUUAACUUAAUACCCCUAUAGUUCAUGCAAUUUUGUAUGUCGCCCUUAUUCUUGUAGAUAGGCACCAAAGUGCUCGUUCGCCACUCAUUUGGCAUCUUCUUCGUUUUCAAAAUCCUAUUGAAAAGGUCAGUGAGCCAUGUUAUACCUGUCUCUCCCAAAACUUUCCACACUUCGAUUGGUAUAUCGUCUGGGCCUAUUGCUUUUCGAUGCUUCAUCUUCUUCAAAGCUACAACCACUUCUUCCUUCCGGAUUCGACGAUAAAAGGAGUAGUUUCUACACUCUUCUGAGUUACUCAACUCCCCUAAAGAAGCACUCCUUUCAUGUCCUUCAUUGAAAAGAUUAUGAAAAUAACCUCUCCAUCUGUCUUUAACCGCGUUCUCUGUAGCAAGAACAUUUCCAUCCUCAUCCUUGAUGCACCUCACUUGGUUUAGGUCCCUUGUCUUCUUUUCCCUUGCUCUAGCUAGUUUAUAGAUAUCCAACUCUCCUUCUUUGGUAUCUAGUCGUUUAUACAUAUCGUCGUAAGCCGCUAACUUAGCUUCUCUGACAGCUUUCUUCGCCUCUUGCUUCGCUUUUCUAUACCUUUCACCAUUUUCAUCGGUCCUCUCCUUGUAUAAGGCUUUACAACAUUCCUUCUUAGCCUUCACCUUUGUUUGUACCUCCUCAUUCCACCACCAAGAUUCCUUUUGGUGUGGGGCAAAGCCCUUGGACUCUCCUAAUACCUCUUUUGCUACUUUUCGGAUACAACUAGCCAUGGAAUCCCACAUUUGGCUAGCUUCCCCCUCUCUAUCCCACACACAUUGGGUGAUUACCUUCUCUUUGAAAAUGGCUUGUUUUUCUUCUUUUAGAUUCCACCAUCUAGUCCUUGGGCACUUUCAAGUCUUGUUCUUUUGUCUCACUCUUUUGAUAUGUACAUCCAUCAACAACAAGCAAUGUUGAUUAGCCACGCUCUCUCUUGGUAUAACUUUGCAAUCCUUACAAGUUAUACGAUCCUCUUUCCUCAUUAGAAGAAAAUCUAUUUGUGUUUUUGAUUUUAUCUAUCAUUUUAGUAUUUUAUUCAUUUUUAUGUUCAUUUUUUAGGAAAGGGAUCCUCUCCAGAUCCCUUCCACUAAGAUCACAAAUUUGGACUUUGAAAUUUGAUUCAACGGUUACAAAUAGGGGUCUAUUUUAAAAGUUAUAAUAACUUUGGUCAUUAGAUCACAAGUCCGAAUUUAAAGCCUUGGUGAACUUGGUGGACUUGGUUUUAUCACAUUUUUAUAUAUUUAUAUAUUUUAUUAUUAUUUUCUCUUUCUCUGUGCCACUCUUUCAUUUGAACUCCCACCUUGACUUAUCUUAUCUCUCUCUCUUUACCGUUUCAAUUUCUUUCUCAGAAAAACAAAUCGUGGUCUUCCUUGUUUUAAUUCCACACGAUCCGAAUCUUUGAGGGCUAAGAAUAUAGUAAUUCACUACAAGAAAUUUCAUAAGAUUUGGAAUCUAUCUUUCCAAGGUUAUCAAGAAAUUAAGUGUAGAACUUAGCCUGAAAGUAUGCAAGAAAAAUAUGGAUUGCCCUAAUGGAUGAUGGUUAGUGCAUUUCUAUUUUACUCACUGUGUUUUGAGUUAACACUUCCACUUGUCUUUAGUAUAGUGUAGAAUAUCACUUGUAACUAAUAAAAGAACAAGCUCGUUCUCAUUCAAUUGACGUAUUUACACGUUUGACGUUUAAAGUUUUGAACUUUCUCAAUUAUUGACCAAUUUCUUUUAAGAAAUUUCUAAGCACUUUCAAUUGAGUACAUUUUUAUAAUAUCCUUAAACAAAAAGAAGUGAAUUUUACACUACAAAAUCAUGGCUAAGAUUAUAGUCCUUCACUAUUGGAGAUUCCUAAUGAUUUAGAAUUGUCUUUUCGAGUACAGGUGGCUCAACUUAUUGGAUUAUUACUCGGUAACUAUUAAGAGUCUAAAACCUAUUUAGUUUGAGUUCAUAACAAUAAGGUAUACACAAUCAUCAACACUACCAAUCUCACCAUCAUAUUAUGCUGAAAUUAAACAUCAUACCAUAGUAAAAUCAAACUAAAUGGAUCUUAAUGAUAUGUGUUAUAGAAUAUGUUAAGCUGUUCAUAUAGUUAUAAUACACACACAAAAUCUUGUUUUCUAUGUCCUAACUUUUCACAUUGUUGGUCAGUAUUUCACUUUUAUUUCUUCUUUGUUGCAAAAAAGAUGAUUUUCUUGUACCAUGCAUAGGAUUUUUAGAAAUGAAUCAAAACUAACAUGCAAUAUUGAACUUCUGCUUUUCACUCGCUUAUUGAUUGGAUUACAAUCUUAGAUUGAGAAAAGCCUUCCACAAGCUGAAAAAACAUAGUUAAGAAAAGAAAUAAGCUGUUACUUUUCUUUCAUUACUAGUUGUGAAUUUACUCAGAAUAGCAAUUGAAUAUAAAGAUAUUAAAUUCAUGAAUUGUACGACAGAAAACAACAAAUGCAAAUGAUAUUUUCUUUAGAAAUAUAAUUUUAAAUUACAAUUUUCUUAAGCUAUAUUAACAGUGGGACCUAAAGAGCACUAACAAUUGGAGUUAGAUAUACGUGGUGGGCUAGUCUCACUGGACUCGCUUUUGGGACGAGUCCGGCUAGCAUUCUCCCUUAAAAAAUGGUCUUCCCAACAAGGCCAUCAUCACAUCGAAUUCACCUUCAUUUUUGGUUGAGGUCAAUUUUCAUCAUUGAGCGCUAGUUGAUUAUACCUAAUGGGCCGGGCUCAUUAGUCAGUGGCAGUUUUGAAAUAUCACAACAAUACAGUACCGUUUUUGUCACAAAAACAAGGAAAAAUCAAUUAACGACUUUUUGCAUCUGUCAGUGUCUCCGUCGUCUUCUGAUUAUCCUCCUAAUCGGAGAAGAAGGGCAACCAAAUCCCCGCUGUAAGUCGUCGUUUUCUAAGGCAUCGAAAUCUUCGUCCUCCGAAUUCGUGGUUUUCUGAUUCUCCUCGGCGCUCCUCACGGGCACGGUAGCCUGAGCGCGCGGCGCUCGAUUGAUUCCAUGGUCUGGUCUUCUGCGAUUCGUAAUCCGACGGUGGCGAUGGCGUCGGGGCAGAAACAAUCGGCGAAUGUGGAUCUCUUCGAUGCGUAUUUCCGACAAGCCGAUUUGGACCGCGAUGACCAGAUUAGUGGCAAUGAAGCCGUCGCUUUCUUCCAGGGCUCCGAUCUCCCCAAACAGGUCCUUGCGCAGGUACUCUCUAUAUAUGUAUAUUCUGGUGUACAUAUGUAUAAUUGGAUGUGUAUUGUGGUGCGUAUGAUUAUAUUUGUGUAAUAAUAUUGGUUGAUCGGGAUUUGAUGCUGGUGGAAAUGUGUUCCAAAUCAGAUUGAUUUUGAAUUUGUAGUCUAAUUGUAGUUGAAGUGGUUAAUGUGAGCUCGGGAUGUCGUAAUUUGCUGAUCUAAGCUGAGAUUUUUAUUUUGUGUUAGUAUAAUUAUAAAUGCAGAAUUGAUGUUCAAAUGGUAGAAAAUAAGUAGAUUAAGGAUUUAUACUACAGAUAGUAAGGUUGAGAGAGUUAUGUUAUCAGGUCAUUAAUUUACUUUCUGGUGUAUCCGUUCGACCUUAGGUGGUAAGUAGACUUUAGAAAUGUGUUAUAUGACCCAAGGACUGACCUAGGAUUGUUUAUUACAUUACAAUAAUGUAGUUGUAAUGUAACUGAACUGAUGCAUCUUUGCAAAACUUGUACCAUCCCUAUCCCGGAGUUGAAGUUGUUUAUUUUUCCUCUUUUGGGUGGUGGAUGAUUGACAAUGUUUAGUUGGUGGAUUGUCAUUCUUUGCAUGAUGUGUUUGUAUUUUGAUGUAAAAACUUACUUGAUGCCAAAAAUAGUUUGUAGAUAUAAAAGUUUAUUUGUAAUUGGGAGUAAUUUUUUGCUGCCCAAUUGACAUACAAUCAUCCAUGUGCUAUUAAAUUGAGUCACGUCUGAAUGUGCAGUCUAGAUUGAUAGUAUUACUACCCAUCAUGCUACAUGAUCUUUGAUGGAGCGGUUUAGGGAGGGACGCCUCUUCCAGCAGUGCUACCAAGCAUUAUUAUGUUUGAUUUAUCCAAUAAUUUUCAACCUGCAAAUAAUCACUCCAAGGAUGGCCAUGUGGCCUGCAAAUAAUCAAUAAAACAAAUCACUUUUAUUUGAUGGAGAAUAAUUUCUUAUUUUUCACUAUAAAAGGCUUUCAACAACAGCAACCCAUGCCUGGUCCUGGUGCUCGGCACAUGGCAACCCCAGCUGGAGGAAGGCCACCGAAGCCAGUUGCUCCUUCUCAUACUGAGGAAAAUCAGCAGGCCAAGCAGCAGAAACCUAGAGUACCAGAAUUGGAGAAACAUCUUGUAAAUCAAUUGAGUACAGAGGAGGUUAACUCACUGAACUCAAAGUUCAAAGAAGCAACCGAAGCUGAUAAAAGAGGUACUUAGAACUUUUAUGUUUCCCCAAUUUUUUCAGCUUGAGUAGAAUAGUUAUGUGUGCAUGUUACUUUCUGAUAAGUGUCAAAUCAUGACAAAUAUCCCAAAGACUUGGAAUUCUUGUGAUUGGGGGUUUUACUUUGUUCUUAAUAUCGCUCAUUUCCGUGGAGAAGAUUUUGAUCGUGUUUAAGUAGGGAGACUGUUCGGGUUUUGAAGCUCAUGAUCAGUUCUUUUAUAAUAGUAAUCUUAAUGAUUGGCACUUCAUUUGUAUUUAGUGCAUGGCAGUCAUUUUACUUUCUUUGCGAUUGUGGGGGACAACUUAACCGAAGAGAUUGCUUUUUGUUGAGGUGAUUGGGUAGGCAAUUAAAGCAUUCCUUUUUAUGCACCAUAAUGGUGAUGAAAUAAAGAUCCAAAUUUGGUUGAACGGGAACCGGGGCAUGGGAAGAAUUUAUCGUGUGUGAAUUUAGACCACCUUUUUAGAAGAUAACUAGAAAAUGAGCCAACGCAAUGCCGCGGGUCUUAAAAUGUCAAUCCACGUAAGAAGAGUUGAAGAACUAACAAUUGCAGCAACAUUGGGUUUUGCAGUGCCAAAUUCAAUUAAGUAAUACUCCUAAAAAUAUACAUGAUUGGCAUCUUACAUCAUAUAUACUAAUUCUAUUUACAUCCUUGGUUUCAUGAAAGGGAGUUGUUAGUGAUACUGUAAAAAAGUUAUUGCAUUGUCAGCUGAAUACGUAUUUAAAACAAAGCAAAGUGAAAAGACACGGUUUAAUAUUCCAAUGAAUUAAAAAAAAUCAGAAAUGUGAGUUCUAAUUGAAUUCAUUCACAAACAAUUACUAAAUUAAUUUGAAAAUUAAAAUGGGUGUAUCCACAAACCGACGAUCCUAAAUCACCUGCUUAAUUAUGUGAGCCACAUUGUUUGAUAUCUGUAUUGUUAUUCGGCUUGACACAUCUGAGCAGGGGACUCCAUGAAAGCUACAAUGUCCAUAAAAUGUAAUUAUUCCUAAUUAUAAGCAGUGAAUCAAACAUACAUAAAAUGGUACGAUCUAGUUUUAUUCCUUUCCACAAAGCUCUUAGGUUCGACUCUUAUGAAAUGCUGACUUCGAUACAAAUUAUUAAUGACAGAAAUACUCCAGCAUCUUUUGCGUUCAAGUACUACUACUUAAAGAUGUUAACACACCCAUAAGCUGACUAAUUCUAACGGUUGUGAUUUUCACACACCCUUAACUACUUUUCCCACACCCCUUCCUAUUUUUUAAUAGUUAAUUGAUAUCCUACUAUUUAAUCUUCCAUAUAUACCCUUCUUACUUUUUUAUGGUAAUUAAUGAAAGACUAAAUAGGAAGGGGUAUAUAUGGAAGAUUGAAUAGUAGGAUACUAAUUAAGUACUUAAAAAAUAGGGAGGGGUGUGGGAAAAGUAGUUAAGGAUGUGUGAAAAUCACAACUACUAUAUACUUAUAUGAAGAAGAACCAACAGAGUGAGUAAAAACAAAUUCUUAGCAAAAGAAUUAGCUAAUUCAAUUAACAACUACUAAUCAAACUGCAAAUGCAACAUAUGAGUUUUUCUGGCUUCGAAGUUCAAACAUAGAACCAACAGAGUCAAAGGUCUUCAUAUGCAUUAUGAGAAAAAACUCAUUACGGUAUCAGAAAUCAUAACUUAAAGCUAAACCAAAAAAAGUAAAGAGACACAAUUGAUGUCCUUUAUGUCCAUCUAAGAGAUGGGCAAGUAAAUUUUGUGAAGAAAGACCUGCUGGUUUGUCCAACCUGAGAAGAUAAUAAGUUCAUUGAAGAUUCAUUGCUGGAGUGGUUGAUUUAUUUAAGUGAUUUCUAUUUUGUUGAGAAAAUGAUACCGCCAUAAAAAGAAAAAAAAAAACAAGAAAUACAUAACAGUGCAAUCAAAUCAUUUUUUUAUGUCCUAUACAGUCGGGUAGAAGGUGCCCAAAUCAAAACAAAAUGGGUAUCUGCAGACUUGCUUGCUCUAAGGACACAACGAUUUCCUACUUUAGUAGAAUCACAUCCAACUCUAUCAAUCACUUCUGAAAUAGUAAAAGACCAUGAAAUUGUGCAGUCACUAAAGACCUAAAUACUGAAAUCACAAAAGAAAAACAACUCAAUUCAUAAAUUAAUGAAUGAAAGGAGUAUAAAGUUCAAUCAUAAACUAAGAAGAGUGAGAAAACAUUUAGAAAGUUUUCUCAUAAGAAAAUUUGUAUUAAUAGGAAAACUAAUUAAAAGGGCUUGAAAACUUUGAGUUUUAAUGAUAAGGACAAAAUAAAAGGUAAAGUGAAUAGUAUCAGGAUUGAUUUUUUAGUGUAAAAAUGUGGUUUUUCGUUAAAGUGAACAGUACCGAGUGCUUUUCGUUAAAGUUCCCAUAUAAUUUAGUCCUUCUCGGGCUUAAAAGUACCAUGUAUGACACACAUUAAUGUAAUCAACUGCUCAGAUAAUUUAGGAGGCGAAAACCAAAGCCAAAUUUUGUUCAUUUCAUGCCUUGAAAGCAGACUCUUCAGUCUAUACAGUCCAAAAGGAUAUAAUACUACCUGAGGACCAUCAGAUCACUUGAAAGUGUAUCCCAAGUGUGAAGGCUGUAAGCAAAAUUGAACUCCUAGGUUAAGAGGAGGGUGAUCCACUUAAAUGCAUAAAAUUGGGGAUUGACCUGUCAUUUAAAAUAGGAGCCCGGUCAGUCCUGUAUAAAGAAUUCUAGUGACCUAAAUAUGAUAUUCUCGAAUAACCAUGAAAACCUUAACGUGGUGAAUAUUUAAGCAGCAUUUUACUAUUUAUAAGGCUGUCAACAGGUGACACAUAAUAAUUCUAUCAGCCGUCUUGGAAAAAUUAUUAUUUUUUAUCAAAUCUCUAAGGAGAUUAGUAAUAAGAAAGUGAUAGGCAGUCACUGGAUAAGCUUGAACCUGGAACAACCUAGCUAAAUAGUAUCCGAGGCCAUUCCAUGCCAUACUAAUGGCAUACUAAUGCAUACAUUCCUCUUCAAUUACAUUUACAUAAAUGUGUUACUGCAUACCAUGUCAUGUUUUAUAUAAAUAUAAUCCUCCAAUUUGACACAGUUGGUCACCAAAAAAAUAUAUGGAGAAUCAAAUUGAAAAAUCCAACAUAACCCAAAUUUACAUUAACAGACAAACAGAUGCUAUAGUAAAGAAAAAGAGAGCCAAGAACAGAAUUUUACUUUAUCUAUGCCGAUGACUGUAUGAGAACGAAACAAAGACCAAUUGGAAUGCAAAAAAUAAUGAAGUGAAAUAAGCAUAUGGAAGUGUUAUUUAUGAUGAAGUGAAAUUAACCACUAUGGUUUAUUUGACAUAUGGAUAAUUUCGUCUAAGAAAGAGAAAUAAGUAUAUGGAAGCGUUAUAUAUAUAUAUAUAUAUAUAUAUAUAUAUAUAUAUAUAUAUUGUGUAUUGGGAUUUGAGAAAGACAAUAAUGUAAUUAUCAUUACCUAUUGGUUUUGAAUUUGGGUGUUCGGAAGACUUAAUAUUUGGUUUAGUUUGUGUAGCUUUUUUUUGGGUAUCUUUAUUUUCUUCUAAUCAUGCAAUUUCAUAUUGUAUGUUUGAAUGCUUUUGUUUCAGAAGACCUGACAAAAAUGAGAAAAGAGAAUGGAGACCUGAUGGCAUGUUGUUGGUUGAAAACUAUAUGAGAAUACAGAAAGGCCAAACCUUUGGGGUUAUUUUAAGUUAAAAAACUAUUGAUGCAACAAAUACACUUAAUGCACACUCCCAAAUGCAGUCUUCGUGUUCCCAUCGCAACACUAUGCAUCUAAAUCCUAUACUCACUUCAUAAAGGUUAUGAAAACCCCAUCAAUUUAGGGAAUAUAAUUGUAAUAUGUAGACCUGACAUUUUGAACCUGACCCGACCCGAUCCGUUAAUAUUAGUAUUUGGGUGGAUGCUUAACAGGUCAGGUCGCUAAUGGGUGAACCCGUUAACAACCCAUUAAAUAACGGGUCACUUUGGGUCAACCCGUUAGCACCCGAUAGUUGAGGAUGUUUUAGUAAUUUCAGUAAAGUCUUAACAACAAAAAAUAAACUCUAUGCAAAAAAUAAUAAUAAUAAUAAUAAUUGUUAAUGGGUGGAACGGGUGACCCGUUAACUUAACGGGUCGGGUUCAGGUGAUCCGUUAGCUUAACGGGUUGAGUUCGGAUGACCCGUUAGCUUAACGGGUCGGAUUCAACCCGACCCAAACCCAAUAAACCUGACCCGUUUACAGGUCUAGCAAUAUGCAUAAUUAGUUGAUAUCAACCACGCAUAUCUCACACAACUAAGAAUGCAGGGCCAAAAUAAAACACCCCAACCCUCUUUUAUAUUUUAAAAUUGUUUUAAAGCCUUAAUUGGUGAGCCCGUGGAGCCCACCUUGUUUAUUUUUUUUAUGUUUUCUGAUCUCUCUCUUCCUUCUUCUUCGUCUUUCUCCCCCGUAACUCUCCCUUAGCUCUCUCCUUGUCAGCUCUCCCGUCUCUCUCUCCCUCAACCUCUCGCAUCUCUCUCUUCCCCUGGACUCACUAGGACCGAGUCACCAUCGAAGAGAGGCUCGCAACGAACCCCGGACCCUGCCCUGCGAGUUCGACGGCACGGAGUAAGCUCCGGCGAGCACCGCCCCUUUCGAGGCCAUUUCCGGCCAAACCACGGCGAGUUGGCCGGCGUGUAAGGUAUCAAUCUCUUCGUCUCCUUGAGUACUACAACUUUCCUUUUUGUUUCACUCAAUUUCGUUGAAUAUUGAAGAAGUUAUACUCAUUUGAAUCUUACCCAGUUUCCGGCGAGUCCGACGGCUUUCGAGGCAUUUUCCGGCCAAACCACGGCGAGUUAGACGUCGUGUGAGGUACCAUUCUCUUCGUCUCUUCAAGGGCUACAACUUUCAUUGUUGUCUUGCUUGAUUUCGUUGAGUAUUGACAAAGUUAUGGCCAUUUAAAGUUGGGUGGUUUUCCGGCCGAAAUUCCGGCCUUCUCCUUCAACAAACCCAGGCCAUCCGGCCUUUCCCUCUCCCUCGGGCCUUAGGCCCGUGUUGCCUUAGCCCAGUACCCUAACCCAUUCAGUUUUUAUUUUUAGUUAUAUGUUUUUAAAACCCAAAGGGCUCGGGCCCUAGUUUUGGUUGGCCUUGGGCCGGUUUUCAACCAAGGGCUUAAAGCCCUGAUUUCUGUUAGGAGGCCUUAGGGCCUUGUGUAGUGUGUGUGUGUGUGUGUAUGUUUAUAGUAUAUGUAUGUGUUUGGGCUUAAACCCAAACCCCUUUCCUAACCCUAAACCAUUUUAACCCAAAACCUUAGAAAUCCAAACCACCCAUUUUCACCAUAAACCCUUUUAACCUUAGAACCCUAAAAUCAAAACCCAAUAAAUCCUAAUCCUAUUUAACCUAAACCCUAAUCCGGAUUUCAAGCCUAAAACCCGUUAGACCUAAUUUGACCGUUGACAUCCGGUCAACAUUGACUUUAGAGUUGACUUUUCGGGUUUUCGUCCGGGACCCUUCUUAGGGUAAUUCGACGUUCUGAAUCCGUUUCCAACGUCCGUUUUCCCAAAUUCAAUUUCUAUUAUAUAGUUUUAUUAAUUGGACCCUUUAUGUGCUUAGGGGCAAUUAUUGUGACGUUUUCGUCUUCGCUAGUGGCGCAGCUUUUGACAGCGAAGUACUGUGAGUGGACCCAGGGGCGGAUCCACAGUGGGGUCGUCGGGGUCGCACGACCCCUUGGAAACCAUGGAAACAACCUUGAAGCUCCCAUAUGCGACCUCUUGGAGCUGGGGUCGUCAGGGUCGUCGUCAGGAAGAGGAAGAAGAAGACUCGGCAGCGGCAGGAAGAGGAAGAAGAAGCAGCAAGAGCUUGUGACAAUAAACACAACUAGUUGAAGUUGAUGAGCAACAAGAGCUACUGCAACGGUUGUGUUUAUUGUCAUUUUCUUUUUUCUUUUUAUUCCAGGUUGUCAGCCUGCUCUUUGCAUGGUCUUGGCUCUUGGUAGGAGUUUUGAUCACAAAUCAAGAGAUGAGUCGGACAACAAAUGAGAGUGAAGAUGGAGUGCUGUCCAAGGAUCAGAUUGAUUCUCCGUUGAUGGAUGAGAGUAAUGGAGGAAGUGGAAAUGGUGGAAUGGUUCUAAAGAAAGGGACAUGGACCUCGGCUGAAGAUGCAAUUUUGGUGGAGUAUGUUAAGAAGCAUGGGGAGGGAAACUGGAAUGCCGUUCAGAAGCACUCAGGCCUGUUCCGUUGUGGCAAAAGCUGCCGGUUGCGAUGGGCAAAUCACCUAAGGCCGAACCUGAAGAAAGGGGCAUUGACUCUUGAAGAAGAACGUCUCAUUGUUGAACUCCAUGCCAAGAUGGGGAACAAAUGGGCACGCAUGGCUGCACACGUAGUGAUUUCUAUUCGUUAUGUGUGUUCCAGUAGUGAUUUCUCUCAAUUGGAAGGGAUUGAUGAUCUUGCAAAAAAAAUGGUGGAGACAAGGAUGCAUCAAGUAUUCAAUUAUGUAUAUUUGCUCAUUACAUUGUCUUUAGUUUUACCAGUUGCAACUGCUUCAGUGGAGAGAGCAUUUUCUGUCAUGAAUAUUGUUAAGGGUCCACUUAGGAACAAAAUGGGAGAUCAAUGGUUGAGUGAUAGCUUGCUUGUUUAUAUUGAGAGAGAUAUUUUUGCUUGUAUUGAAAAUGAAGCUAUAAUACUUCGUUUUCAAAAUAUGAAAUCUCGUCGUGGACAAUUAUAGUUUGUAAUAUUGUUUCCGUUAUGAAUUAUGAAUGAAAGUACUAUGAUUUCAUUGCCAAUAUGUUUUUCCAUCCUAAAUUUUUAUUUGAACUUUUACACUGCGACCCCUUGGGGUAAGAUUCCUGGAUCCGCCACUGAGUGGACCCCUUCUAAAAUUACAUGAUUUGAUAAUUUAAUUGCAUAAAUGAUUAGCAUGCCUACGGAUUUAUGAUUUGAUUUAUGUGAAGCCUGAUGAUUUAAUAUAUUGAUUAUCGUCUCGUGUUUUUGGUGAGGAAUUAAUUGUUGGCCUAUAUUGAGCUAUAUUUUAAUAUAUCGUAUUUUCUAUAAAAAUCAUGAACUGGUAGACUAUCUGAUUGAUGAUGAUAGGAUGCUAGAACAUGAUUUUGAACCCUCUUUAUAGCGUAGACGAUAAUCGGUAACCUAUGCUACGAAGUGGUAUUUAUGAGAGGCGUAAAUAUUUGUGCGUACCUAGUAGACACUAUGCAUGCCGCCUGGGGCGAGGAUCUGGUGUUGGCAUGUAGGCCGGGAGAAAUAAUCCCUAGCGAAAGGCUGAGGGACACGGAGACUGGCAUUGGGCCCGGGAGGGAGUUAUCUCUGGCUACGGGCACAGAGACUGAGGUGCGGGCAUUGGGCCGGGAGUUAUAUUUAUUCGGUGAUCUUACUAGCAGCACACCGCGUUUACGAGACGAUUUUACGAGAUGUUUUACGCGAUGAUUUAUAUGAUGUUUUCCGCGUUAUGGCUUUUGAGAUAUUUUUUGGCAUGCUAGGAUUUUUAUUAAAUCCAUCACUUAUUAUGCUAGUAGUUUUCAUUUAUAUAAACUUUGGGGGUUAGUAUCUUGAUAACUGUUUUAUUAUUAUUGUAUAUAAACUUGGUCCACUCACCUUUGUUUUGCGCCCCCAUUCAGGACUUAGAAUCAAGGCACCUAAUCCCGACGUGAAGACACUUCCGCAGCAGCAUCUUCGGAUCCUCUCGAUGUAGGACCCACUUCUUUAUUCAUUCAAUUUUAUCUCAAUUCUUUUUAGUGAUUAGGUUUAGUUGUAUGUUCUGAACACGUUCUUAAAAUUAUUAACUCUUAUUUAUUUCUUAUUCUUAGUUUUUGUAUCAAUUAAUGGCUUUCGUCACCCUCGGGUGUCGGCCAGCACGUGUCUAUCCUGGUAUUCGGGGAAUAUCAGGGUCGGGGCGUGUCAGAUUGGAACAUGUUCUUAAAAUUAUUAACUCUUAUUUAUUUCUUAUUCUUAGUUUUUGUAUCAAUUAAUGGCUUUCGUCACCCUCGGGUGUCGGCCAGCACGUGACCAUCCUGAUAUCCCGAAGAUAUCGGGAUCGGGACGUGUCAGAUUGGUAUCAGAGCGUGGUUUGUUCAGAGCAUACUUAGGAUUCUUUUCUAUUCUCUUAAAGUGUUGGUUUUGACAUCAUUUGGAUGUCACGACUUCCGGAUUUUGUGCCAGUCGGCGCAGUUGUGUGAAUCUCUCUCUGAUUGAAUUAUCACCUUUUAGUUGAAAUACAAGAAUUCGUGUCGGGAUUGUGCCUCAACAGUGAUGAAGUGGAUUGUUGGAUGACUUUCGACCUCGGAUCGAUACUCAGACGAUGUGUUUUAGAAAUCUCAAUUUGAAGAAUUCUGGUUAAGACCAGCUGUAGAUUCGAAAUGGCGAUGCCACUCUGCAACAUGCGUUCCCUAGGAAUUGCGGGCGGAGUCGGCUCUACAUCGAAAUCUUGAGAAACUCCUCGGCAGCAGACGCUAUUCUCAUCAAUUUCCAAAAUGAGUUGCAAUUCUUAUUGUUGUUAUAGUUGGACUUGGAUGAUGAAUAUCCAUUCUUGUUUGGAUAAACAGAUUCCUUGAAUUUCACCUGGGUUUGGUACUUGGUGGCAAACUCUAGUUCCUCGUCCGCGUACUUUUCGGGGAAGGUGAACUUAGUCUCUUGCUUACAACCUAAAUGUUCAGCCUUGUAAUUUUCAGUGUAAUGGCUUGAGACUCUAUCAUAUUCAUCAUUGUACGAAGAUCGAACUUUACUCUAAACUUCCCUGGACUCAUUGAGCUUUGGUUUGCUCAAAAGCAUCACUUUAAGGUAGCCAAUUGUGUCACUGCAUGCAUACGCAGGCUGCUUUGUAGCUUUCUUCUUCGUCAUUCUGCUGAUUCAGAGGUUCUAUGUUUAAUUUUUGAACUUUGAAACAGCUCUCACAAAGUAUUGUGAAUCCCGAAAUUUCUUUAGCCUCGUCAAAUUUUAUUAUCAGUCCUUAACUAUUAUUGAGCUUAGUCUUAUUUCCUUUUGACUAAGAAAUCAGUUGACCAUACUGUGAUGAUUUGCAAAAUAAUCAGAAACAGUGACUCUAUUUCUGCAUCUUUACCACCUUCUCGACAUGGCUUCUCGCCUAAUCAGUGAGAAAUCCACGAUCGAUCGUUUCGGUGAAAGUGGGCACCCAGUUCGUGUUGUUUUGGACAAGAAUGUUGGGAGCAUAAUCUUUUCACAAGCUUACCAAACUUAUCAUAAAGAGUUCAUUAUGGGUGUGAAGUUUGAGUUGUCCUUUGGUAGGAGACUGGUGAAGAUUUUGGUGCAGAAGGUCAGCAUAUUGUAUCACCAUCUCACUAGAAUUCAUAGGCAUCACAUCGGUUAUUUUCUAACGAUAUGUGUUCGUCUCAACGCAUAUUUCCACUGCUUCACUUCCGAACCUUAUUGUUGUGAGUACGUGGUUGUUAAAACACUUCUAGCAGAUUUGUUUGGUGCAUUCUGAGAUGGCACUACAGGACGGUCGAAGUGAGAAUUGGAUAAUCUUUACACUUCUCUGGAAAGGUGUGUACUCUCUUUUGUUUUUAGGUUGACCAUUUGCGAGUCGUUCUUCUUUCCACCAACUUUGGCCUUGUUUGACUUGAAAUCUGCAACUAAGCAAAAAUGGAGAGGUGGAUUGAGCACUACAACAGUUCCCAAGAGAUACUGCGUGUUGAGGAAGAUGACUUCUCAUUUUCUGCUUGCUUGGUUCGAGCUUUUGGGUCUACUACUAACAUGGUAGCCACUUCUCUUGAAUCCUAAGGUACAGUUUUCAAAUUGGUUCGUUGUUGGCAAAACACUGGAGUAGUUGGUCACAUUUGGAAGAACUGAGGAGGAUAGGAUGCUUGGUGCUGGAUAGAGUUUUACGACGACAGUUUCUGUUUUGUUCGGUUUUGUGUAUGGCACUUUUUACGACCUGGUACGAUAGUUUUUCAUGGACAACACUGGUUGACUGAAAAGUCUUGCGAACUUGUAUUUGGAGCAUCGAUCCUACGAUAUGUGAAAUUGUACACCAUUUGAGAAAUUACUACUUGCCUAUCGAGACAACAAAUGUGAGGUCGAUAUUGCGGGCUGCAGACUGUGAUAUCGAUAGCUUAUUUGGUGGGUUCGUUAAGCAAGUGGGCAAGAAGAUUCGUCUACAGCAGCUGAUGCAGAUUCAGAAUUUGUAUUUCUUGGGACUCGACCUAAAGGCACAUCUAUUCUCGGAAUAUAUGACAUUUCGAAUUCUUGGGCGAGACCCACUCUCAUUUUUCAGUUUUGGUUUUCAGUGUAAGUAUUUUAACUUCAUUUACUCUAGUUAAUUAUUUUGACGUUACAAAUGUUUUUGGAAAAGUAUUUCUGUUUUCAUUUUUAAGUUGAUUCGAGUUUUUGAACUAUAUGUCAGUACAUAUCUAUUUUGACGUUAUCUGGCCUUAAGCUAUUUUGUGUUUUCAACUUUAUAUUUUAUUAAAGUAUGUGUUCUAUUUUUACACUGAUGAAAAAAAAAAAAAAAAAAAAAAAGUUUGAGCCUGGAGGCACGAAAGAUGGAAUCAUUGCAGCCGAUCGCGACGGCGUGGCAUUUUCCCUUUUGUGAAACCGCUCUUACCUGAUCUCUUCGUUACAUAUAUAUAUAUUAUUCUUCUUCCUAUUUUCAAGUAUUUUCGGUGUAGUAUGUUGUUUUAAAUUUCGAGGACGAAAUUUUUUUAUAAGGGUGGUAGAUUAAAACACCCCAACCCUCUUUUAUAUUUUAAAAUUGUUUUAAAGCCUUAAUUGGUGAGCCCGUGGAGCCCACCUUGUUUAUUUUUUUAUGUUUUCUGAUCUCUCUCUUCCUUCUUCUUCGUCUCUCUCCCCCGUAACUCUCCCUUAGCUCUCUCCUUCUCAGCUCUCCCGUCUCUCUCUCCCUCAACCUCUCGCAUCUCUCUCUUCCCCUGGACUCACUAGGACCGAGUCACCAUCGAAGAGAGGCUCGCAACGAACCCCGGACCCUGCCCUGCGAGUUCGACGGCACGGAGUAAGCUUCGGCAAGCACCGCCCCUUUCGAGGCCAUUUCCGGCCAAACCACGGCGAGUUGGUCGGCGUGUAAGGUAUCAAUCUCUUCGUCUCCUUGAGUACUACAACUUUCCUUUUUGUUUCACUCAAUUUCGUUGAAUAUUGAAGAAGUUAUACUCAUUUGAAUCUUACCCAGUUUCCGGCGAGUCCGACGGCUUUCGAGGCAUUUUCCGGCCAAACCACGGCGAGUUAGACGUCGUGUGAGGUACCAUUCUCUUCGUCUCUUCAAGGGCUACAACUUUCAUUUUUGUCUUGCUUGAUUUCGUUGAGUAUUGACAAAGUUAUGGCCAUUUAAAGUUGGGUGGUUUUCCGGCCGAAAUUCCGGCCUUCUCCUUCGACAAACCCAGGCCAUCCGGCCUUUCCCUCUCCCUCGGGCCUUAGGCCCGUGUUGCCUUAGCCCAGUACCCUAACCCAUUCAGUUUUUAUUUUUAGUUAUAUGUUUUUAAAACCCAAAGGGCUCGGGCCCUAGUUUUGGUUGGCCUUGGGCCGGUUUUCAACCAAGGGCUUAAAGCCCUGAUUUCUGUUAGGAGGCCUUAGGACCUUGUGUAGUGUGUGUGUGUGUAUGUUUAUAGUAUAUGUAUGUGUUUGGGCUUAAACCCAAACCCCUUUCCUAACCCUAAACCAUUUUAACCCAAAACCUUAGAAAUCCAAACCACCCAUUUUCACCAUAAACCCUUUUAACCUUAGAACCCUAAAAUCAAAACCCAAUAAAUCCUAAUCCUAUUUAACCUAAACCCUAAUCCGGAUUUCAAGCCUAAAACCCGUUAGACCUAAUUUGACCGUUGACAUCCGGUCAACAUUGACUUUAGAGUUGACUUUUCGGGUUUUCGUCCGGGACCCUUCUUAAGGUAAUUCGACGUUCUGAAUCCGUUUCCAACGUCCGUUUUCCCAAAUUCAAUUGCUAUUAUAUAGUUUUAUUAAUUGGACCCUUUAUGUGCUUAGGGGCAAUUAUUGUGACGUUUUCGUCUUCGCUAGUGGCGCAGCUUUUGACGGCGAAGUACUGUGAGUGGACCCCUUCUAAAAUUACAUGAUUUGAUAAUUUAAUUGCAUAAAUGAUUAGCAUGCCUACGAAUUUAUGAUUUGAUUUAUGUGAAGCCUGAUGAUUUAAUAUAUUGAUUAUCGUCUCGUGUUUUUGGUGAGGAAUUAAUUGUUGGCCUAUAUUGAGCUAUAUUUUAAUAUAUCGUAUUUUCUAUAAAAACCAUGAACUGGUAGACUAUCUGAUUGAUGAUGAUAGGAUGCUAGAACAUGAUUUUGAACCCUCUUUAUAGCGUAGAUCGGUAACCUAUGCUACGAAGUGGUAUUUAUGAGAGGCGUAAAUAUUUGUGCGUACCUAGUAGACACUAUGCCGCCUGGGGCGAGGAUCUGGUGUUGGCAUGUAGGCCGGGAGAAAUAAUCCCUAGCGAAAGGCUGAGGGACACGGAGACUGGCAUUGGGCCGGGAGGGAGUUAUCUCUGGCUACGGGCACAGAGACUGAGGUGCGGGCAUUGGGCCCGGAGUUAUAUUUAUUCGGUGAUCUUACUAGCAGCACACCGCGUUUACGAGACGAUUUACGAGAUGUUUUACGCGAUGAUUUAUAUGAUGUUUUCCGCGUUAUGGCUUUUGAGAUAUUUUUGGCAUGCUAGGAUUUUUAUUAAAUCCAUCACUUAUUAUGCUAGUAGUUUUCAUUUAUAUAAACUUUGGGGGUUAGUAUCUUGAUAACUGUUUUAUUAUUAUUGUAUAUAAACUUGGUCCACUCACCUUUGUUUUGCGCCCCCAUUCAGGACUUAGAAUCAAGGCACCUAAUCCCGACGUGAAGACACUUCCGCAGCAGCAUCUUCGGAUCCUCUCGAUGUAGGACCCACUUCUUUAUUCAUUCAAUUUUAUCUCAAUUCUUUUUAGUGAUUAGGUUUAGUUGUAUGUUCUGAACAUGUUCUUAAAAUUAUUAACUCUUAUUUAUUUCUUAUUCUUAGUUUUUGUAUCAAUUAAUGGCUUUCGUCACCCUCGGGUGUCGGCCAGCACGUGUCUAUCCUGGUAUUCGGGGAAUAUCAGGGUUGGGGCGUGUCACAAAACCAGAGUAUACUUACCUAGGUGUUAUUUCCUAUUUGCAUUUUGAUAAGUCUCAUGUUUUAACAAUCAUCCAUCAUCCCACUCAUGGCAUAAUUGUUUGUGGGAUGACACAACUCAUGACACAACUGGAGUCUAAUUCUACAGAACCCAUGACCCUAAACAAUCCAAAAUUAAUAGAUUACAGUGACAACAUUCCAACAAAAGAAAGAAGACCAAAAAAAUUAUCUACUCUAAAGUAAUUUAGUUCCAUCAUGCAUAAAUCAAGGCAGUCACAUGAGGCUAGUAUCUAUGGUAAUCCAACACAUUAACAUAAAGCAUCCAAAUACACACUCAGAGUUACAAAACGCAUGAAAAUUCACAUUCCAACGUGUUAUUCAAUCACCAAUUUCAAAUCCACCAAAACCAAUUAAAUUUAUGUCAGUACGCAUCAAAACCAAACCCAAAAUCAAAAGAAGGUGAUCAAUUGUUUGAUUUUGCUAAAUAUUACAAAAUAAAAUAAAUAAAAUAUGUACAAAUCAGCAUGCAUACCUUGUAGCAGUUCAGGGAACAGUAGCGUGAGUUGCAUCGAGGGCAUGUGUACUGGGGAAAUUGCUUCUGGCAGCUGCAAUUAACAAAAACAAAACGAAAAAUUGGAAUAAAAUCAAAAUCGGAAAAUUUUCCAGAAAAAAAGUAAAACAAAUUAUCAAGCUUUGUUGAUGAAAGAGAAGUGGGGUUGGAGAAGAACAUGCACGCAACUAUGAGCAGUAGCCAAAAGAUUUCAAAAUGAUUUCUUGGCUUUUCAAUCAGGACACGGAUGCAUAUAAAAAUGGCAGAGAGAAUUAAAACCAAACCAAACAGUAGAAAAUGAAUCAGGACAUGGACGCAUAUAAUUUAGAUAGACUGUUACCAUGUCUGAUCUUCAUCAGUAAGAUUGUUGUAAUAUUUUACAACCUUUGGAUUGACAGGUCCUCUUCCAUCUGAGAGAAACAAACUGAUUAUUGUUUGUGUGAAAGCUACUUGUUUUGUUCACUCUGAGUUAUAAUUUGGUGAUCAUGCAUGCUUGGGAUAAGUCUUGACCAUGAGAUGGUAAAUCUAUAUGCCUUCAAACCAGUAUCCACCAUUCGUUGAACAUCUCCCUGCAAUGGUAUAUAUGAUAUAUAUGAUGCGUGCGUAUCAAAUAGCAUCAGCAUGUUUCUAAUUAAUAUGAUAUGGAUUUCUACAACACAAAAAGAGGCUUAGUCCCGAAUCGUCUCAACAAAUAAAUGAACCGAUUUCCUCUAUUUUCUGAUAAAGAAUUAGAGCAAACAAAGAGGGAAUUAGCAUCAGCAUGUUUAUUCUAAUUUAAUUUAAUAAAUUCCCCUAAAAUCCCCAAGAACCCUAAUUUAUAACCCCCAAACAAAGGCAAAAAGGAGAGAGAAAACCCAAAUAAAGGGAAAUUUGAGGAAUUCAACAUACCGUAAUCAAGGGGAGGACGCUUUCCGAUUGCUGAAUUCGUCAAUGACGGCGGCGGUUGUCCACCGUCGCUGUAUCUCCAGUACGCGUACGCCAUGUUUGAAGCUUGUCGAUGGUCACUACUUGGUUUGUAGGCUCCACGGAGAGAGAUAUGGGGAGCGGAGAGAAAGGAAGACCAGAGGAAGAUGAAAGAAUAUGGAUUUUUCAGUAGAGAAGAGGAGAAAGAGGAAGAGUGAGAGAUGAGAGGAGAGGAGAGCGGAGAGGGGGCUCCCCUUCUGAGAUCAAUGAACGCUGGAAAAAGUGUAGCUUCUCCUUCCCUUUUCACGAUGACCAACACGCGCACCUUCGAUUUUAUUUAUUUAUGCUUUUUAUAUUAGCACCCCACAACAUGUUGAAUGCACACCACAUUAAAAUUUAAUAUUAAUGACUAAUUUACUCUACUAUUUAAUGACAAUUUUGACCUUAUUAGGUUUAAAAAAUAAUAAAAAUUUUAUAAAUACAUCCCAAAUCACUUUUAACGUAUUAUUUAUCUAUUUCAACUAUCAAAACCCCUCCUAUUCUCCAUUGUUGAAUAAAACCCUAAGCAAUGAAACUACAAACAUGUUGAUUGAGAAAGAUAAUUUUUUACGAAUGGAACACGAAAUCGGUGUUUCGAAAGCUUUGAAAUCAUUAUUAUUGUUAUUGAAAAACGUUCAAAUGAACCUAAACAUUUUUUGAAAUCAUUCGGCAAACUAACGUUCAGAUAGUUUGAAAUCAUUCGGCAAAAUAAAAAAUGAGUGUUAUAAAAUUUGAGAAAUAUGGGGUGUGUCUAGAAAAUAUAAGGUGUAUAUUAAGAAUGUGGGGUGUGAGGGUAUUAUGGUGAAGGAAGUGGGGUGUAUUAAGAUAAUUUUUAAUUGAAAAAGUAAAUGUGGGGUAUAUUAAGUAUGUGGGGUUUAUUCAACAAUUUGUAGGGUGCUAAUAUUAUAUAGAAAAUGUGUAUUCAAUAUAUUCAUUUGAGGGAUUACAGCCCAUAUCAUAUAUACUAAAACCCGUAAGGGCUGAUCACUGUGGAUGACCAGUGUGUGGACGUUUUUGCCCCUCCAUUUUUCCUCUGUCUCGCUUGCUAUUUCCAUAUUUGUACAGUCGAAUGACUGUUUUGCCCAUUCACUCCACGCGUCCGUCAUCGACUCACCCUCUAUUUGGGUUGCGUCUUCUGGAUUUUUCUGUUUGUUUCCGCCGGUCUCUCACACAUCUCAAUUCUAUUGUUCUGCAACUCACCCUUUCUCGCUAUCCCUUUUUGCCACCGCUCCGAUUCCGCCUGUGUUGACAGCCUUCAAACUAUAGAAAUCAUCAUUGAUCAAGCUUCUAUUUCAACUGUGGCCUGUUAAUUUUUGUCUUCAUCUGGCUGAUUCCAGCUGUGUUCGCACCCUUCAAAACCUAAAUACCAAAAUUCAGAUCAGUUUUCUGAAGCUUGGGUUUGAUUUUGUUCCGCUUCGUUCUGCUCCUCGCCUUCCUGUUUAUUUGCCAAGAAAUAUUGAAUGUACCCAUAACUUGCCUUCCUCUUUCGGUUUCCAACUUUAAAUUUUAAGGUAUGAGGGGUUUCGAAUAGGGAUUCUAAUGAAUGAAGAGAGCGUUCUCAAUUUUUCAAAAUUUUCAUGAAUUUAUUGGUUUUUUUAAAGCAUGAUCUGUUAUUGUAAUCUGAAAUUUUUUGAUCUGGGUUUGCCUUUUUUAUUACUUUUGCUAAUUGGAUCUGAUUGUUUUGGUGUUCAGACCAAGUCCCUCACCGGACGAGGAUCUAGAUCCGACCGACAAACGUUGGAGGUGAGAUCCGGACUCCUCCCUCUUAUCGUGGUGUGCUUUUUUGCAUGUUGGUUUUGGUUUUAUUGUUAAAAUCACUCAGCCACUACAGCUUUUUUUGGAAUUUUUGUUGUUCAUUUUACUUGGAUUUAGAGAUUUUUUUUUUCUCUUUUAUUUAAUUUUUUUCACUUCUGCUGAAAUUACAUUUGGUUCAAUUUUGUCAAUUUCUGUUUGUGUCUGUAGAGAAUUUUAGCGUUUUUUUUUUGUGAUUAUUAUAUGAUGAUUGGCUGACAAAUUGUGGUUUUCCAAAUUUUGGUUUUGCAGUAUUUAACAGAUAGGCAACUAGCUUUCAGAUAUAAGGAGAGGAAACUAAGGUAUCCAAAUUACCUAGAAACAGAGGUCUAACGGUUUCAAACCCAAGAACAGAAGCAACUCUGUGUGCAUCACCCACCCAAGAACAGAAGCAGCUAUGUGGGCAUCACCUUGGAAACUGUGGGUGGCAUCUGUGCAGCCAUCAAAUCGUUUAUAAACAACCAGAAGACUAUCCAAAACAUGCUUUUAUCUGAGGUACUGGUCAUUACUUGCCAAUAUUGAUCUUCUUUGUUAAUAUGAACUUUUUGCUAUAAAUUUAAUUUCAAAUUUUGCGUUUGGCUUGAUAUGCUAGAAAAUAUAUACAUUUGAGAAUAUUGAGAACUUACAGGUGUUGUAGCUACUGAAUUUUGUCAACGGUUCAUUCAGAUUCAUAUUGGGAUGUUCAUGCUUUCAAUAAUUAAUUAAUGGCAUUAGUGAUUUAUGAGCACUCAAGCCGGCAAAAAACUUUGCUUCUCAACAAAAUUGGGAUAGCUUCUAAAAAUGGCUAUUGGGAAUCAAAACCUGUUUCAAAUUAGUUUAUCACUAAUCAUUUAGGAUAUUUCCACUGUGUUACACACCAUGGUUAUGAUAAAUUAAUACAAAUCAUGUAGUGUGAUAUUUCCAUAACUACUUAUGUUGUUGAUCAUACUCAAAGAUGGCUUUUCAGUGAUAUCAUAUAUACUAAAACUCAACCCCCCUGGUCACUGUGGAUGACCAAUGGGCGGACUGUUUUGCCCCUCCGUUUUAUAUCGAUUUCCCUUGCUGCUCCCCGCGUCCUCAUCGUGCAACUUUUCGUUGGAUUUUCUUCCUCCUAUAGUGUAAUACACGUGUUGCUCAUCGUGGAAGGGAAGAAACAUGGAAAAGCGGGCUCUUCCAUUUGCUUCCACAGAUUUCUCGAGCUCUCUCUCAAGCUCCGAAUCGCUGGCCUCCGCAAGAAGGUAUUUGUCUCUCACUUUUUUUUUUUCAAUUCGAAUUUUGUUUGAAUGAAUGUUGGAUCUGUUGCCUUCGGGAAGAAAUUUUAACCUAGAAAAGCUUGAUUUUCAGGAAAUCGCCAAUUCGAAAGCUUGGUUUCCUGGUGAGUUCUACGACUUAUUUGUUGAAAUUUUUGUGAUUUUAAUUUUAAAAAUCUGGGUUUUUUUGUUCAAUGGUUUGCUCCAUCUUCUUAGCUUUCUCACUAGAGAUCUCUGCCAUGGCUGCUCCACCAAACUUGCGUCCGCUCUUUCGAACCAGGUACAACUUCUUUCAUUUUCUUUUGUUUCUGGGAAAAUUUAGGGCUUGAAAAUGUGUAGAAUUGUAGAAGUUAAAGCCUGUCUCAAUCUCUAUGUUGGUCUAUACACAAUGAAAUUGAAUUUUGUGUUUCAGCAUACCCUUACUGGAAUUUUAUGAUUUGGGAUAGUGGCGAUUUGAAACCGUUAACUGGGAUGAGAAUUAGAGUGAUUUGAAAACGGAGAGCAAGGAAUUGCAGGUGGGUAGUGAUAAAUGAUAAUGGUGGGGACACCAUGAUGAUAACACAAAUUCACUAUUUUGCACAGUUUUGAAAGUUGACUUCUUUUCUUUUUUCAUUUUUAAUUUUAAUUUUUGUAUUUUUGAACAGGUGGUGUUCUGGUUUGUCAUUCCUUCUCAUCACUUCUACAAGAGGUUAGUUUUCUUUUUUGCAUUUAAAGAAUGUUUAAAGAAAAAUUGUAUGUAAUUGAUUUUCUGCUAUAAUGUUUUGAAAUUCCUUAUUUUACUUGAAUGUAUUAGUGCUUGCUUUUGCUUUCACCCAGGUAUCAAAUCGGUUUUGUUUGUAUGGUAACAUGGAUUGCUCAGGUUACGUAGGAGAGGAUGGAGGUGAGAAAUACAAUUGGGAAAGAUAUGCUGAGAGGUUUACAAAACACCUUUGACGCUGUCGGUGAGGAUUCUUCUGUUUAAAAGUAGGAAUUUUUUAAUUUUUCGUGGAAUCGAUGUUUUGUUUUUGACUGAGUUUAUAAAGGAUUGCUUGGACAAGUACAGGGUGUUUGGGACUCAAAUUUAUACACUGCUAUAAGAUCAAUUUGUAAUCCCGCAGCAACGCGCGGGCAUUACUAGCUAGUUUAUACAUAAACUUUAAGCUAUCUACCUAGGAGGUUACAAUGAAACGGAAAGCUAAUUAUAUCCUAAUAAAAGCUAAUAACAACAUAACAGCUAAACAAUAAUGUAUUGUUCUAAUAAAAGCUAAUAACAACAUAACAGCUAAACAAUAAUGUAUUGUUCUUGAAUAGACUUAACUAUGGUAACUCUUGUAACCUCCUAACACUCCCCCGCAAACUUGACGCCGGAGAGGUGACAAGUUUGGAAAUAAGACGUGCAAACUGUGCAACGGGUAAGCCUUUGGUGAAGACAUCCGCAAGUUGAAACAGGGACGGGAUAAAGCGAACCUUGUGACUGUCAGAAGCAACUCGUUCACGAACAAAAUGAUAAUCAAUCCCAAUGUGUUUUGUGCGAGCAUGAAGCACGGGAUUAGCAGCUAAGUGUGUGGUGGACAAGUUGUCACAAUUUAGUAAUACGGGAUGGGUGAGUGGACAACGAAGUUCACUUAAAAGAUGUUGAAUCCAUAUAGUGUCCGCGCAUGCAUAAGCGAGAGCUCGAUACUCGGCCUCUGCACUGGAACGAGAAACUGUGGGAUGUUUCUUGGCACUCCAUGAGAUGAGAUUAGAUCCCAAAAAUAUGCAGUAGCCGGAUGUGGACCUUCUUGUAUCAGGACAUCCUGCCCAAUCGGCAUCGGAGUAGGCAAUUAGGAAGGAACAAUCAGGAGACCUACGAAUAGGAAGACCAAACCCAAGGGUGCCUUUGAGAUAACGUAAUAUUCGCUUAACAGAUUCAAAAUUAACAUCACUGCGGGAUCCCAUAAAUUGAGCAACAUGUUGAACCGCAUAUGAGAUAUCGGGACGGGUCAUGGUAAGGUAUUGGAGGGCACCAACAAUGUGUCGAUAAAGUGUAGGAUCGGCAAGUGGAGUACCAUCAGUACGAGAAAGUGUACCUUUCGAAGCCAUGGGUGUGGAAACAAGUUUACAGUCCAAGAGAUCGAUGCGUUUGAGAAGAUCUACUGUGUAUUUGUUUUGAGUAAGAUGGAGCGAAUCUGUGUGAUAAUUAACCUCCAUGCCAAGAAAAUAAUGCAAACGCCCCAAAUCUUUGAUGUCAAAUUCUGCUCCCAGUGUGCGAAUAAAGUUGUGAAUAUGAGAGGAAUCACUGCCCGUGAGAAUAAUAUCAUCCACAUACAAUAACAAAAUCAACAUAUGAGAAUUGUCCUGAUAAACAAACAUGGAGUUGUCGGCCCGACUUUGAUAGAAACCAAACUGUAAAAGGAAAGAACUAAAUCGUUGAAACCAUGCUCGUGGAGCCUGCUUGAGACCGUAGAUGGCCUUAUGAAGUUUGCACACAUGGUGAGGACGAUCAGGAUCAAUAAACCCCGGGGGUUGGCUCAUGUAAACCUCCUCAGAAAGAAAGCCAUGCAAGAAUGCAUUUUUGACAUCGAGUUGCCGAAUGGACCAUUGGAAAGAAACAGCCAGACAGAGAACGGUACGAAUCAUCGUGGGCUUGACGACGGGGCUGAAAGUAUCAAAAUAAUCAACUCCAGACUGUUGAUGGAAUCCUUUAGCAACGAGACGUGCCUUGUACCGUUCAAGUGUGCCAUCGGAUCGCCGCUUAAUCUUGAAAACCCAUUUGCAACCAACCGUAUUGAGUGAAUUAUUGGGACGUACCAAGGACCAAGUACCCUGAUGAAUAAGUGCAUUAUAUUCUUUGAGCAUGGCCUGUUUCCACUCGGGAGAGUGAGAUGCUUGUGUGUAGCACGUUGGUUCAAUAUUCAUGUCCACUAAGGCAGCAAAAGCAUGAGGGACAGGAUACCGAGUAGAGAAGUUGGCCUGGUAUUUAGGAUUGGGCUUUAAAAUACCAGAUUUGGAACGAGUGACAACUGGACUGCGAGGUGGUGGAGCAACAGCGGAAGAAUCGUGGGUUGUAGAUGACGCGGCAGUAACAGGUGGCAGCAUGGAAAGUCGCGAGGCAGAGAGUGGCUGGUCAAGGAGGUUGCUGUGCUCAGGAACUUCUGUCGGUGUUGGCAGGUCAAAGGCUGCAGGUGCGGGUGGGAGGACAGCUAGAGUGUCAAAGGCAACAGGUGGCAAGUUUGCUGCGGCAUCCAUAGAUGAGGAUGAAGUCUCGGCAGGAGGACAAGUGGAGGGUGCAGCAGUCGGUGUUUGCUGCAAGAGUGAUGUCUCAGGGACAAGUGUACGUGGUGGGACAGGUGGCUAAGAAGAUGGAACAAAUGACAAGUCCACAGGAACAAUGGCGAGCGGUGGAGAUGAAACAGGUGUAGAGACAGCAGCAUAAUAAAAUUGAUCUUCAUGAAAAAUGACAUGACGUGAAAUAUAUAGGCGUCCAGUUGGUGGAUGUAAGCAUCGAUAUCCACGAUGUUAAGCACUGUAACCAACAAAAACACACUGGAGAGAACGAGGUUGUAAUUUGUUAGAUACAUAAUUUCCAAGAUAUGGAUAACACAUGCACCAAAAAAUGCGAAGAAAUUUAUAGUCUGGAGAAUGACCAAAUAAGGAUUGGUAUGGGGAGAUCCCUUGAAGAACAGGUGACGGGAGUCUAUUAAUUAAAUAGACUGCCGUGCAUAAGGAUUCAGCCCAUAAGUUGUGAGGCAUGUGAGCAGUAUGUAAAAGUGUACGACCCAUAUCAGCAAUAUGACGAUGUUUACGCUCAGCCAAUCUAUUCUGCUGGGGUGUAUGAGGACAAGAAGAACGGUGCACGAUGCCAUUAGUUGCACAAAAUUGCUUAAACUGUAGGUUGUCAUAUUCCUUACCCCCAUCACUCUGGAAUUGUUUAAUAGACAAAGAGAAUUGAGUUUUAACAUAUAAAACAAAAGUAGAAAAAUGUCCAAAAACUUCGGACUUAAGACGCAUGGGGAAAAUCCACGAAUAUCGAGUAGAAUCAUCAGUAAACAAGACAUAAUAACGAUAACCAGAGACAGACAGGACAGGAGAGACAGACAGGACAGGAGACAUCCACACAUCUGAAUGGAUUAAAUCAAAAGGUGCAAGAGAACGGUGUUCAUGAGGUGAAAAAGAAAGUUUUAUUGAUUUAGAUAAGGCACAAUGGCUACAAUUUGAAUGCCGUAAACGAGAAGUAGAACCUAAAAAUGACUUAGAAACCAGUGAAGCAAGCACGUUGUUGGAAGGAUGACCAAGACGACGAUGCCAAAGAGAUGAAGAAUCAGCAACAGAAGAAAAAACGGUCUUGGGCCCAGUUAGGAGGGUAGGAAAGACGGGAUAAAGGCCAUCUUUACAUAGGCCCUGAAAAAGAAUAACACCAGUUUGUAAGUCACGAAUGUGAUAACCCCAAGGAAAGAAAGUAAUACUAACAUGCAUAUCACGUGUAAAUUGAGCGACCGAUAAAAGAUUUUUAUGAAGAGAAGGAACACGAAGAACAUCAGAGAGACGAAAGACAUAAGUACCAGAGGAAAACGAAACUUUACCAGACUGAGUGAUGGGGAGGGUGUCACCAUUACCAAUAACAACAUUGUCACGGGGUGCAGAGGAUGUACCGGAAGGAAACAACUUAGCAUCAUGAGUCAUGUGAUUUGUAGCACCGGAAUCCCAAUACCAAUUAGGAUCUGAAGAGGGAGCAACAUGCAUGCCGGCAAAGGGACGAGAGUGAGGACAUUUGGCUUGAACAUGUCCAUAUUGGUGGCAAUGCCAACAUUGAACCGCUUGACGAGGUGGAGGGGGACCGAGAAGACCUUGAGCGUUGAAGGAAGGUCGCUAUUGCCGAGAGAUGUUCGGUGCAAGGCCCUGAAAAGAAUGAUAUGGUGGCCUAUGGCCUGAGGUAUCACGCGAACGGAAUGGACGCUGACCACGGGGCGGACGUGUGGUGAUCAUGGCAGCAUGGGAGGGUGUAGAAUUGAGUUGAGCCGCAAAGGCUUGUUGGCUCUCAAAAGCAAGCAAUUUGGUGCGAAGGUCAGAAAAGGGUGGGAGGGGCGGGAAAUUGAGAAGAGCCGUCACAAGCAUCUGGUAAUCAGGUCCCAGACCACGAAGUACGUAAGUAACCAAGUCAGAAUUGGACACAGGUUCGUGGAUAGCAGUGAGUUCAUCAUCCAAACUUUUGGCUUGAGCAAGGUAAUCAGAAACGGGUUUGGAGCCUUUGGUAAGAGAGAAUAGACGAAAUUUCAGUUGUGCAGCAUUGGCAAGUGACUGUUGAGAGAAAUUUUGCUGGAGACAGUCCCAUAUAUCUUUUGAGGUGGAGAACCCAAUGACUUGAGGAAGGACGACUUCAGACAGUGUGGCACGAAGGAUACUAAUGAGACUUUGAUCUGUUUGAAACCAAGAGGUGUAGUCAGGAUUAGGUGUAGGUGUAGGAGUAGGUGUUUUGUCAUCACUUGAAGAAGAGGUCAAAGUGGAUGGAGGACAUGGAAAAGAGCCAUCAACAAAACGCCAAAGAUUUUGGCCUAGCAAGAAAGGUUUGACUUGGCUUUCCCACACAAGAUAGUUUGUAUCAGAAAGUUUGACAGAGACAAGAUGAGAGAUAUUGGGGAUAGAGAUAGGGGGAAAAGCUGAUGCACUACCUGAAGCCAUAAGGUCGUACCCAGUGCACAAGGCUCCCGCUUUACGCAGGGUCUGGGAGAGGUGAAUGUCGGCUAGCCUUACCCCCAUUUAUAGAGAGGCUGCUCUCAAGUCUCGAACCCGAGACCUACCGCUCAUGGGCGAAGGCACUUGCCAUCGCACCAAGUGCGACCUCUAUGCACUACCUGAAGCCAUGUCGAAAAAAAAAAAAAAAAUUAGGCUCUAGAUACCAUGUAGAAAAUGUGUAUUCAAUAUAUUCAUUUGAGGGAUUACAGCCCAUAUUUAUACAUAAACUUUAAGCUAUCUACCUAGGAGGUUACAAUGAAACAGAAAGCUAAUUAUAUCCUAAUAAAAGCUAAUAACAACAUAACAGCUAAACAAUAAUGUAUUGUUCUUGAAUAGACUUAACUAUGGUAACUCUUGUAACCUCCUAACAAUUUAUUUAUAUUCACAGAUGGCAUGGCCGUAAAUAAUGUGAAAUUCACCCCAAAUCACUGGUCAUUUGAACAGUGCAAUUGAAAUCUCUUCUUUAGACUAAAGUAAUUUUAUAUUACUGUAGGCUCAAAAUAUUAUAAAAGGCAUUUGACUCAGAAAUGUAAGAAUUUUACAUCUAGCUACUAGCAUAAGGAAAUGAUGUUUUAAACUUUCAGGUUUUGAAAGCUGAUUCUGCAUAUUUGCUUUAAUCUGUUUUCCAUUUGGUAUAAGGUUUUGUACAAGAGCAGAUGUGACAAUUGCCUUUAUGAGAUCACUGAAAGGGCAUCUGCUGAUAGAUGUGAGGUAUGCUGUAGGAUACUUGAGCCUAAGCACAUACUGUAUUGGCUUAAUGAAUACUACAUGAAUCUAGGCUGAGUCCCUGGCUAAGAAAUAUGAAGAGAAAUACAAACAAGCUGGAGAUGUAGCUUCCAAGUUGACUAGUGAAGAAGCCACGUUUUGUGAUUUACAGACCUUUCACCUAUAUAAAUUUGUGGACAAUUAGUGACCCAUGUUGUGUGUUUUCUUUUGCUCAUUUGAAGACCAAAGUGUCAAGUGCUUGCUGUUCGUUUUAUCUGAGUCAUAUUUACCUGAACAUUUGAGAUGGCGUGCCUUUAUUUUUUAUGAGAUAAGUGCCAAUCAAAAUACAAAAACAAAUAUGAGAAGGAGAAAAUUAUUUUAUAGUUUUUAGGCCAGGUGGGAUAGAUAGCUGAUGAAAGAGAGAAAGCGGUGUGGGAAAAUAGAAUCAGUUGAAUGGUCAUACCCCUAGAGGUGUUUUGUUUUUAUUAUCAUGGACUGAUUAUCUUACGUGAUUUAUAUGCAGGAGAAGAAAAUGGAGCUAAACAGGGCAGUUGUCAAGAUGGAGCAAGAAGGUGAUGUUGAUGCGCACUUCAGGUACCUUUGCGCAACCUUGCUGUUUAAAAAAUACCUUUGCUCAACUUGUCUAAGAUCAUUUCCAACUGUAAUUUUCAGGAUCGUGUUGAUCACAUGCAAUUAGAUCUUGAUGGGCUUGUGAAAACUCUCAAUGAGCACUGCAAGAAGUAUGGACUACGCAGAAAGCCUACAACAUUAACUGAGCUUCCCUUUGGUACGUUGAUCUCUUCCUUAGCUAAUUUCUUGGGAGUCUAAGAAUCUUAUAAAUAAUGAUAAGAAUACUUCCGUUUGCUUAUUCUUUAUCAAACUAUCUGAUGGAUUGUAUACAGAACACGUUGUUGUUAGAUAUACUUUUACUUUGGGUUUGUCAAAUUAUUUCAAUUUAUAAAUGGCAUUGUCUUUCUAGAACCCGAAGGUCAUUAAAUUAUCAAAAUCCUACACAGAAACCCUUAUUUUCACUAUUGUAAUAUUUUCCUAAUCACUCUGGUUUGUUUGAUUACCAUUAUUCGAAUUCCAUGUAGCGCUUCAUGAGUGUGUAAUUUUCUUUUUCGUUAUUGUUCACUGCUGCGGUAUUUGUACUAUAUUGCGUCUUGUAAUCUGAAAUUUUACUUUGUUAUCAUAUAUGCUGGCAACCUGGCAUCCUAGAAGGAGCUGCUGACUGGGAUGAGGAUUGGGAUAAGUUUGAAGACAAAUGUAUGCCAAAAAUGAGUUACUAUAGGUCCAGUAUUGUCUCUGAGAUAAUAAUUUCUGGUAUCACUUGGAUUCCUUUUACCUUUUCACUUUGUGGUAAAUGGAUCAUAUUGCCCGCUGUUGUAGUUUCUUUGUCGUCUGGUUGUGGUUUGCCAACCUGUUCAAGAGUUUUAACUAUUCGAGGUGACUCAUUCACAAGUUCACUUUUGAGGAUUCACUUUUGUCAAGGAGUUCACUCUUGAUGUGUCAAAUGUCUCUUGGCGCCUCCAAUACAGAAAUCAUCAUCAGUUCAGAAAGAAAAAGCUCCCCCAGUUGAGAGUUCAACAACAGCUUCUUCACCUAAAGUUGAUGUUCAGUCAGAAAAGCCUCAAAAUGCGGAUGACAAGGCCGUUGAAAAUGGAGCAGCAUAUGAUAAAAAUGAAGGCAAGUCAGCAAAAGGUGCUCCGAACAGUCCAUUUGCUAGCAGUACUGUUGGAAGGCCAUCUAGAGAAUUUUCAGAUUCUAACUAUGCAAAGACAACAGACGCAGAUGCCUCACCCAGUAAUAAGGAAUCUCAAAGGUAUAGUUCUAGAUCUGUAGUUUUCUACAUAUUUAAGGCCACCCUGAUACGUGCAAAAUUGUUGAUAUUCUAAACUGUCAUGCGCGGUGAUGAUCAUGCGGGUGCUGGGUCUAUGUUUUCUGGUGACAAAGGUUCCGAUGAACCAGCAUGGGGGACAUUUGACAAUAAUGAUGACGUUGACUCGGUGUGGGGUUUCAGUGCAGUUAGUACCACCAAGGUAAGCCGAUAUUGUACAUUCAGUAUUUUUUUUUUUUUUUUUGUAUUUUAGAGUGCAUUAAGUAUUUAUUUAUUAGAACUCAAUUCUUUGACCUUGUGUUUAUGCUGACUGGAUCUUGCUCCAUGAUUGCUGUUAAUACUACCUAGUUGUUUGUGGUGGUGACCACUUAUCCUUGUUUUAGGAGUUUGCCUUAAGUAUUCUAAGUUCCUAAUGCUUGCUGAGUUGUUUAGUUAUUGAAGAUGGUUCUGGGAAUUUUAACAUUAUUUGAAUAGUUUCUAUCUUCACCAUUCUGAUGGUUUCAUCAUGCAAAUCAGUUAGUAGUACGGGUCUUUCAACCAAGUAUGGCGAAACCAAGUUUCCUGAUUUUAGUUUUGGCUCACUGCGGGAUUGUUCUUGGUGCAAUUAAUUGCACGUUGAAGGGGACUCUGAUUUAAGCCUUGGGUCUUGGUUAAUCUUAGUCAAGAUCAUUUUUUUGUGUUGACAACUUGACAUUGACAAGAGAUGGUGCCAUAUUGCGCACACUUGUCGAAUAUUGAUGGUUUCCGGUUAACAAUGUAUUAGUCAUUGUUAAAAAUAGUGACUGGAAAAAAGAAAGUUAAAUUUCAAGUUAAAAAACUAGCAUUCAUUGUCAUGUUAGAAACAGUUACUGUUAACAUUCUGUAGCCGAUGGAAAGUUUCCAUUAUUUUGCACCUUCCAAGUAGGCAUGGAUUCUCGGUUCCAGUGAAUCCGCUUUCUUUUCUAAUAGCAUGUCGGUUACGUAGCACUUUCAAGCUUUUUGUUUUUGUGGUUUUAUAUUUGUUGUUAUUGCUGGCAUGCUGGAUUGUGCUGUAACUGCUCUUAAUCGUGUCUGAUGUAGGAUAUGGAUCAGGAGUCACUACUUUUCUGGCCCUGGGGAGUUCGGCCUCAACCCUAUCAGGACUGGGUCAUCACAAGGAGGUGGCUUUUCCCAGAAGAGCCGCCCUUUCACUUUCGACGAUUCUGUUCCUAGCACACCACUCUCAGCCUUCAAUUCAGGGUAUUCACCGCCAAGGUACAAGGAUAGCUCAGAACCUUCAUUUGACACCUUCUCUAGGUUUGAUUCGUUCAGAAUCACACAAGAUACUGGAUUUUUUCCUCAACUAGAGGCACUCGGAAGAUUUGAUUCUAUGCGCAGCAGUAGAGAUUUUGAUCAGGGUCAUGCUUUUCCAACAUUUGAUGACAUCCCAGACCCUUUUGGCUCUUCGGUGCCAUUUAGGUCAUCGCUGGACAAUCAAACUCCAAGAAGAGACUCAGACCCCUUCGGAUCUUCAGGUCCAUUUCGGACGUCACUGGACAGUCAAACUCCGUGAAGAGAAUCAGAUUUUUUCGGGUCUUCAGCAAGCGCCAUUUAGGACAUCAUUUGACAGUCAAACUUCAAGAGGAGACUCAGACGCAUUUGGGUCCUCUCCAUUUAGGACAUCAUUCGACGGUCGAACUCCAAGAAGAGACUCGGACCCAUUUGGGUCUUCUUCAGGGCCUUUCCGGACGUCAUUGGAGACUCAGAGAAAAGACUCUAAUCAUUGGAGUGCAUUUUAGCCAGGUAGUUGCUCUGCUUAUAGCUAAUCCCAAGUGGGAAAUGAAUAAUUAUCAUUCGAGUUAAUUUGUAAAACUCCAUCUAAAUUACAAAAUGAUUACAAAAACUGGGGCAGAGUGUAACAAAUUAAUUAUAAUUGCUAAAAUGUAAAAAUGCUACGAAACUGAGGACUGGGCAGCAAAUUGUUGAAUUAUCAAAAGUAGUGUAAGAAAUGGUAAAAGAGGUCCCAUGAGCAAGGACUGGGAGAAACCAAAGCAGAAGCCGGCCCAGGGCUAUUGGCCAUCCCCAUCCAAUUAUUAAGCAUUGGGCUGCUUAUGACGUCAUGCUGAUGUUGAUGUGAGAAGAACCCACUUGGGACCGCCGGCAGAGACGCUGGCGCCGGAGACAAUAUGCCCGGUGUUAGGGUAAAAUUGGCAAUCCCUGACAAAAUGCCUGAGUCUGUAAUAGCUUAGACUUGUUACAUAUUUACAAUUGUAAUAGUUUUAGUCUAGGGAGGUUUCUCACACUUUCAAUGCGAAGAUGUUACCAAAACGCGAUACUCAUUCAGGUACGUUUGCAUGCAUGCAUCCAACUACAUUCAUCUAUAUCCAUAUGUUAUUGUAUUUGGGUUAGGACUUUUAUUCUUGUGUGUUUUACUUUUCUAGAAUGAAUUAUCCUGUCUUUCAAACCGUGUCAUCAAACUGAUUUUUCAAAAUAUGUUUUCAAACUUAUCUGUUUGCAUGAAGAGUUAUCUGAUUGCAUGUUGGUAGAAUUGUUAAACUACAUGGAUUGCUUUGUAGUACUUAUCAGAUAAAGGGCCGGUACUGUUGAUAUAUAUAUGGGAAGUCAGGAACGUGAAGGGUUGAGCCAUAUAUGCAUGAAAAACUGAUUUUAUUGAAAAAGAAUCUUUAGAAACAUCAGCUUGGGUUUUGUGUGCAUGGAAAAUCAAUUUAAAUAUUGAUGUUAGCUUGUGGUUCGAAUAGCAUGAGGUUUUAAGAGAAAAUAUUGUUUUCAUGCUGAUUUCAUUUGGGUUUUAAAUUGAAUAUCAAUUAUGGAAAUGUGCCUUGUGAUUUUCGUAAUUGAUUGUUUUUCAAACAAACACUUCAUCAUAUAAUCAUUCUGCAUGAUCGAGUUAGUAUCUUGCAAAGUUCGAGGAAAAGGUGAUUGACGGCUGCGUUAGUGCCGUGCCACUUCAACUCGAAGACUGACGAAAGAUCGAGUAGCAAAGCGCGAAGACAAAGCUGCCAACUAGUAUGUGUGUCUAGUUGAAGAGUUCUUGUAAGUCUUUAUGUAUUCUUUCUUUCUUAGUGCUUCCUGGCUUGGUAGCCCGAGGAUUUUCCCAGUGGUGGGUUUUGCCUCGUUAAAUCCUACAUCAUGUGCGUACUCUUUAUAUUUGUGCUGAAUAUUUGUGUAGGAUUAUAUUUGCACAUCUGAUUGAUUUAAACCAUAAAUUGAAUUAGUGUUAAGUUGAAGUUUAUUUAUAUUACUAGAUUAAAUUAGUAUCCAUCCUAGAACUUUCACCCGGAAAUGGACCCAUUUCGUCAAGUUGCACUGACCCUCCUCCGCCUCCGCCUCCUUAAUCUUCAAGAUAAUUGAAAAUACUUGUCAUGAAGUCGUCGUCAAAGCUAGUACUAGUGGUGGCGGCGCCAGGGACGACCUUGUUGUGAUCCGAGGUUGAAGAAUUAGGGCUUGUCUUGUGUACGGAGGCGAGUCUUGCAGCCGGUGAGAGGCCGUCGGCGGAGGAGGAGGGCCGCUGGACUUGAUCAAAGAUAACAAACAUGAUAUUACACACUUGUCUAUAACAUUGCGCUUUAUAAUGCAUAAACAAUACUAAAUAGCCUUGCCUGUUUGUCACUAUUAUUUCUUUUCUUGGACAAACAAGCAAAUGCUGUCCUUGAACUUACCUCUGUCUUCAGCGCCGUGCAGCCUUGAGCUCGAACAUUACAUAGCACUGGGAGUUCUAGCAAAGAUUGAAGCCACUUGCAGCCGACUAAUUCGAGUGUAGACAACCGAGAAGCCUGUUUGAUGCUUGCAGGUAUGCUCCUAAUCUUGGUUCCAGACAGAUAUAUACGUUUCAAUGAGGUUGAGCAAACGAGACCAUCAGGGAUUUCCAAUAUACCGCUGUUGAUGAGAACGAGUUCUUCUAAAGAGAGAAAACGGGUAUAGGUGAAGGGCAAUUUUUUAAGUUCCAGACAGCCAGACAAGUCGAGACGUUUAAGAUUGGUUAAACGGUAGAUACUUGUUGGGACAACCUCAAGGUGCCUGCAGGCAGUAAGGUCUAAAAUUUGAAGCCCAAUUAGAUUUCCAAAUGACGAAGGAAGCUUUUGUACAGCUGUCCCUAGCAAACUAAGAGACACCAAAUGUUCCAUUGGCUCCAAGAUCUCUAGGAAAAGUUCAAGUUUAGAGCAGCAAUUGAGAGAGGGUCUCUUGAGAUAUUUCAACUUCCCAAUGUUGAUUGGUAGACUCACAAGACUUCUGCAAUGAAGUAACGAUAAUGUAGUUAUAUCCCUGGGAAGCUCAGAAAACUCGCGAAGAGACGUGCAGCCAUCUAGAUCAAAACUACCAAAGACUUUGAGCUUACCAAGUUUGACUUUCUAAUGUAAAAAUGUGGUUUUUCGUUAAAGUGAACAAUACUAGGAGCUUUUUGUUAAAGUUUCCUUUAUAUAAUCUACAGACUUCUAGCUAUUUGAUUUUUGCAGUGGAUUAUUUUUGAACAAUUGGAUGUCUCUGGUCUGAAUUAGUAUUGAUUCUUGAAUUGACAAGUACUCCUGGGAGGAAGUGCAUAUCAUGUGUUUUAUCAUUGUCUAUAGCUUUAUGUGUGACUGAGAUUGUAUAGGGAAGGAAAUGUAAGUUGGGUAAUUCUUGCAGGGUACAUAAGUAGUUUGGUGGUGAUAUGAAGGCUUUUGUGAGGGGUUCUGUAUGGCAACAGUUUUUUGGGGUUUCUUGGUUUGAGAGAAACACGAGGAUUUUUUAAAAUGAUAUUUGGAUGAGGACUAGUUAUGGAAUAAAGUUAGGUUUUGUUCACCACAUUGGCUGAGUAUCUAUUUUCUAAAUUUCAUGAUCCAUAUCCUUUGAAAGAUACUGUUUUGGGUAUUCUGAUUUAUGUUGAAGGUCCUGUAUGUAGGAAGACGUACAAAUGAGUGGCGAAUGAGCACUUUGGUGCCUAUCUACAAGAAUAAGGGUGACGUACAAAAUUGCAUGAACUAUAGGGGUAUUAAGCUAAUGAGUCAUACAAUGAAGCUCUGGGAGAGAGUCAUUGAGCAUAGAUUGAGGCAAGAGACACGGGUUUCGGACAACCAAUUCGGGUUCAUGCCAGGGCACUCAACCAUGGAGGCAAUCUAUCUCUUACAAAGAUUGAUGGAAAGAUAUAGAGAUGGGAAAAAGGAUUUACACAUGGUCUUUAUAGAUUUGGAAAAAGCGUAUGAUAGGGUUCCAAGAGACAUUAUUUGGAGGAUUUUAGAGAAGAAAGGAGUACGAGUAGCAUAUAUCCAAGCUAUAAAGGAUAUGUAUGAAGGAGCAAAGACUGCCGUAAGAACUCAUAAAGGACAAACCGAAAGCUUUUCCAUAACUGUAGGAUUACAUCAAGGCUCAUCCUUAAGUCCUUACCUUUUUGCGUUGGUAAUGGAUGAGUUAACAUGACAUAUUCAAGAUGAUAUUCCUUAGUGUAUGCUUUUCGCAGACGAUAUAGUGUUGAUAGAUGAAACUCAGGAAGGGGUAAAUGCAAAGCUUAACCUUUGGAGAGAAGUGUUGGAAUCUAAAGGUCUUCGCCUAAGCCGAUCAAAGACAGAAUAUAUGGAGUGCAAGUUCAGUGCAAAUGGAGGUUAAAACGAGUUAGGGGUGAGGAUCGGAGAUCAAGAAAUACCAAAGAGCGAUCGUUUUCGUUAUCUAGGAUCUAUCUUGCAAAAGAACGGAGAAUUAGAUGGAGAUCUCAACCAUAGAAUACAAGCUGGAUGGAUGAAGUGGAAGAGUGCAUCCAGCGUGUUGUGUGACCGCCGUAUGCCACUGAAGCUCAAGGGAAAAUUUUAUAGGACGGCAAUAAGGCCGGCGAUGCUGUAUGGCACAGAAUGUUGGGCGGUGAAGCAUCAAUACGUACACAAAAUGGAUGUAGCGGAGAUGAGGAUGCUUCAUUGGAUGUGUGGGCACACGAGAAAGGAUAAGAUUAGGAAUGAGGAUAUCCGGGGUAAAGUAGGAGUAGCCGAAAUUGAAGGAAAGAUGAGAGAAAAUCGGUUACGGUGGUUUAGACCUGUGCAAAGAAGGCCUACUGACGCUCCGAUUAGAAGAUGCGACUAUGAGACAGAGGUUCAGGGCCGAAGGGGUAGAGGAAGACCUAGGAAAACUUUGGAAGAGACUCUAAGAAAAGACUUAGAGUACUUGGAUCUAACGAAGGACAUGACAUAGGACCGAGCACAAUGGCGUUCUAAGAUUCAUAUAGUCGAUCCCACUCAGUGACUUGGAUUUUCCAAGUCUCCAACCGAGAAGUUUUCCUCACUCGGGAAAUUAAGGGAACACUACCUCAACCUACAUGCUCCACUCACAAAACUUCAACAUACAAGCUUCAACAAAAGAAAAUUCAAAGAACUUAGCGAAGAAGGCUUUGGUGUAUUUAACACAAUACGUUGAAAUGAAGGAAAGCUUAUUUAUUGAUAUCCCCGAUAAGUUACAAAUAUGUACAUAUACAUGAAUCAAAAUAAACAAAGAAGAGGGAGCCUUCACAAAGGUUGCUUAGGAAAAGUCUCAGCAGUCGGUAGAGCCCCAGAAAUAGAAGGCACUGGAGGGGGAUCGUUCGGAGCUUCAGUACUGGACAGAACCCUAGAAGGAGGAGGCAUCAGAGGUUGAUCAUUUGGAGCUUCAUUACGCGGUACAGCUCCAGACGACGAAGGCAAUAAAUGCCUUUGGAACAAACCCACAAAUCUCUGAUGAUCAAGUAAAACCUGACCAUCAGAUUCCUUCAUUUGGUCAAGCUUCCUCUUCAUGUUUGUAGCAUAGUCAUGUGCGAGCCGGUGCAACUGUUUAUUCUCUUGCUUGAGCCCUCUAAUCUCCUGUUUGAGACUCAUCACUUCAGCCGCCAAUGAUUCAACUUGGCGGGUUCGAGCAAAUAGGCGUUGGGCCAUAUUAGUCACAGAACCUGCACACUGAACAUUGAGAGCCAGAGAAUCCUUAACAGCUAACUCAUCAGACCGUUUGGAAAGUAGUCUGUUAUCUUUGGGAGUGAGAAGGUUCCUGGCCACCACCGCAGCAGUCAUAUCAUUCUUCAUCAUGGAAUCCCCAACGGUAAGGACCAGUAGGGGAGACGAAGGAUGGGCGCCAUAUGUUGUCUGGAGAAGGCGGGGCUGCCUCUUCAACAAGGUUCAAGUCAAAACGACGGUCGGAUGGGCCAAACAUUUUCAAAGGUGUUGAAGAGAGAAGAGGUCGGACAAAUCAAGAUCUUAGAAGUGCAAGAAUGGAGCUUCUACUGGUGGAGAUUCAAGUGUGCUUUGGAACUUAAUGCCAGCCCCUAUAAAAAUCUGCACUCGACGGAGCUUCAGAAAUCGAAGAGGCGUCUGCUCAUAAAUCGAAGAGGCGUUUGCUUUCUCGAAAGCUGGGCUGCUCAGAGACCACGAGGGUCGAUCUCAGAAAUCGAAGAGGCGUUUGCUUUCUCAAAAGCUGGGCUACUCAAAGACCACGAAGGCCGAUCUCAGAAAUUGAAGAGGCGUUUGCUUUCUCAAAAGCUGGGCUGCUCAGAGACCACGAAGGCCGAUCUCAGAAAUCGAAGAGGCACCUACUUUCCUAGCCUUGUCAGCACCUAUCACACGCACUCUCAGCUUUGCGGAAAUUAUGGGCAUUCUGUCGAAGACUUCUGGUGAAGUAGAAAGCACAUGAAUCUUACUGUUCAAUCACCCACUUCUCACACGCAAUAGUAGCUCAUGGGUACCACAUAUAACUUUGCCAAAGUUCUUUGACAAAGUUGAGACACGUGAAGCUUGCAGCUCCCACUACAUAGCUCUGACCAAGAAGGGUAAAAGAAUAGCAAAGAAACAGCACUAACAAAGUUUAGACACAUAAAUUUUGAAGGUCUAGCUACUAUAUUAUUACCCACAAGGGUAAAGGAACGGUACCACUGCUGGAUAAUUAGAAAGUCCCUGUGUGUCAACCUCUAUGCUUCGUGGCAAGGUAGACUAGCAACAUGCCUAACCUUUACUCACAUUCGAGAAAACACUCCCAACAAGAUUGCUUGCUCCAAAAUUGAAAAGGCACCGUCCUCCGAAUCUCGAGAGCCAGACUCCCAACAUGACUACUUUCUCAAAAAUCGAAGAGAGGGUAAAGGAACAGUACCAUUGCUGGAUAAUUGGAAAGUCCCUAUGUGUCAACCUCUGUGCUUCGUGGCAAGGUAGACUAGCAAACAUGCCCAACCUUUACUCACAUUCGAGAAAACACUCCCAACAAGAUUGCUUGCUCCAAAAUCGAAGAGGCACCGCCCUCCGAAUCUCGAGAGCCAGACUCCCAACAUAAUUACUUUCUCAAAAAUCGAAGAGACACCGCUCUCCGAAUCUCGAGAGCCAGACCCCCAGCAUGAUUGCUUUCUCAAAAAUCGAAGGCAUCGUUCUCCGAAUCUCGAGAGCCAGAUCCCUGAUAGGAUUGCUUGUUCGAAAACCGAAGAGGCGCUACUUUCCCAACUUCAAGAGCCGGAUCUCCUUGGAUAAAGCUUGUCUGUAAUCUUCACACACAACAUCAGCUUUCCAGAUACCACAGACCACUUUUUCAAAGUGCUCUGACAGAGUUAAAACAUGUGAAGCUGACAGCUCCCACUACUGUGCUAUGACCAAGCAGGGUAAUGGAAUAGCAUUACUACUUGUUGUUAGGGAGACUCCUAUAUAUGUCGACCUCCAUCCCCAACGGACAGGCAGACCUACAAAAAUGCUCAACCCUUCCUCAUAUCUGAGAGGGCACUCCCAACGAAGCCUUUCGAAAUAUUCAGCUUUCUUUUCCCCCGAUAAUACCUCUACAAACAAGCUAUACUAGAGCAAGAAUAUCUCAUAUCAUCAGGGUUAAAAGCAAGAGUAUCCCAUAUCAUGCUUUUUCCUUGUCUUUUCCUUUGGCCUUGUUCUUACCUGCAAGACAAGGAGAAAGAGAGCAAUCAGUCAGCACUUGGAAUCAAGCUUCCAGCCAGGAACUGACUGCCUGGAACCCCUUACCUGAUUACUUACCUGGCAUUGCUCUCGAGUACUCAUCUUCAACAUCUUAUGCUUCCAGGGAAGAUACCGCAUCUGCCUGAGGAACAAAUAGGGCAAGUGAGAAGGAUACAAGGAAGCAUGUGGAGACAAGCGUAACAGCACACGUGCCGAUACAUCCACUACUCUGUCAAAAGAAAAAGUAUCCCAUAUCAGCAGGGUCAAACGUACUCUAGAUUUGAUGGACUUGUUUUGACCCUCAAAUUCUUGAGUCGGCCUUAUACUCUGGAGGAAACCAGAAAACCCUCCAGCUCAGUUCAAGAAUAAGCCUGUGGAAAGUUACUUCUUCAAAAGCAAAAGUAUCCCAUAUCAUCUAUUCUCAUUUUUCUUCUCUUUAUCCUUCAUGCUGCCUGCAAGAUAUGGAGAAUGUGAACAAUCAGCCGGAGCUCUGAUUGCUUACCUUGUCUGUCACCUCUUUCAGCAGAUCCCCUAGCUCGGCGACUUGGGGGACUCCUACUACAUGGUUUGUAUCGCGCUUGACCAAGCCUGAAACUACAAGUAAGCUUCAAGUGAAAUUGAUACAUUACCUUGUGCAUCUCCACCAGUUAAAGAUACCACCCCUGGAUGGAGGAAGAGUACUUCCAGAGAAGAUGCCACAUCUACCUAUGAGACAGAUAAGGCAAGUCAAGACGAUACCACACUCCGAUACUUAGAAGUUUCGUGAUUACGAGAUCAUUCUCCCACAAUAUUUCCUAAUGUCAUUUGUACUAAAUCAUUCACUUGUACUCAUUAAAGGAGAGCUUGAACCUAUGUACUUGUGUAAACCCUUCACAAUUAAUGAGAACUCCUCUAUUCCGUGGACGUAGCCAAUCUGGGUGAACCACGUACAUCUUGUGUUUGCUUUCCUAUCUCUAUCCAUUUGUAUACUUAUCCACACUAAUGACCGGAGCAAUCUAGCGAAGAUCACAAAAAACGACCGUUUUCGCUACCUAGGAUCUAUCUUGCAAGAGAACGGAGAAUUAGAUGGAGAUCUCAACCAUAGAAUACAAGCUGGAUGGAUGAAGUGUAGAGUGCAUCCGGUGCAUCCGUGUUGUGUGACCGUCGUAGGCCACUGAAGCUCAAGGGAAAAUUUUAUAGGACGGCAAUAAGGCCAGCGAUGUUGUAUGGCACAAAAUGUUGGGCGGUGAAGCAUCAACACGUACACAAAAUGGGUGUAGCGGAGAUGAGGAUGCUUCUUGGGAUGUGUGGGCACACGAGAAAGGAUAAGAUUGGGAAUGAGGAUAUCCGAGGUAAAGUAGGAGUAGCCGAAAUUGAAGGAAAGAUGAGAGAAAAUCGGUUCCGGUGAUUUGGACAUGUGUAAAGAAGGCCUACUGACGCUUCGGUUCGAAGAUGUGACUACGGGACAGAGGUUUAGGGCCGAAGGGGUAGAGGAAGACCUAGGAAAACUUUGGAAGACUCUAAGGAAAGACUUAGAGUACCUGGAUCUAACGGAGGACAUGACACAAAACCGAGCGCAAUGGCGUUCUAGGAUUCAUAGCCGACCCCACUUAGUGGGAAAAGGCUUUGUUGUUGUUGUUGUUGUUGUUGGAUGUCUCUGGUCUGAAUUAGUAUUGAUUCUUGAAUUGACAAGUACUCCUGGGAGGAAGUGCAUAUCAUGUGUUUUAUCAUUGUCUAUAGCUUUAUGUGUGACUGAGAUUGUAUAGGGAAGGAAAUGUAAGUUGGGUAAUUCCUGCAGGGUACAUAAGUAGUUUGGUGGUGAUAUGAAGGCUUUUGUGAGGGGUGCUGUAUGGCAACAGUUUUUUUGGGGUUUCUUGGUUUGAGAGAAACACGAGGAUUUUUUAAAAUGAUAUUUGGAUGAGGACUAGUUAUGGAAUAAAGUUAGGUUUUGUUCACCACAUUGGCUGAGUAUCUAUUUUCUAAAUUUCAUGAUCCAUAUCCUUUGAAAGAUACUGUUUUUGGGUAUUCUGAUUUAUGUUGAAGGUCCUGUAUGUAGGAAGAAACUGUAAAACUUUAGUACGACUGUAUUGUUCAUGUAGUCUAGUUUUCAUUGUUGUCCAUUUUAAGGUGGGGGACAACUUAACUGAAGAGAUUGCAUUUUGUUGAGGAGAUUGGGUUGGCAAUUAAAGCAUUCCUUCAUAUGCACCGUAAUGGUGAUGAAAUAAAGAUCCAAAUUUGUUUGAACGGGGAACUGGGGCAUGGGAAGAAUUUAUCAUGUGUAAAUUUAGACCACUUUUUUAGAAGAUAAUUUUAUAUUACCGUAGGCUCAGAAUAUUUUAAAAGGCAUUUGACGAAAAAAUGUAAGAAUUUUAUAUCUGGCUACUAGCAUAAGGAAAUGAUGUUUUAAACUUUCAGUUUUUGAAUGUUGAUUCUGCAUAUUUGCUUUAAUCUGUUUUCCAUUUGGUAUAAAGUUCUGUACCAAAUGUGACAGUCGCCUUAAUGAGAUCACAGAAAGGGCAUCUGCUGAUAGAUAUGAGGUAUGCCGUAGGAUACUUGAGACUAAGCACAUAUUUGCAUUAAUCUUUUGCUACUGUCUUGGCUUAAUGAAUGCCAUGUGAAUCUAGGCUGAGUCCCUGGCUAAGAAAUAUGAAGAGAAAUACAAACAAGCUAGAGAUGUAGCUUCCAAGUUGACUAUUGAAGAAGCCACGUUUCGUGAUUUACAGGCACCUUUCACCACAUAUAAAUAUGUGGACAAUUAGUGACCCAUGUUGUGUGUUUUCUUUUGCUCAUUCGAAGAUCAAAGUGUCAAGUGCUUGCUGUUCUUUUUAUCCGAGUCAUAAUUGCCUGAACAUGUGAGACCGCGUAUUAGAGUUUGAUUUCGGGUAGAUUCAAUGGAACAGUAAAAUGCACACACAGAGAGCAGAGCUUUCUUCAAAGGUUUCAGUGUAUUCGACUUGUUCACCAAACAAAGAGCUCAAAGAGCAUGUUUUAACGUUGGAGGAGUGAGAAACAAUUUCACCCUCUCACAACAUUACAAAUCCAUCACAACCAUUCAUUUCAAAGUCAUCAUAUAAGAUGCUUGCACAUGUCAUGAGCUAUGACUCAUUCUAAUCCAAUCUAAUCUAAAUACCAAUUGGAAUAUGAUCCAAAGGUUUACAUUAGAUCCUACACUUUGUUUAUAAUGAAACUACCACAGCAAAUACAUUUAUACUUCAAUACUCCCUUCUAAAUGUUUUGCUGAUUUCACACCAAGAGCAGUUCUCAAGUAUUCGAAUCGAUCCUUAGGAAGAGCCUUGGUAAAGAUGUCUGCCAAUUGCUCCUCUGUGCUGCAAUAAUGCAGUUCAAUUGUCCCGUCUUGAAUGGCAUCUCUUAUGAAAUGAUACCUCCGAUUAAUAUGCCUGGUUUUAUGAUGAAACACUGGAUUCUUAUUCUUAGACAUGGCUAUGGCAGAAGUGUUGUCACACAAACAAAGGUGUAGCCUCCACUUGUUCUUCUCCAAAAUCAGAUAAAACAAACCUCAACCACAUUGCUUGUGUUGUAGCUUCUGCAGCACUUACAUACUCGGCCUCUCUGCAGUAGAUAAAGCCACACUGCAUUGUUUAACAGAAGCCCAAGAAAACACUCCUGAACCUAAACUGAAUGCAUAGCCUGAGGUGCUCUUCAUGUCAUCCAAGCUUCCUGCCCAAUCACUAUCACAGUAGCCCUAUCAACACAGCAGCUUUUCCUUUCACAUAUUCGAUUCCAAAAUCCAAUGUACCUUGCACAUAUCUUAAGACUCUUUUAGCUGUCCCCAUGUGUUUUCUAGUAGGUUUGUGCAUGAACCUUGCUAGCAAACAUGAUGCAUACAUUAGAUCAGGUCUAGUAGCUGUCAAGUAUAACAAACUACCAACCACUGUCCUGUACAAACUUUCAUCAGCAUCCUCACUUCCAUCUUCCUUAGAUAACUUGUCAUCAACUGCAAGUGGUGUUUUUACUGCUUUGCAUUCUUUCAAUCCAAAUUUCUCAAGUAGUGACUUGGCAUAUUUCUUCUGAUGAAUAAAUAUACUCUUAUCUGUUUGAACUAUGCCUAGACCAAGGAAGUGAUGUAACAAUCCCAGAUCUGACAUCUCAUAUUGCUUCAUCAUAUCCUUCUUAAAUUCUUGAAUCAUUUCAUCAGAAUUCCCUGUGUAGAUAAUGUCAUCUACAUACAGAGAUACAAUAAGCACACCUGCAUCACUGAACUUUGUAUAUAGAGUAGCUUCACUUUGGCUUUUCUCAAAACCAGAUCGAUUGAAAUAAUUGUCUAUCUCAUCAUACCAAGCUCUAGGAGCUUGUUUCAGACCGUAUAAAGCCUUUUUCAACUUGUAGACCUUAUCUUCCUGUCCUUGAACUUCAAAUCCCUGUGGUUGAUCCACAUAUACUUCCUCAUGCAGUGUACCAUUUAGGAAUGCAGAUUUAACAUCCAAUUGAAACAACUUCCAUUCCUUUUGAGCUGCCAAAGCAAUGAGAGUUCUAAUGGUAUCAAGCCUUGCCACAGGUGCAAAGGUCUCGUUGAAGUCCACUCCGGGCUUUUGAGAAUAAACCCUUAGCCACUAGCCGUGCCUUGUUCUUCUGUACUGAACCAUCCAGAUUGAGUUUUGUUUUGUAAACCCAUUUUACACCAAUUACAGGUUUAUCAAAUGGUCUUUUGACCAACUCCCAUGUAUCAUUCUUUUUCGAUCAUCUCUCAAUCUCUGUGGACAUAGCUUUUCUCCAAGCCUCAUCCCCUGAUGCUUCUUCAAAACAUUCAGGUUCUAUCACACAGAAAUUGCACCUUUCAUAAAUUUCAUUCAAGCCUCUGAACCUUAAUGGAGUAUGAUCAUACAUUUGUGAGCUGGUAUGAUCUAUUUGCUCUUCUUGUCUUGAAGAAGAAGCAAUAACUUGCUUCAUGUUGUUCCUGUAGUGAUUCUGUGCAUUCAAAUAUUGCAUCAUCUUCAACAGCUUCAGUCUCAUUCUCUUUGCUUCCAUCAACAUCACUUGGAACUGAGAUGGACAUAGUCUUCUUAUUACCAGAUUUCCAAUCCCAACAAGAGUUCUCAUCAAAUAUUACAUCUCUAGAAAUAACAAUCUUGUUAGUUUUAGGAUUGAACAACCUGUAACCCUUUUCACACGUUCCAUAGCCAAGGAAUAUGCACAUUACACUUGUUGCAUCCAGUUUCUGCCUCAUUUGUGAUGGAACCUGUGCAUAACAUAAAGAUCCAAACACUUUUAAAUGUUUUACUCCAGGCUUUCUUCCACUGUAAGCUUCAAAUGGAGUCUUCUUAUUCAAGACCUUGGUAGGACAUCUAUUGAGAAUGUAGACUGCAGUAUUCACUGCUUCUGCCCAAAAUUCAAAUGGAAUCCCUUUCUCCAACAUCAUGCAUUUAGCCAUUUCUACAAUGGUCCUAUUUCUUCUCUCAGCAACACCAUUCUGUUGAGGAGAAUAGGCCACUGUAAGUUGUCUUUCUAGACCAAGAUUUUCACAAUAUUGAGAGAGAAUUCCAGAGAAGUAUACUCCCCUCCCCUGUCACUCCUUAAUUUCUUCACUUUGAAUCCACUUUGUAGUUCAACAGUUGCCUUGAACCUCUUAAAUAUGCCAAAUGCAUCAGAUUUGUUUCUCAGAAAAUAGACCCAUCCCAUUCUGGUACAAUCAUCUGUGAAAGUGAUGAAAUACUUGUUUCCAGCUUUGGUAAGUGUUUGCAUUGGUCCACAUAUAUCAGUAUGUAUUAACUCCAAUGGUAGUGCAGCUCUCCAGUUUGUUUCUUUAGGAAAAGCAUCUCUAGAAUGCUUUCCAAUAGCACAUCCCUCACAUACUGUGGAAUUCACUCUGAGCUCAGGUAAACCAGUCACCAUGUCAUGCUCUUGAAGUUGCAUGAGAGCCUUCAUAUUUAGAUGCCCGAGUCUUCUAUGCCAUAUCUCAGCAGCUUGUUUAACACCUGCCCUCAUAGCCAUUUGUAUUCCUGGUUGCAACUUCAAAGGAAAGCUUCGAUUUCCCUUCAUAGGAAUUUUAACAACCAGAUUAGAGCAUGUAAAAUCUUCAUAAAUUCUGACUUCAAUUCCCCCAAACACAAGGUAAUAUCCAUGCUCCAUCAUUUGUCCCACACUCAAUAGAUUCUCCUUUAAACCAGGUACUAACAUGAUCUCCUUGAUGUACCGUUUGCCUUGCUUAGUUGCAACCAUUAACUCUCCUUUUCCAACUACAUUAACCAACUCCCCUGUGCCCAUCUCAACUUUGGCAGUAACACUUCUAUCAAUGUUCUCCAGUAAAUCUUCUCUUCCUGUCAUGUGAUUACUGCAGCCACUAUCAACAUACCAAACAUCUUCUCCCUUCUUCACUGCAGCAGCCAUACACACAUAGAACAUAGUUGGAUUGUUCUCCACUUGUUUGACAUAAUUUGCCUAUUGAGUAACCUUCUUUGACCUGCAAUCCUUAACAAAAUGCCCUGGCUUAUCAUAGUUAUGGCACCUUGGUUUUCCCUUGAACCAACACUCUCCAAAAUGAAGUUUAUCACAGUACUUACAUGCAUUCUUGACAUUAUCAGAAGACCCAGUAAAUUUUCCUUGAUGGUGCACAGAUUUGUUAUCCCAUUUCUUACUCUUUGUCUGCCAGUUCUUUGUGGGUUUAAAACUCUGAUUGCCAUUGUAAUUGUUCUUCCUGGGAGCUAUACUUAAACUAGCAAAUGCCUUUUCAUUUCUAUCUUCAGAAUGUCUAUCAAUUCGUUGUUCAUACCCCUUUAGGGUAGCAACAACAUCCUGCACAUCAACACUCUCCAGAUCCCUAGUGUUUUCUAUCACAGCAACAAUACUAUCAUAAGACUUAGGCAAACUUAUCAAUAGCUUCUGCACAAUUCUUUGAUUUCCUAUAUCUUCACCAUAACUUUUCAUUUGUGACAUAAGAUCAAAUAAUCGCACAACAUACACAGAGAAUGCUUCAUUUUCACCCAUACGAGUGUAUUCAAAAUCUCGCCUUAAACUUUGGAGUUUCACAGAUCUCACCUGUUUAUCCCCAAUAAAUUCUUGCUUCAGUGCAUCCCAAGCCUCCUUUGCCGUCUCCAGUAUGGCGAUUCGUGGGAAAAUUUCAUCGGACACAGAACCUUGAAUAAUCCCGAGAGCCUUAGCAUCCUUGAUCAUGUUCUCCCUUUAGCUGCUUUAGUUCAGCGGCAUUGAGUUCUUCAUCUUCUUUCUUCACCGGAGGUUUAUACCCCGUUUCAACCAUAUCCCACACAGAUCGUGAAAUCUGAAAAUAGUCUUCAUCUUUAUCUGCCAGAAAUCAAAGUUUUCCCCAUUGAAAAUCGGUGCUCGAAGAUCAGCACCACUCGAUCCAGCCAUAUUAGACUUGUUAUCGAGUUACCCAGUGAUUUUUCAGAUUGAUCUUCAAUCGCAGCAAACUCGAUUCUCUGUCGAGUUCCUUAGCUGCAACCCUUGUCACAGAUUCACGCCCAGAUUGAGAUCCAACCUGGCUCUGAGGCCAUAUUAGAGUUUGAUUUCGGGUAGAUUCAAUGGAACAGUAAAAUGCACACACAGAGAGCAGAGCUUUCUUCAAAGGUUUCAGUGUAUUCGACUUGUUCACCAAACAAAGAGCUCAAAGAGCAUGUUUUAACGUUGGAGGAGUGAGAAACAAUUUCACCCUCUCACAACAUUACAAAUCCAUCACAACCAUUCAUUUCAAAGUCAUCAUAUAAGAUGCUUGCACAUGUCAUGAGCUAUGACUCAUUCUAAUCCAAUCUAAUCUAAAUACCAAUUGGAAUAUGAUCCAAAGGUUUACAUUAGAUCCUACACUUUGUUUAUAAUGAAACUACCACAGCAAAUACAUUUAUACUUCAAUACCGCGUGCUUUUAUUUUUUUAUGAGAUAAGUGCCAAUCAAAAUUAAAAAAUCAAGUAUGAGCAGGACAUUUUUACUUUUUGGAGAAACAAAAAGAAAUUUAUUUUAGAACUUUUAAGCCUGGUGGGAUAGAUAGCUGAUGAGAGAGAGAAAGUAGUGUGGGAAAAUAGAAUCAGUUGAAUGGUCAUACCCUUGUGGUGUAUUCUUUUUAUUAUCGUGGACUGAUUAUCUUACGUGAUUUAUAUGCAGGAGAAAAAAAUGGAGCUACACAGGGCAGUGAUGGAGCAAGAAGGUGAUGCUGAUGCGCACUUCAGGUACCUUUGCACAAUCUUGCUGUUUAAAAAAUACCUUUGCUCAACUUGUUUAAGACCAUUUCCAGCUGAUUCAAGAUCGUGUUGAUCACAUCCAAUUAGAUCUUGAUGGGCUUGUCAAAACUCUCAAUGAGCACUGCAAGAAGUAUGAACUACGCAGAAAGCCUACAACGUUAACUGAGCUGCCCUUUUGUACGUUGAUCUCUUUCCUUAGCUAAUUUCUUGGGAGUCUAAGAAUCUUAUAAAUAACGAUAAGAAUACUUCUAUUAGCUUAUUCUUUAUCAAAAUAUCUGAUGGAUUGUACAUAGAACACAAUGUUGUGGUAAAUGGAUCAUAUUGUCUGCUUUUUGUAGUUUCUUUGUCAUCUAGUUGUGGUUUGCUAACCUGUUUAGGAGUUUUAACUGUUCGAGGUGACUGAUUCAGAAGUUGAAUUGUCAGGAUUCACUUUUGUCAAGGAGCUCACUCUUGACGUGUCAAAUGUCUUGGCACCUCCAAAACAGAAAUAAUCAUCAGUUCAGAAAGAAAAAGCUCCCCCAGUUGAGAGUCCAACAACUGCUUCUUCACUAGCCUCAAAGUACGGAUGCCAAGGUUGUUGAAAAUGGAGCAGCAUAUGAUAAAAAUGAGGAUGAGUCAGCAAAAAGUGCUCCGAACAGUCCAUUUGCCAGCAGUACCGUUGGAAGCCCAUCUAGAGAAUUUUCAGAUUCUAACUAUGGAAAGACAACAGACGCAGAUCCCUCACCCCGUAAUAAGGAAUCUCAAAGGUAUGGUUCUAGAUCUGUAGUUUUCUACAUAUUUAAGGUCACCCUGAUACGUGCAAAAUUGUUGAUCAUGCGGGUGCUGGGUCUAUGUUUUCUGGCGACAAAGGUUCUGAUGAACCAGCAUGGGGGACAUUUGACACUAAUGAUGACGUUGACUCGUUGUGGGGUUUCAAUGCAGUUAGUACCACCAAGGUAAGCCAAUAUUGUACAUUCAAAAAUUUUAUUUAUUUAUUUUAGAGUGCAUUCAGUAUUUAUUUAUUAGAACUCAAUUCUUUGACCUUGUGUUUAUACUGACCGGACCUUGCUUCAUGAUUGCUGUUAAUACCACCUAGUUGUUUGUGGUGGUGACCACUUAUCCUUGUUUAAGAGUUGCCUCAAGUGUCCUAAUGCUUGCUGAGUUGUUUAGUUAUUAACGAUGGUUCUGGGAAUUUUAACAUUAUUUGAAUAGUUUCUAUCUUCACCAUUCUGAUGGUUUCAUGUAAAUCAGUUAUGGUUCACUGUAUGGCGAAACCGAGUUUCCGAGUUUCCUGUCUUUCAACCAAGUAUGGCGAAACCGAGUUUCCUGAUUUCAGUUUUGGUUCACCGGAUAUAAAAAGAAGGGGUUGCGGGAUUGUUCUUGGUGCAAUUAAUUGCACAUUGAAGGGGACUCUGAUUUAAGCCUUAGGUCUUGGUUAAUCUUAGUCAAGAUCAUUUUUGUGUUGACAACUUGACAUUGACAAGAGAUGGUGCCAUUAAUGUAUUAAUGUAUUAAUCAUUGUUAAAGAAUGGUGACUGGAAAAAGGAAAGUUAAAUUUCAAGUUAAAAAACUAGCAUUCAUUGUCAUGUUAGAAACAGUUACUGUUAACAGUUUGUAGCCGAUGGAAAGUUUCCAUUAUUUUGCACCUUCCAAGUAGGCAUGGAUUCUAGGUUCCAGUGAAUCCACUUUCUUUUAUAAUAGCAUGUCGGUUACGUAGCACUUUCAAGCUUUUAGUUUUUGCGGUUUUAUAUUUUUUAUUAUUGCUGGCAUGCAGGAUUUUGCUGUUAAUUGCUCUUAAUCAUGUGGGAUGUAGGAUAUGGAUCAGGAGAGUAAUAAGGAUCACUACUUUUCUGGCCCUGGGGAGUUCGGCCUCAACCCUAUCAGGACUGGGUCAUCACAAGGAGGUGGCUUUUCCCAGAAGAGCUACCCUUUUACUUUCGACGUUUCUGUUCCUAGCACACCACUCUCAUCCUUCAAUUUGGGGUAUUCACCGCCAAGGUACAAGGAUAGCUCAGAACCUUCAUUUGACACCUUCUCUAGGUUUGAUUAGUUCACAAGCACACAAGAUACUGGAUUUUUCCCUCAACCAGAAACACUCGGAAGAUUUGAUUCUAUGCGCAGCAGUCGAGAUUUUGAUCAGGGUAAUGGUUUUCCAACAUUUGAUGACAUCCCAGACCCUUUUGGCUCUUCGGCGCCAUUUAGGUCAUUGCUGGACAGUCAAACUCCAAGAAGAGACUCAGACCCCUUCGGAUCUUCAGGUCCAUUUCGGACGUCACUGGACAGUCGAACUCCAAGAAGAGAAUCAGAUUUUUUCAGGUCUUCAGCAGCGCCAUGUAGGACAUCAUUGACAGUCAAACUUCAAGAGGAGACUCGGACGCAUUUGGAUCCUCUCCAUUUAGGACAUCAUUCAACGGUCAAACUCCAAGAAGAGACUCGGACCCAUUUGGGUCUUCAGGGCCUUUCCGGACGUCAUUGGAGACUCCGAGAAAAGACUGAUCAUUGGAGUGCAUUUUAGCCAGGUAGUUGCUCUUCUUCGUUUUUCUGUCUGCUAUUCUCGUUGUUCCAAGCCUUUCUAUCGUGAGUGUUAUGGGCCGUGGCCAUGUUUUAUGCUUUGAAAUCACUGUGCUUGUAAUGUGUCUUUUGUAUUUCAUUUCUUUGUGUAUGCAUCUCGCUUUGUCUUCAUCCUUUUUUUUUCCUUUAGCUUAUAAUUUUUCUCCGUAAUUUCGGAAUGUUCCUAGUCCUAUUGAAGCGAAGACCCCUAUAGUUUUAUCGCUGUUACAAAUUUGAUGAUUGUAUUAUCAAACUGGGGCUGUGCCUUUCUUUUUUCGACCUUAAUUUGCUGUAAUAUUUUACCCCCAUAAUAAAAUUUGUUCUGCUGAUCUUUCUUUUGUUCAAACAAGAACACUGUUUUGCCGGUGUUAGUCCAAUUGGGCCAUUCAUGAUGCCGCUGGAUUUGAUCAAAGAUAACAAACAUAAUAUUACACACUUGUCUAUAUAAGAGCCUUGCCUGUUUGUCAGUCUUAUUUCUUGGACGGACAAGUGAGUGCUGUCCUUGAACUUGCCUGUGUCUUCAGCGCUGUGCAGCCUUGAGCUCAAACAUGACAUAGCACUGGGAGCUCUGGCAAAGAUUGAAGUUGCUUGCAGCCGACUAAGUUGAGUUCAGACAACCGAGAAGCUCAUUUGAUGCUUGCAGGUAUGCUCCUGAUCUUGGUUCCAGACAGAUGUAUGCUUGUCAAUGAGGUUGAGCAAACGAGACCAUCAGGGAUUUCCAACAUACCGCUGCUGCUGAGAUCUAGUUCUUCUAAAGAGAGAAAACCGGCAUAGGUGAAAGGCAAAUUUUCAAGUUCCCGACAUCCAUACAAGUCGAGACGUUUAAGAUUGGUUAAACGGUAGAUACUUGUUGGGACUACCUUAAGGUGCUUGCAGUCACUAAGGUCUAAAGUUUGAAGCCCAAUUAGAUUUCCAAAUGACGAAGGAAGCUUUUGUACAGCUGUCCUUUGCAAAUUAAGAGACACCAAAUGUUCUAUUGGCUCCAAGAUCUCUGGGAAAUGUUCAAGUUCAGAGCACCCAAAGAGAUUGAGUUCCUUGAGAUAUUUCAACUUCCAAAUGUAGAUUGGUAGACUCACAAGACUGCUGCAACGAACCAAUGAUAAUUUAGUUGUAUCCCUCGGAAGCUCAGAAAACUCGCAAAGAGAUAUGCAACCAUAUCGAUCAAAACAACCAGAGACUUUCAACUUACAACUGUUGCUUGGAAGUUUCUCAAGGUAAAGAGCAAAAACGUAUAUUCAAGUAAGAAAUGUUUUUGUUAGACCACACUGAUUCAGGCAAUUCUUUUAUACCAGCGUAAUGUAAAUCCAAGUAUUUAAUAUUUCCUAGCAUCUCUGGAAGAUACUUGAGGUUGGUGCAGCCUUUAAGAUCAAGAUGAGUAAGCUUGUCAAGAUGUUGAAAACACUCAGGAAUUUCAACCAAAAUUUCACAGCCACAGAGAUUUAUUUUCACAAUUUUUAGACUUCGAGAGAGAUUUGGAACUUCAGUUAGAUAUCUGGAGUAAUGCAGAUCGAUCACUUGUAAGUUCACAAGUCUUUGUAUCAAGAGUAAAUAGGAGUUAAUAUAACUUCUACACUUGAUUUUAUACAAGAAUUAAAAUAGGCAUAUAAUAUAAUAUACCUUGUCUUUUUUCCAAAGCUUCUGAACUAGGCUAAAUGGCAUAUGAAGCUCAACUAGAUUUUUCGGAGAAAAUUUUGACGGUAAAGAUUCCAGUGGAUAUUCAUCCCAGUAAAGAUAACGAAGAGCAUCGGGAAGGUCUAGAGAAGCGUGGAAUUUGGAGCCACCAUUCACAAUUAGCAAUCUUAGGUUAGACAUCACCUUGAAGUCUACACGUUUCAAUGGUCGCUCUACAAUGUUAUGCCAAUUAAGGAAUAUGGCUUCAAUAUUUCCUGACAAUAAGAAGAAAGUUUAAAUGUGAAUAUAUGUACAUGUUUUCAACAUGUUAAAAUGUAAUGCGCACUUGGAAAAAGAAUUCUACAACGUUACAUAAUAAUUUAGUAUUUGCGAUGGUAAUGAUGUACAAGUUUCUAGUAAAAUAUCCAACAUAAUUGUAUCCUCCUCUACUUGUCUUAAAAAACAAACAUUUGUUCCUAUUCCAAAGACUUCCGAACACAAUAAAAAUUCAAUCAAAUUAAUUUUUUUUUUUUAAGAAUCUGACUUUUUUUAUUAUAAAUGCAAAAAUGCUACUCUUACCAUCUAAUUAUACCGUCAAUUGUACAAUCUCUAUUAAUCUCUAAUAAAGAUGAGACUCAUAUGUGUUUUCUCUACAAAAAGAAAAGAAAAAAAAUUGAGUGCAUUUGACUCUUACUGUGUUACUUUUCAAUACAUGAUAAACAUCCUUAUCGUUGAACAACCUACUCCACUUACUGGGAUCUUCAAUACAUUGUUCCUGAACAAUUGUCCUUCCCAUUUCUUCAAGUAGAUCAUGCAUCUCGAUGGUUUCCCGUCCCCAUCUUGAAUCAAUUGAUAUGAGAGACAUGUCAAUGAGAAUUCUAAUUCCAACCGUCACAAAGAAUCCACGAACAUCUAACAAUUGCUUUACCUCCUCCACAUCAUACCCUUCAUGAAAACAUGCUAUAUCCAAAAAUAUCUCCUUCUCAUUUCUUCCCAAUCCAUCAUAACUUAGUCUCAACACUCUCUGGAUAUUUUCAUUGGGAAAUUGUUUCAAUUUGUCCAAUUCAUCUUCCAAGUCUUCUUUGCUCUUGCAAUUUAGGAAUGAGGACCCCAGAAGUAUAAGAGCUAAAGGAAUGCCUCCGGCAUAAUGCAUCGCCUUUUCUGCCAACCCCUUAUAAUCUGUUAUAUGAGUAUUCUUGAAAGCACGCGAACAAAAGAGCUGAAGAGCGUCAUCCGGUUUUAAUCUCCCAACCUCAUAGAUUUUAUCCUCUUCAACAGUUUGCCUAAGUGUGCCCCUAUUUCUACUUGUGAUGAUGAUUCUACUUCCAUUGCCAAACGGAAGACGAUUGCCAGAUAAACCUUCAAUUUGCAUUGAAUCACUGACAUCAUCAAGAACAAUGAGGACCUUUGUACGGCUAAGCCUAUCUCGAACAAAAAUUGAUCCUAUGGAUAGAUCUUCUUCCUUUGAUAUCUGACUGAGAAGUGUAUUUUGUAAGUGUUCUAGCCCAUCUUUUUGUUCUUUCUCCCUAACAUUUCUUAGAAAACAACAAGCUUCGAAUUUAGAAGAGAGUUUGUUAAAUACGGCUUCAGCAAGGGUGGUCUUGCCAAUACCACCCAUUCCCCAAAUACCAACACUGAUGCAAGCAUCCUGUGAAUGAAUGCCUAAUAGCGAUUCAAUUUGCUCGAUGUGACUUUCAAUUCCAACCAGGCCCUCUAAAACACAUGAUGAUUCACAAAUCAAUUUGGUCCAAAUAUGAUCUACAACAUUCCUAAUUAGAUCUGCCUCCGUCCUGGCAUAUAUAUGUAUGAUUAUGUAGAAAAAGCAAUAGUUAGUCCUAAAUAUGCUUUACCAAAUCUUAGCACAAAUCAAACUGUGACAAGUUUAAAGAAAAUUUAUAACUUUAGACAAGUUAAAGAAUGAGUUAGUUACCCGAAUUUGUUUGAAUAAUCAAACCCAGAUAGAUUGGCUGCAGUCUUCAAAGCACCCCUCCACUUGUGCACCUUGUCAAUACUGUUAUCGAAACGUUUUUCAAGUUGUCCAAAUGCAUCCGCAUAACUCUCGUAUUGAUUCCGUACAUCAGAUGGAUUGACGUCGUAUAAUACCGGUACGACCAUGUGGCCAUAUAUUUCCUUGCAUUUGAGUAUAUGCACAAGCUCAUCCAAACACCAUGUGGAUGAAGCAUAGUUUUGUGAGAAAAUGAUCACCGAAAUCGUGGAUUUCUCGAUUGCUUCUAGAAGGGCAGGUCCGAUUUCUUCGCCUCUCUGAAGUCUAUUAUCGAUGUAGGUUUCAAUUUUCUUCUGAAGUAAGGCAGCAUGAAGAUGGCUGGUAAUACCAAGGCGGGUGUCCUCACCUCUGAAGCUGAUAAACACAUCAUACUUUUCUAGUCGUGGGGGGAUAUCAGCAUCCUCAUCAACAACAGUAGUAGAACCAGCUACAACAGAAUCAACCGCAAAAGAAAAUGUUAAUAAUCUGCAGCUGAGACUACAAUUGCACCUGAGACUAAAUCAGAGUUUAUUAUAGAAAAAUUGAAAUUGAGAUUGUAGUCCUUAGUUAUAAAUGCUCCAGGUAGAGACAAGGAUUAGUCACUUCUACAUAGUUAAAAAAAAAUAUUUGAUAAUGGUGGUUAAAAAUUAUUGGCUUUUAUUCAAAAUGGUCCAUGAGAUUUGCAUCAUCCAUAAGUUUGGUUUCUAAGAUUUAAAAUCAAUAGAAGUAGCCCUGAGAUUGUCUACCAUCCAUGAUUUUGGUCAUUCUGCUGAAGCUUUUGGCCGGAAGUUUGGGCAAUUUUCAAAUCUUCGUAACUCAAUCGUUUCUUAACCAAAUUCGACCCAUAAUAUAUCAAAAUGAAGAUAGGAAAGUGUAGAAUAAGAUUAUAUCUAUUUGGAAGAGCAAUAAUUGCCGGAGAUGGUCAGAAAAUAGCCUAAAAGUUGACUGGUCUGAGGGAAAACUAGAAAACUUGCCGGAAACUCGCCGAAAACUGGGUAAAUUUUAAACGUUCAUAACUUCUUCAAUACUCAUCAAAAUCAUGUGAUUCAAAAACAAAAAUCAUACUUCUCAACGAGAAUAAGAGAAUGGUACCUUUUUCAAAGGCUAACUCGCCGUGGUUUGGCCGGAAAAUGGCUCGAAAGUGGCUGUUGAAAAACGAGUCAGCAACUUUCGAGCCAUUUUCGGCCAAACCACGGCAAUUUAGCCAUUGAAAAAUGUACCAUUCUCUUCUUCUCAUCAAGAAGUAUGAUUUUUGUUUUUGAAUUACUUAAUUUCGUUGAGUAUUGAAGAAGUUGUGAAUGUUUAAAGUUUACCCAGUUUCCGGCAAGUUUUUCAGUUUUCUCUCUGACCAGUCAAUUUUGAGGCUAUAUUCCGACCAUCUUCGGCAACUGUUGGGCUUACAAAUGAUAUAAUCUUAUUCUAUACUUUCCUAUCUUCAUUUUGAUAUAUUACGGGUCAAAUUUGGUUAAGAAACGAUUGAGUUACGAAGCUUUGAAAAUUGCCCAAACUUCCGGCCAAAAGCUUCAGUGGAAGGACCAAAAUCAUGGAUGGUGGACAAUCUCAGGGACCACUUCUAUUGAUUUUAAAUCUCAGGGACCAAACUUAUGGAUAAUGCAAAUCUUGUGGACCAUUUUGAAUAAAAAGCCAAAAAUAUUUGAUAAUCGUAGCGGCAAGCACACAGUAGCCAAUAGGCCCUCCUUCCCGGCUUUGCACGCUUUAUUUACAAAUUUAACUUUGUUCCUCCAUCCACUGAUUUCAUCUUUGACCAGCAGAGCAUCCAAAGCAAUUUAAUCUUAACAAGGACUAACCAACACCCGACACAUCAAUGUAGCAUCUAGGUGACGCAUUUACUGGUGCAUUAUUAGUUUGUGAUGUCAGAGUGAAAAUUUCGGGUGCAAUUGAAUAUAAAACCAUCUAAAGCGUUUGAAUUUUUAAGCCAACAAGACCGAAACCUUGAAAUAGGGAAAGCCCACCUCCAAACCGGUUUUGGUCGAGUCUGAUUUUGAAAAGCAAGGUCCUUCCCAUUCAAUACUUUAUUUCAGGAGUAGAGUGAGGGGGGGUGGGGUGGGGGAGGGGAGGCUGGCAAUGUGAGGAGAGGGGAAUUAGAUAUCAGACCUCUGUCUUGUAAUUCUUGUUUAUGUAAUUGAUGGUUAAUGAUAGAUGUUGUUAGAUUAGUCACCGACAGAGUUUGAACUCACGUUAUCAUGUAAAGAAUUAACACAUUUCCACAACUGUGGUAAAAGACCACUUUCUAUUGAGUAUUCUAAGUGCUCACUUUUUAAUUUUGUCCAAUGAAAAAAUGUGAUGUGUUCCUUUUUUUUCAAAGUUCAAGAAAAAUUUAAUAACAUGUCUAUUAUUUUUUAAAACAAUAAAAUAUGUGCUAAAAAUUUAAAUAUCAUUAGACAAAAUCAAAAAGGUGAGUGAGUUUAGUGAGUGCCCAGAUAUUAUUCUUACACAAAUAUUGUCCUAAUUAAUUGUAUUUUGUUUACACAGUUUCCUAAAUAUGUUACAAAUUGCAUAUACAAUGACUACAUGUUCAUUAAAAUCCCUAGAGGAUCAUCGUUGUGAUUACAACUUGUUCAAGAAAAGUUCAUGGAAGGUAGAAAAUGGAGCACAUGAAAGUAGAAAGAUAUUCAUAUGUUUGCAAUCUCAACAUGUAAAACUACUGGUAUUUGAAAACCAUAAAAUGAUAUAAGUACAAACUUUUUCUCCUUGCUUUGCUCCCCUCACAAUCAGUAUCAUCUUGGUCACCUGAUCGAUUCCUGCAAGUGAAGUUUUGGUUAUCUUUCGUACAGUCAAUAAACAUAAAUCAGAUUAUGCAUACCAAAAAUCAGUACACAAAAAGGAGGAGCCCUAUGUGAAAAAGGAUGCAAAAAAUCAACUGGAGACCUCUUUCUUCUGUUCUUUUUCCAUUUGCCCUCUCUCUCUCUCUCUUUCAAUCUUUUGUGUUGAAGCUUUUCGGAAAAUCUGUUAAGAGAGCCGUUUAAUCGAAACUUCAAAAGGAAGACAAUGGAUCAAGAUGCAAACAAAACAAAGUGAUAUCAGGUGGCAGGUCACCAGCGAAGAAAUUAACAGCAGACAUAACAAAAAUUAAUUAGCAAAUUAAAUGUCAGCAUAACAUAACACCUAAACUUAUGCGGUAAGAUAUGACAAAAAAUACAGAAAGAGCCUACAACGGUAUCAAUAAACACUGACUAACCUCUGACAAGUUACCAAUUUGACAAGGGCUUGUUUGUUUUCUCCAGCUUCAAACUAAGAAAGGUUCACCUUCAAAGUAAUAUCCAAAACAAUUAAGAUGCAAAAACUUUUUAAGUGAUGUAAAUAUAGAUAAACAGAAAAUGAAAAUACAUAUUCCACAAAAAAUAAAAUAAAAUAAGAUGAAAAAACUUUAUAAGUGAUGUAAGCUUGUUCUUGAAUGAAGGAGCUUAAACUUGAAUUUGCUUAAUUACCCUCCCAAACAUAUAUAUAUGUAAGCUUAAUUCACUAGACCAGUGUUAUUAAGAUUGAAAAAAACUAGGAUAAGGUUUAAUUAAUGCAUAAGGCAAUACUAACCACAAAUCAGUAAUCCAUAAACUCAUAAAGGUUAGCACAAAAAAUAUAUAGCUGAAUUGAAGAUUAAGUGAAAAAUAUAUAAUUAAAGAAAAUACUGAAAACUUGGAACGUUUGUAGGACUUCGAACAUUUACCAAGAAUUUGAAAAGACGUGGAAGACUUUUUUUUUUCCAAGUGUUGAAAACAAGGAGCUUGCUGCACCAAUUAAUAACCAUGCAUGUAGAAAACCAUAAUUAAGAUAAUAAUUAUGCAGAAGAAGAAGAUAUGGAGGAAAGCGUGCUUUCUCUCUCUCUCUCUCUCUCUCUCUCUCUCUCUCUCUCUCUCCCUGUCCCUGUCCCUCUAUAUCAGUUUCUCUCUUUUAAGUUUGGAGCUUGAGAGUUUUGGAUAACAAGGAGAGGAAGAAGAACUAUGGAAGAUAAUGGGGAAAUGGAGGAGGAAAAAAGGUGGAGAAGGAAAUAUAAAAGAUAAUAGAGCGAGAUGGGUGUGCUAAGGAAGGAAGGGCGGAGAUUAAACAGUCGGAAGAAUGUAUUUGGCAUCUUAUGCCAGUUUUCCGGCUUAUACCGAGGCUUAAAUGCAAAAGAAAAAUAAAACCUUUUCUGUUGUAAAGAUGGCUGGCCAAGUUGUCCACUAAAGCAUGUCCUCACAUUAAAGCAUGAUUCCUUUGAGUGGAAUGUUAGGUGUGGAAAUUAGGCUCCACUAAGAACAAUUUCCUUCCACUAAAUGUUGCCGAUGCUUUGCUUUCAUUGCUCCUAGUUUUCAUAUAAAUAUAUAGACAUACAGCUGAGAAGAAAAAAAAGGAAGAAGAGAGGAAGAAGUGAGAAGCCACAAGGCUCACGGCAGAGAGAGAGAGGGAAGAGAGAGGAGAGUUAUCCUUGUAAUCUUAUUACUUCAGAUUAUAAAUAAAAGCAUCACUGCUGUCUCGAUGAUGUACUCCAGUCACACUAACUGUAGAGGAACCUCGUAAAUUUUGUGUUUUGUUUAUUCCACUGCACAUACCGUCGAUUUUACAACAUUUUCCCCAUUUAAGAAAGAAGUUUGGAACACGGGAGUGAGGGAUGGGGCCUACGUUAACGCGACACGGUUUUGAAUUUUUUUAGUUAGUUAGUUAGUGAUAAUUUCUUUCGAGAAAUUUUCAAACACUUUCAAUUGAGUAUAUUCUAUAAAAUUCUAAGAAAAACUAGUGAAUUUAACUCUACAAAAUCAUGGAGGGCUAGGAAUACAGUCAUUCACUACUAGAAGUUGCCUACGAUUUGGAAUCAGUUUUUUCAAGGCUAUUAGGAGAUCAUAAAAGAGUGCAAAACUUAGCCUGAAAGUAAUCGAGAAAAAUAAAUGGUGAAUUGCCCUUAUAGUUAGGUUAAGGGCACCAUCUCUCUGUCUAUCAAUCUAGGCACUAAACUAAGCAAGAGACAGAUAGAGGUAGAAGUUGGGAAGCAAGGGAGGAGGGAGGUAAAAUUGGGAAGUGAGGGAGGAGAGAGUAGUUGCCUAGAUCAGGAUUUUUUAUUUAUUUUUUUGUGGAGACAGAUUUGGCAAAAUUAGUUCUUUGUCAACAGUCGUGUGCAAGACACCAACCCUCUUUUAAAAGAAAAAAAAGGACCAUUGCAUCUAAAAACCCCUCAUCCGUCCCUUUCUGUAAAAUUUUAUUAAUAAUAUGAAGAAAAAAAGAGAUAUGAAAUUACCUAGCUCAAGCACCUUACCUUCCCGAAUAAAAAUUCAAUGUGUUCUCAUAUAUCAAGAAAGACAAAAUAAGGGAACAUCAACAUCAAUUCAUAACUUUUAUUAAUCACAACUCACAAGUCAUCAUUUACGCAUUUUACGCACAAAUUUCUUUGAACUUCUUUUUUCCACUAGUUUAAGUUUUGAUCAGCAGACCAUCUAAUUAAAUUUAGUCUUGACAAAGACAACUAAUCCACACCCUGUGGGUUGUAGUAGCACCUUGGUUACGUGCUUAUUCAUUCAUUUUAGUUUAAGAUGUCACAGUAGCAUACCAAAUAUACACAGCUCUUCAAUUAAAGAUAAAAGCAAACAAACAUUUUAAAAUGAACUAGCGAACCUUGAGAUAGAAAAUGCCCACCUCCCAAAUUGGCUUCGGUGACUAGAGUCUAGAGUUUAGUCUCAUUACGAGAAAAACAAGUGAUGGAUUGUUCUUAUGGUUAGUAUAUAGAUUAGUGUAAAAUAUCUUUUGUACGCAGUGUUUUAAAAAACUUGUCCCAAGGCGCGCCUAGGCGGCUUUGGAGCCGAGGCUGAAGAAAAUUCACCUUUGUUUUGUGAGUAGGCAAAAAAUCACUUAUGGGAGUAGGCCUUAUGCGCUUUAAGUACAAACAAGCAAUUGAGCUCGCGCCACACUAUGAGUUUUAAAACUUUGUUAAAUGUGUGGGAUAUGUUAAAAUUUAUUUAUUGUUGGAAAUGUGCCCUAAAACCAAUCAUAUGAUGAUACUUUACGGACAUUUCACAUAUUAAACUAAUAUAGUUUAAUAUAAAGGGCAAAGAUUAUUGUUUGAAGCCGUCUCAUAUAAAUGUUAUACGCUUAAACGAUAAGUCCAAGGAAUAUGUAAUUGGGAGAAUGCAAUCUAAAGAAGUUAGAUUCAUGAGAUUAUUUUCUUUCGUAUACAUAUCCUAAAUGUUCCUGAUCAUAGGAUUGCCAAUUGGGCAUUGACAGUCCGUUAAGAUCAGUACGUGCUAUGUCUUCUCUUAGGAAGAGUGACUGGUCUCGAGUCAUUGGUGUGACUGAUACCAAGACAAGUACGUAGGUGCUCAAUAGAGAAUGAGUUCACUGAACGCGAUCAACAAGAAGUUCUCAUACUCAUGUCACAUGAGAACUUAUGGUUGGGAUAAUGCAAAGUAGUCAUUUGACCUGAGGCAUCAUAGUUGUCUUGUGGUUAGGUCCUUGAUCUUUGAUUAUGUCAAAGUCACUCCAUCCGAGGGUGUCCACGACAUAGUUGGGGUUAAGCCACUUAGCCAUAGAGGCAAGUGAAUGCGCAACAAGGGAUCUCUAACCUUCAAACCGUUUGAGGGAGAAUACUCUAUGAUAUGAUUAAGAAUCUCUGGCCAGAGUAUGAAUGAGAUUUAGGAAGUCGUUCCAAAUCACAUUCAAGGUAAUCAUAUAAGUAAAUGAAUCACAUUGGAUAGUAGACAUGAAUAAACUAUCAAACCAAACAAUGUGGUCAAGAGUAUUAUAUUAGAGAAAUACCGUAUUGCAUUGUAAUCCUAAACUGAAUAGGUUCUCCACCUCCUCUGAUUAGCUUGGGUAACCAUGACAUACUGCUAGGUGUCACUCAUGGUUUGUGGAAGACCUAAAAGUGUAUAAUCACUAAAGGGAUAAUUGAAAGUAAGUUUCAAUUCGCAAUCGAUUUGAAAGAGUUUUAAUCGCUCACUGCCUCGCUAAAAGGAACCUAAUGAAUCGCACACUGUGUAAGGUAAUGCUUGAAGGAUUUGACGGAGAUGAGUAAGGACAAUUAAAUGGUUUAAUUGUUUAUGGCAAGAAUUAAUUAAUAUGUUAAUUAAUCAAACGAAUAAGUUCGUUUUAAACCUUGAGUUAGUUUUGGGCCUUAAAGCCCAAAUUGGGCUUCAAAUCGUCAAGCCCAUUAGCUUAAGUUGUAUGACAACUUAACAAAUAAAAUUUAAGAAGCCCAAAACAGCCCAAAGGCUUGGAAAAAUGGGCCAUAGAGAGAGGAAGGGCCUUUUGGUCCAAAAUGCAUACAAAAGUUGAAAGCAUAGAAAAGGUAUCUUUGCUCCAUCCUCAUUAGGGUUUUCUAAGGAUGAAAAGUGAGAAAAACUCUCUCUCUUUUCUCUCUAGAAUAGCCGGCCACCAUGGGAGAGUUUACUAGCAUCUAACUCUUCCAUGGCUACUCAUCUUCUUCCUCAACCAUCCUUGGUGUCGGAACUUAGAGGUCUCCAACUUUGGGGACUUUUGGAGAAACCAAUUCUUCCAUCCAUAUCCAAGAAGGCAUGGAGCCAAGAAGCAAAGUUCCUCCAUCCACAUCCAUGGAGCCAAGGAGUAAGGUGACAAAGGAAAGAAGGCCCUCACAUGGGUGAUUAACCUUUGCUAAGCAAAGAGGUGCUUCAAAGGUAUAAAGUUUUUCAACUCACUUUGUUUUGAGUUGAGUCUUGGUUCACCCUUCUACUAGGCUUUGAAUUUCAUGGGUAAUGUUUUGUUUUUGAGUGCAUACAAGCAUGAUUCCGCCUUUAAAUGAUAAUUGCAUGCCAUAGAUGUUGCUCAAAUGAACAUGUUUUUCACAAAUUUUCCUUCAUUUACCCUCUAUUUCAACAUCUAUUUAUAUUCUUAUGAUCAAUAAUGAACAAAUGAUACGUGUUUUGGAACCAUUCAUAUAGUUAUAAUACACAUAAAAGCAUCUUGUUUUCUAUGUCCUAACUUUUCACAUUAUUGUUUAGUACUUCACUCUUCUUUCUUCUUUACUGCCAAAAAGAUGAUUUUCUUAUACCUACAUAAGAUUUUUAGAAAUGGAUCAAAAAUAACAUGCAAUAUAGUACUUCUGCUUUUCGCUUUAUUAUUGAUUUUUAGAAAUGAAUCAAAACUAACAUGCAUAGGAUUUUUUUUAUUCUCGUCAAAGACAAAUUUGAACCAUAUUAUUAUUAGCUCAUUGUGAGACUUAGUCCACCCCUUAUCUUAGUGUAGAUAAUAUUGUUUGUUAAAAAAAAUGAAGAGUGGGAUGAGAUUUACUGAAUGUGGGAAGGUGUUAAGAAAGAGAGACAAUAAAUACGGUAAUGUUAAGAGAGAGAGAGAGAGAGGGCUUCUCAUUCAUGACAUGGAGAAAUUUUUAAUUGUUACCUGAACACGGGUAGUACAUUACGUAUUAUUAUAAAAUAGACGGAAAAUUUUAUUUUUUAAGUUGUUAAAUUUUAGCAUAAAUAUCUCACUAUUUAUAUAAUGACACAUAGUAUAUCAUUCCGUGUUCCAAUUACCUUGAAAAAAUAAGUGACCAAAUAUUACUCCCAAGCGCUUCUCAUUCACGACUUGAGAGGGUUGGUUGGGCAGUAGGAAAAUAAAAGGGAGUAGAAUUUUCUUCCCUCCUAUUAUCAUCCCCUUCCAAGAAUUUUCUUCCCUCCUAUUACCAUCCCCUUCCACCCCUUUCUCUCACAUUUUUCUUUUUAUCUUAUUCUCUAUAUAAAACUUUAAAACAAGAUGUAAACGUGACGUAAUCGUAACCGUUUAAAUAUGAGGAGAUAAAAAGAGAGAGAAUAAAAUGGGAGAGAAUACUUCUUUUGUGAUUUUUUUCGCAAGUAAGGUAUUUUUUUUUUUUUUUUUGAAAACAGUAAGGUACUUUUCUUGACAUGAGGGAACAUUAGCAUCGUCAUCAUCAACAACAGCAGCAGAAUCAACUACAGCAGAAUCAGUUGCAGAAGACGAAGAAGAAAAUGAUAUGCAGCCCAUGUACAACAGAGUCCCGAUGACAUUAACCAUGAAACAAAUCAACUCCAUCCCUCUAUCUCUUAGAUUAGAUAGCAGAAAGAGAAUCUUAAGUCUUAACUACAGUUGCACCUGAAACUAGAUCAAAGUUCACCAUAAAAAAAAAAAAUUGAAAUUGUAGUCCUUAUUGGGUUUGUGCACAAAGUUACAAACGCUCCCAGGAGGACAAAAAUUAAAAAUUUGGAGAGACAAGGCUUAUUCACUUUCACAUACAUAAAAAAUACUACUACUUUAAAAUUUUCUUUUAAAUAUAUGCUUUAAUUAAAAUAAAUAUUUGUCCAAAGCAUUUUCUAUAAGGCAUAUUUCAAUAAAAUAAACACACAAACGACGACUGAGAAAAAUCAUCAGAGAAUAGACCCAAAAAAAAAACAUAAAAAAUGUAAAGGAUGAAAGGAGGAGGAUCUUUCCCCUCCUAUUCCCAUCCCCUUUCCUUCUUUCUUCUCACAUAUUGUUUUUUGUCAUAUUAUUUUUUGGGGUAAAUUACAUAGUAACCCCUCAGAUUUGAGAUCUAUUACAAUCCUAUACAAUAUUUUUAAAACAUUUCACUUUCAUACCUCAUGUACUAUUUUAUUUCAAAAUAAUACACCCGUUACAUUUUCCAUCCAUUGAUCCGUUAAGUACUGACGUGGUUGCCAAAUGUAUGCCACGUGACAAAAAAAAUAAUUUUUUAAUUUUUUUAAAAAAAAAACCUUAAUCUUCUAAAUUAAAAAAACCAAAAAAAAUAAAAAUAAAAACAAAAGUUGAACCCCGCAACCCCCCACCCAACCUGCAACCCAGAAGAAGAAGAGGAGAGAGAAAAAAAACAUCCUCCACCUCUUCCUCCGCACCCACUACCUGCAAACCAGAAAAAAAAAAGAAAAAAAAAACCCAUCUCCCUUUCCCUGCAACUCAGAUCCUGUCUUCCCCAAUGAGUGUGGAUUUAAGACGGAGGGUGGGUGUGCUGGGUUUUUUUUUUCCUCCUUCUUUCUGGGUUGUAGGUGGGGAGCGGAAGAUAGGAAGAUGGGUGCAGAGGAAGAGGUGGAGGAUGGGUGUGCACCAUGGAUGGAAGAUGAUUUGGAGGGGGGCGUUGUUGAGAUCUGAACUUCGCCACUGGGGGGGGAGGUGGGAGAGGGGGGGUUUUAUGGGAUAUGGGUUCGCCCGAGGGGGUGUGGAUGGGCUUCAUGCAGGGGAGUGCGGGGGGGGGGGGGGGAAGGGAUCUGGGUUGGGCUCCUCUUCAUUGCCACGCUCUCUGUUAUCCUCACCACAAAUCCUUCAACUUUGCACCACAACUCUGUAUGUAUUGCCCCCUCUUCCCUAAAUCCAUUUUCUCCCAAUUAUUUAUUUAAUUAAUCGAUGUUUAGAUUGAAAUUUCGAGGCUUUAGCAAAACCCAGAUGUUAAUUUCACUGAUUAAUCACAACCCACAUUUUAAUUUUCACAUCUGAACAAAUCCCAGAUUGGAAACAAAAAGAAAACCCAUGUGAAAAUCUUGGAGUAAAACAAAACCCAGAUGUUAAUUUUUCAAUUAGAUAGGAUUGAGGUUUUAAUCUUGAUGUUUAAUUGAUUGCGGGCACUUCCAACAACUGGGAUAUGGGUUUCGCCGACGGGAUCGGGGUUCCAAGUUUUAUGGUUGUUCUCCUUCUUCUUCUUCUUCCAGGUUCUUCUUCUCCUUCUUCUUCUUCUUUCAAGGUUCAGGUACGGGGUGAUAGGAUUUGGAUCUUCUAACCUUUAUUUAUUUAUUAUUUAUUUAGAAGAUUAAGGUUUUUUUUUUAAAUUAAAAAAAAAUUGUUUUUUUGCCACGUGGCACAAAUAUAGCAGCCACGUUAGCACUUAAUGGAUCAAUGGAUGGAAAAUGUAACGGAUGUAUUAUUUUGAAAUAACAUAGUACAUAAGGUAUAAAAGUGAAAUGUUUUAAAAAUGUUGUAUGGGGUUGUAAUAGACCUCAAACAUGAGGGGCUACUAUGUAAUUUACCCUAUUUUUUUGUCUUAUUGUCUUUAUAAAAAAAUCAAUAUAAGAUGUUGAUGUGGCUAAACCGUAACCGUUCAAAUAGAAGGGGAGGGAAGAUGAGAGAGAUUAGGAUGGGAGAGAAUCCUCCUCCAUUGCUCAACACUUUCGUUGUAGAAGCCAUGCACGUUCAGACGGAAUAAAAGGUUAUAAUAUAAGAAACUUUAACGAAAAAUUUUCGGUACUGUUCACUUUAACGAAAAAUCAUAUUUUUACAUUAAAAAAUUAAUUCUAAUACUAUUUACUUUACCUUUUAUAAUAUAUAAAAUGGAGGAUCUCUGUCAGGACAGUAAAUGAUGCACAUGGAAUGGGGGCUCCUUUACUCGUUUUACGUACAAAAUUGCGAAUAUUUUAAGUUAGUUGAUGACAAUUUCUUUCAAUAAAGCCGCCCGCCUUUCAAGUGCUUUGCCUUUACAUACAAAAUUGCAAAUUUUUUCAGUCAGUUAAUGAACAAUGUCCUUUGAGAAAUUUCCGAACACUUUUUCUAAUUCCAAGAAAAAAUAAAAAACAAAGAAUUUUAGACUACAAAAUCAUGGAGAGAUGUCGAUUGUGAAUCCUCAUAUUUAGGAUUAUGGCUUGCCUUCUAUUGCGCUCAAUGCCAUUAAUUUGGAUUGUAUUGAUGAUGAUUGUACUAGAGGGUUUUAUUUUUAACAAAUAUCUUUUCUUUUGUUUUUAAUUCAUGGAGAGCUAAAAAUAUAGUUUUUCACUAUUAGAGUUGCCUAAGAUUUGAAAUUAUCUUUUCGUCCACAUGUGAUAAAUCAACUUAUUGAGUUAUUAAUAGAUAACUAUUAAGGGUCCAAGAUUAAUUUAGUUUAAUUUUACCAUUACACAAUCAUUACCACUAGCAUGCAAUUUAAUCUCAUCAAGGACUAACCUACAUAAACAAUUCAACAUAGCAUCUAGGUGGUGCACUUAUUAGUGCAUCAAUAGUUUAGAAUGUCAUGGUGACAUAAGCAAGAUAAAACCAAUCUGAAGCCUAUAAAUUUUUAAAUCAACAAGUGCACAACUUACAAAUAGAAGAAUUCGGCUAAAACAUUAUGAAUUGUCAAUUUAUUUAUUAUAGUUGAUUAACUAAAUGAUCUUAGUCUUAAUUGAUUUUUUUUUAAUAAACGAUAUUUUCAGAGUUAUUUAUAGUUGAAUGGCUUCAACUAUAAAUAAGAAGUUUUGUAAAUCAAACAUGAAGCAUCCUCCUCAACCUUGAGGAGCCAAGCAUUAUUCUACUUUGACAUGGCCAAAUAAAAGAAAAGAAAUUUACACACAAAAAAGUCACUACAACAGUUCUAGUAAGUCAAUCACACACUAUUAAUUAGGUCAUAAACCUCAUGGUAAUUAUGUCCAUGGAAAAAAAAAUCGAUAAUAUCGACGAAAUAUCGUUUUUUUGGAGAUCCAAUAUUUUUUUAACUAUUCAAAUGAUUUUCGUCAAAAUAUUUAGAUAUUAUCAAUAUAUACUAAAAAAUACUUAAAUAUGUUGAGAAAACUCAACACAUACUUCACUUGAUCAUAGCCCAAAGGGCAAACAAGAUAUGGCUAAAUGAGCAGGGGAAUGUGGGUUUUAUAGGACAAAUUGCGAGGGCAGUGAGCAAGCAUAGGCGAUGUGGGACUCUCCCAAUAGGAGAAAUCAGAAUUUCGGCCGAAAAUUUACACCCACUUUAAACGGCCAUAACUUUGUCAAAACUCAACGAAAUCAAGCAAGACAAAAAUGAAAGUUGUAGCCCUCGAAGAGACGAAGAGAAUGGUACCUCACACGAUGUCUGAAUCGUCGUGGUUUGGCCGGAACAUGCCUCGAAAGUCACUGAGAUCGCCAAAAACUGGGUAAGAUUCAAAUGGGUAUAACUUUUUUAAUACUCAACGAAAUUGAGUGAAUCAAAAAGAAAAGUUGUACUACUCGACGAGAAGAAGAGAUUGAUACCUUGCACGCCGGCCAACUCGCCGUGGUUUGGCCGGAAAUUGCCUCGAAAGCCACUGAGGUCACCGGAAAUUGGGUAAGAUUCAAAUGAGUAUAACUUUUUCAAUACGCAACGAAAUUGAGUGAAACAAAAAGGAAAGUUGUAGCCCUCGAAGAGACGAAGAGAAUGGUACCUCACACAACGUCGGAAUAAUUGUGGUUUGGCCGGAAAUUGCCUCGAAAGCCACUGAGGUCGCCGGAAACUGGGUAAGAUUCAAAUGAGUAUAAUUUUUUCAAUACUCAACGAAAUUGAGUGAAACAAAAAGGAAAGUUGUACUACUCGACGAGACGAAGAGAUUGAUACCUUGCACGCCGGCCAAAAUUCAAUUGACACACUCCUGGCUUCCAAAAUUCAAUUCUUUUACUUUAUAUAAACAUGAAAAAACAUAAUCGGCAUCCAAAUUAAAGUUUAGUCUUAUUCUUAUGUGUACGAAAUUUAAAGUGUCAAAUUCGGCAUAUUAUUCUUCAUCAUUUUAUUUACUUCCCUUUUUUUUUUUAAUAUCCUAAAUAAAACCUCCAAAUAUUGUACUAAUUAAUUAUAUAUAAAUGAUUAUGGUGUGUUUAAACUUCUUUCAUUAAUUACUACAUAUUUUCUACACUCACAAUGUUUGCCAGCUCGCUAUAUAAUCAACUUAAAUCAGUUAAAUCCAUCAUGCAAUGCAUUUCCUUCCAAUUUUUUGUGAUAAACUAAUAGAUAAUUGACUAAAUAAACAUCCUACAAAGUUUCAUUAAAAAUUUCCAAGUUUUUCUUACAAUUUCCGUGGUUUCCAUGAAAUUUUUAUCGAUAUCGAUAUUAUCCCAAUAUUUCCAUCGAUAUUUCCGUGUUUUCGGACUACCGAUAUUUCCGAUAUUACCGAUAUUUUCUUCCUUGAUUAUGUCAUAGACUUGUGCACAACUAACAGCUUCAUAAGCCAUUGACUAUAAUUAAAACCCUUUUUUUUUCUUUUCUUUUUCUUUUUUUUUUCCUAAAAAAUAAAGGUUUAGAUUUUGGAGAGAUUUUUUUCGGUUAAAACCUGGAAGAGUUUACUUGAAAGUGAGAGGUCUUAAGUUUAAUUAUUACCAAAGGCGAAUUUGAACCACAUUAUUGCUAACGCAUUGUGAGGCUUAGCACACUCCCUCAUCUUAGUGUAAAUAAUCCCAAUUAUUAAAAAAAAUGGGGAUAGUGGCUAAUCACUCGAUCAUAGGCUUGAUUCCCGGUGACAGGAGGCGCAGCUACACCUCCUUGCGUCUCUGCAGCCUCAUCGGUGCUUCUUGGCAAGCCAAAAACAUAAUAAUUUUCAAAAUACAACGUGUCAAGCAAGCCACUCAAUGGUUCAAAUAUUAUCUAUGCCAAGUCAAAGACAAAAUAAAAAAUCACAAAGUAUCAAACAAGCUCCUCAAUGGUUCAAACAAUGCCCAUAAAACAUGCCAAGCUAAGAAUGAGGCAUGAUAAAUUACAACAUACCAUGCAAACCAUUGAAGCCGAAAAAUCAACCCAACCAAAUAGUUGUGCCAUCCUAUCCUAUCCUAUCCAAGCCAAUCACCAAGUACAAGAACACUCCUAACGUACCACAACAACUAUCACUGUUAUUAACUAUCAUUUUCCAAUUCAGAUGACGAUUAAAAUAAGAGCUACAAAUACAAGUUCGUGAUGCGGUAAAUGUUAAGUCAAUGCACAUGCGGUAAAUGUUAAGUCAAUGCACAUGCUUAAAUGUUAAUUUUCCAACUACCAAAAUCAUGAACGAAAGUAGAAAAUGGGGCAUAUGGGAUGGGACCUCCCUUUAAUUUCGCGCUUUUCGUACAUGUGAAUUUUCUCAGUUAGUUAGUCACCAAUUUCUUUCAAUAAAUUUCGAAGUGCUUUCAAUUGAAUACCUUUCUAUAAUUUUUGGAAAAAAAAGUAGUAAAUUUCACAUUACAAAAUCAGGAAGGAAUAAGAAUAUAGUCGUUCAUGACUAAAGAUUGCCUAAAAUUUGGAAUCUGUCUUUUCGAAACUAUUGAGAGGUCAUAAGUGAGAGCAUAACUUACCUAAAAGUGAGCGCAUAACUAGUGGUGGAUUGCCCUUAUGAUUAGUGCAUUUCUCUUCAACUCACUGUAUCUCGGGUUCAAACCCUCAUGCCUCCAUUAAUGUAGAUAGUGUAGAAUAUCGCUUGUAAUUAAACAAAAUAAGCCCUUUCUCAUUCAAUUGACUUGUUUUACAUACAAAGUUUGGAACAUUUCCAGUUAGUGACCAGUUUUUUUUUAAGAAAUUUCCAAGCACUUUCGGUUGAGUACCUUUUUAUAAUUCCUAAAAAAAUAAAAAUAAGUCAAUUUCACACUACAAAACCAUGGAGGGCUAAGAAUAUAGUCCUUCACUAUUGGAGAUUGCCUAAGAUUUGGAAUCUGUCUUUCCGAUGCUAUUGGGAGGUCAUAAGAUAGCCUAGAACUUGGCCUGAAAGUAAACGAGAAAAACUUAUAUGGAGGUGGCUAAUCAUGUAAUCCGUACAAGAGUAACUUUCCAUGCUAAUGUGUCGUUUCUGUGACACCAGUAUUUUGAAAAUGUAUAUUUACUAUAAUUAUUAAAAAAGAUUUUUUGCGUUUCAGACCCUAAAGUAGAAAAAGGGGCACAUGGAUGGGGCCUCCUUUUAUGCAUUUGAAUUUUCGUAGUUAGUUAGUGGCCAAUUUCUUUCAAGAAAUUUUCAAUCAAUUUUGAUUGAGUACAUUUCUAUAAUUUCUCAAAAAAAAAAAAAAAAAUUCACACAACAAAAUCAUUAAGGGCUAAGAAUAUAGUUGUUCACCAAUGCAAAUAGCUUAAGAUUUUGGAAUUGUCUUUAUGAGCAUAGGCGGCAAAUCAACUUAUUGAAUUAUUAAUGGGUAAUCAUUAAGAGUCUUAGGGCGCGUUUGUUGCGCCGGACUAUCUCAGACUGGACUAGCUUCAAAGACUAAGCUGGACUGGCUUAGACUAGACUAAGCUGAACUAAUUUAGUGAAGCGGUUGGUGCAAUGUUGGACUAAGGGCUGGUUUGGUAUUGCUGUGCUUUGAAAAAAAGCUGCUGUGAGAAUAAGCGGCUGUGCUGUGAGAAUAAGCGGCUGUGAAAUAAAGCAGCAGAGCGUUGGGUAAACUUUUUUGUAAAAGUGCUUUUGGAAAAGAAAAAAAGCAGUCUGAUAGUGGGUCUUUUCAUUAAAGGAGCACUGUAGCUCCAUGUGCUUUGAAAAAAAACCAGUUUUCCAAAGCUGCAAAUAGCAGCUUCAGCUUUUUCCUUUGAUUUCAGCUUAUUCUCACAGCAGCUUCCAAAAUAAGCCUUUCUUUUUCAGUUUACCAAACACCUAAAACCCUCACAGCUUUUUUUCAUAGGUGCUUUUUUUUUAAGCACCUCACUCCCAAACUAGGUCUAAGAAGCUGGAUAAUAACAAAUUCUAAUAUUAUAUUAUUUAAUAUAUAAAUUAUUAAUAUUUUAUUAUGAUCUAGGUGACCAGAGAUGACGAGGAGUCUAUUGGGAGUGGUUGUUGAGCAUGACGAGGAUGUGAGAGGAUAGUCUUAGCUAGUCCCAUGGUUAUUGGGGGGUCUCGCUAAGACCUCUUAGUGAAGGGUUUUGUCCAUGCUAGUCCCCUUUAGUCUCAUUAAUGUUAGUCCUAGCAUGGAACAAACACAGUAUUGGACUAACAGCUAGUCCAGUCCAGUCCAGUCCCACUUAGCGAGGGCAAACAAACGCGCCCUUAGAUGUAUAUAGUUUGAUUUUAUGGUAAGGUAAUACACAAUCAUUACCAGUACCAAUCUCACCACCAUAUCAUGGUGAAAUCAAACCAAAUAGGUCUUAAUAGUUAUUCACUAAUAAUCCAACAAGUUGGUUUGCCGCAUCUAUUACCAAAGCGAUUCUAAAGGUCAUAAGAGAGUCCAGAACUCUGUCUAAAAUUAUGUGCUUGGCCUAAGUAAAAGAGUCAUGAUCCACCAUCUCUCUAUCUAUUUAGGCACUAAACUAAGCAAAAGACAGAGGUAGAAAUUUGGAAGCAAGCAAGGGAGGAGAGAGUAGUUGGCCGCAGAGACGAUCAGUUUUAAGUCCAGCAAUUGUACUAGUUGACUUGCACAAAAUUACACAAGUGCUAAAAUGCUCUUGAAUAAAAAAAAAAGGAGAAAUGAAAUUACCCAACUCACAAAUCACCCCUCAAAUUUCUUUUUUCCAUCCACUGAUUGCAGCUUUGAUCAACAGACCAUCAGACCAUCUCUCUCUAUAGGCACUAAACUAAGCAAAGAGAGAGGUAUAAAUUGGGAAGCAAGGGAGGGGAGAGUAGUUGCCUGAGACUAUCAGAUUUUAGUUCUGCAAUUGUAUUAUUUGUCUUGACUACUUGCACAAAGUUAAUGAAAAUUUUAUGGUGCACCGAGUACCAAGCCUCCAAGAAAAUAUCCAAAGAGAUGAUGAAAAAAAAUAAAGAAAAUGAAUAAGAAAGACAAAUUAAGGGCACAUCAUCAUCAUCAUUUCGUACCAAUUAAUCAAAUAAAUAAACAAGCACCAAAUCCCGCCCGAAGCCAUGGAUUUUAAAACUUUGUUAAAUGUGUAGGACAUGUUAAAAUUUAUUUACAUCCAUAUCAAAAUCUAUUUACAUCUUUAUGUUCAAUAAAAAACAAAUGAUACAUAUCAUAGAGUAUAUUAAGUUGUUUGUAUAAUAAUACAAAUAAUGUUGUAAACAUUCCUAGUUUAAGUAUGAUUGUGUAAAUCCUAGAUAAGAUUUGAUUCUAGUUAUCCUUUCCUAUUACAACUUGUAUUACUUGGAGAAGAAGGAAUAUCUUCUCUCCCUUUACUACUAUAAAUAAAGGCACAAUGUAGGAGGGAUAACAACACACACAUUCCCCUACAAUUCUACAAACACACAUCUCUCUCCUCUCUCUCUCUGCCGCCGGCCCUAGUCCCUCUGUCAGAUAAAAUAGACCACAACACGUUAUCAGCACGCUCCUACCGCUGCUCUUAGGAAUCUGACGUUGGAAAUUUUUUCUGCAUCAAACCAGUUCAUCCAUAUCAUCACGCAAUCAGGUUCUUUCCAAACAACGGUUUUUAACUCGAUAUUUUGCAAGCCCUGAUAGCAUGAACAUUCACCAUGAUGCAUGACCCAACUUUACGUUUAACGUAUUUUAGAUUCUACAUAAAUUGUGUAUGCUUCAUCAUCAAAAUUGCUUCAAUUAUGUGAAUUUGAUAUUUGUCAUGAAUUGAAUCCUACAUAUGUACAUGCAUUGAAACUAUUAUUUGCAUUCGCCUGGAGCGGCCCGCAUAAAAAAAAAAAAAAAAAAAAAAAAGUUUCUAGGCUCGCCUAGAGCGGCCCGCAUAAAAAAAAUAAAAAAAAAUGUUUCUGGGCUCGCCUGGAACGGCCCGCAUAAAAAAAAUAAAAAAUAAAAAAUUUUAGGGCUGCACACAGCAGCCCAUUCCCCUCUUCUCACCCCGUGGGCCUGUAAUCCCACCCGAGGGUUCUUGGCUUAUACUUUUAGGCCCCGAGAUUUUAUUAUUUAAUAUUUUUUUUAAAUAUGGGUUUUUAUAUUUUCACCCACACUUUAAUUUGGCCCCGAAGACCAAAAAUAAAUUACUUCACUUAUCAUUAUACAAUAUUUCUGCAUAUAUUCUUUGCAUAUUUGUUUGCAUAUAUAUUUGUGUUUACCUGCAGGAAUAUAUGAACCUGAAGUUCAUAAUUAUUUUGAAACCCGAAGUUUCUUAUACACAUGCCUUGUUAGAAAACCCGAAGUUUUCACUUAAAUAUAUCACCCAUGAAAACCCGAAGUUUUUCAUGCAAAAUUAAACCAAUACAUGUCUAUUAGAACCUGUAUGUUCUACUCCUAUGUGAAUGAAUUGAUUUUUCUCCAUUACACUAACCACAUCUUGUCCAUCUAUUUUGUGAUAGGAACAUGUCGAUGUCGAACUUGAACAAACUCGACUUCACCGCUUUGGAGGUUUCUGGAAGGAACUACCUUAAGUGGGUUCAAGAUGUGAAGCUCCACCUCACUGCAAAGAACUUGCGUCCUGCUAUUGAAGAAGCAACAGAUAAACCUGUUGGCGAGGCUGAAAAAGCUACUGCUAUGAUCUUCAUCCGAAGACAUAUCCAUGACGCUCUACAAACUGAGUACCUUGCUGAGGAGGAUCCACGUGCAUUAUGGGUCGCUUUGGCUGAUCGUUUCGAUCACCAAAAGGACAUAUUCUUGCCUGAAGCAAGACACGACUGGCAGCACUUGCGCUUCCAAGACUUUAAGUCUGUGAAUGAAUAUAAUUCUGAAGUUUGUCGAAUCCGAUCACUUCUCAAGUUUUGCAAUGAAACUUUGACUGAAGAGGAUCUCCUGGAGAAGACCUACUCGACCUUCUCUGCUUCUAAUAUUGUCCUGCAGCAACAAUAUAGAGCUCAGAAGUUCACUAAGUUCUCGGAUUUGAUCUCUGUUUUACUUCUUGCUGAAAAGCAGAACCAGCUGUUGAUGAAGAAUCAUCAAGCUCGACCUACUGGGGCUACUGCUGUGCCUGAAGCACAUUAUAGCACUAAUCAGCACCCAAAACGCCAAAAGAGGCGUGGUAAGGGCGGCCAGAAGCCAUCCCACCAAGGUCAACAGAGCCAAGGCCCAUCCAAGGGAGGAAACAAAGCCCAGAAGCGCCCAAACCUCGCUCCCAAGGCCCCGAACUUCAAGAAUAAGGGCAAAGCACCUGCCACAAUGAAUGACGAUAUGUGCUAUCGUUGUGGUUCCAAGGACAUUGGUCCCGUAUUUGCCGUGCUCCCAAGAAGGUUGUGGAUGCAUAUCAUUCUCGUCGUACGAAGUUUGAAUCAAACUUCCUGCAAGUGGACGAACCGGAGACUACAAAGAUGGAGGUUUCUGAUUUUCAGGAGGAUACCACUCCUAUGGAAGAUUAGAAUCUUAGACAUAGACUUAUUUUUCAGUUAAAAUAAGACAAUUGGGGCCGAAUUCCACCUUGUGGCCGAACCCCCACCUUGUUUUUUGGUUGAUUUUGAACAAUUUUCCUUUAUGUUUUGGAUUAUUAGUUGGCGAUUUAUUUUGGAUAUUAAGUUUUUAAUCCUUGAAUAAAUGAAAUUAUUUUGAAUUGAUACUUGUUUUUAUAAACUUUUAUACAUGUGACCGAUUCAAAUUAAUUUUUCAUUCUAGGUAUGACUAGUGGGAAAGUUAGUUGUCUGGCAGAUAGUGCAACCACGCAUACUGUUUUGCGUGAACGCAUCUAUUUCACUAACUUCGUACCUAAGAAUGCACCUCUGACAACCCUCUCAGGCCCAUCCAACCUGAUCGAAGGAUACGGUAAGGCACGUAUAAUGUUGUCCAAUGGUACAAUCUUGACCAUUGCUGAGGCACUCUAUUCUCCACGUUCCGGAAGAACGUUACUAAGUUUCAAGGACAUUAGAGAUAACAAUUACCACGCUGAAACCCACGUAGAAAACGGAGUUGAAUUUCUGUGCGUAACUUCCUACGAAUAUGGCCAGAAGCGUAUUCUAGAGAAGAUGGAGCGUAACCCGAGUGGUCUGUAUACUACGACCAUACGCCCCAUAGAAUGCCACUAUGUGGCCGGCCCUACCACAGGGACCGCGCACGAAAUUACACUUUGGCAUGAUCGUUUGGGACAUCCUGGACGAAUAGCGAUGCGCCGUAUCCUCAAAACUUCACACGGGCAUCCACUAACCCGAAGCUUAGGUUCGAUCCAUGAAAUUGCAUGUCAAACAUGUUCUAUGGGAAAGCUUAUUACUAAGCCUUCUUAUGACAAGAUUCGUUCGAAUCCUCCCAUUUUUCUACAACGGAUUCAGGGGGACAUUUGUGGACCGAUUCAACCUCCCUACGGACCAUUUAGAUAUUUUAUGGUUUUGGUUGACGCUUCUACACGUUGGUCACACGUGUGCUUGUUGUCCACAAGGAACGCUGCAUUCUCCAAACUGUUGGCUCAGGUUAUCAAGCUCAGGGCUCACCACCCUGAUUAUCCGAUCAAAUCUAUUCGAUUGGAUAAUGCUGGAGAAUUCACAUCUAAAAAUUUUGAUGACUAUUGCAUGUCGGUUGGGGUUGAAGUUGAACAUCCUGUACCCCAUGUUCACACGCAGAACGGCCUGGCAGAGGCUUUCAUUAAGCGUUUACAAAUGAUUGCUCGAUCGUUGGUCAUACGUACCAAGCUCCCGAUCGCUGCUUGGGGCCAUGCAAUAUUGCACGCAGCAAAGUUGGUCCGCCUGAGGCCUGUUGCGACACAACCAUUUAGUGCCCUUCAGUUGGUCACCGGAUGCGAACCCGACAUAUCGCAUCUGCGUGUUUUUGGUUGUGCGGUCUAUGUGCCGAUCUCGCCGCCCUUACGUACAAAAAUGGGGCCUCAGCGAAGGAUGGGAAUCUAUGUCGGAUAUGAUUCUCCUUCGAUUAUUUGUUACUUAGAACCUUUGACAGGCGAUCUGUUUACCGCUCGUUUCGCGGAUUGUCACUUCUAUGAGACAGUCUUCCCGUUGUUAGGGGGAGAUAAGAGCGUCAACGUUCCUAAUGAACGACGCGAAUUAUCGUGGACGACUCCCACUUUGUCUCAUUUAGAUCCCCGCACCGCUCAGUCUGAAGCUGAAGUGCAGCGCAUAUUAGAUCUCCAGAGCAUAACUCAGAGCAUGCCAGAUGCUUUCACCGAUCUAGCGCGCGUGACAAGAUCACAUAUUCCAGCUGCGAAUACGCCUGCAAAGAUGGAUGUACCAAAUGUACGACGGACUACCCUCCUGGAAGCCCGGGACGCCAAUUCUGGUGAUCCACGUACAUUAGCGGCUAGCCAAUCAUCUGCCCCUACACAAAAGCGUGGCAGACCCCUUGGUUCAAGGGAUUCACACCCCCGGAAGAGGAAAACCACGGCACAAGGUCCUGAAGAGCCUACCGUGAAUCCGACUAUCGCUUACUCAUUUUACCCAACUCAUGAGGAAAUUCUAGAUUAUGGAAGCGUCCUUGAAGAGACGAAUCCUCCUCCCGAGAAUCGUGAGAUUUCGGUCUAUUAUGCUAGCUUAGAUGAUGUGUGGCGUAGAAAUGAGAUGAUUGUCGACGAUGCAUUAGCAUUUGCAGUAGCUACUGAGAUCAUGUUGAGCGAUGACAUUGAACCGCGUUCCGUUGAUGAAUGUCGACGUAGAGCUGAUUGGUCAAACUGGAAACAAGCAAUCCAAGUCGAACUUGAUUCACUUGCAAAACGUAAGGUGUUUGGACCUGUAGUUCCUACUCCUCCACAUGUGAAGCCCGUUGGCUACAAGUGGGUUUUUGUUCGGAAGCGUAAUGAGAAGAACGAAAUUGUGCGUUACAAAGCUCGUCUUGUAGCACAAGGUUUCUCACAACGCCCCGGGAUUGACUAUGACGAAACUUACUCACCCGUUAUGGAUGUGAUUACUUUUCGAUACCUUAUCAGUUUGGUAGUUUCCGAAAAACUGGAUAUGCAGCUGAUGGACGUAGUAACCGCGUAUCUCUAUGGGGAUCUUGAUACGGAAAUUUAUAUGAAAGUUCCCGAAGGACUUACAUUGACUGGUUCAAAUAUUUCCAAACCCCGGAACACGCUCUUAAUUCGGCUGAGGCGUUCACUAUACGGUUUGAAACAAUCCGGAAGAAUAUGGUAUAACCGUUUAAGUGAGUAUUUGACUAGUCAGGGAUAUGUGAAUAACAAACUAUGCCCUUGUGUGUUCAUUAAGAAGUCACAUUCCGGAUUUGCGAUUGUUGCAGUAUAUGUCGAUGACAUGAAUCUCAUCGGAACUCCUGAAGAGCUCGCGAGAACUGCUUCGCACCUGAAGUCGGAAUUUGAGAUGAAAGAUCUAGGUAAGACUCGAUACUGUCUCGGUCUCGAGAUAGAGCAUUGUUCGGAUGGAAUCCUAGUACAUCAAUCGAACUACACCUUUUAAUGAGGAUAAAGCGAAGCCUUCGAGUACUCCUAUGGUCGUUCGUACGCUAGAUGCAAAGCGAGAUCCCUUCCGUCCGAAGGAGGAUGAUGAAGAGAUUUUGGAGCCUGAAGUUCCUUAUCUAAGAUGCACUAGACCCGACAUCUCCUUCGCUGUUAAUCUUUUGGCAAGAUACAGCAAUGCACCAACACGCAGACAUUGGACUGGCGUGAAAGACAUCUUCCGUUACCUUAAGGGUACUACGGAUUUGGGCUUAUUCUAUCCCUACGAAUCCUCGAGUGAUGCCGCACCCUAUGCUCAUCAGGUUGAUUCUCGCCUUGUUGGUUAUGCCGACGCUGGAUACUUAUCUGAUCCGCACAAGGCGCGUUCUCAAACGGGUUAUGUCUUUACCGUUGGAGGCACCGCAAUAUCUUGGAGGUCAACUAAACAGACCUUAGUUGCCACUUCGUCUAACCAUGCUGAAAUUCUCGCCUUACAUGAAGCAACUCGGGAAUGUUUUUGGUUGAGAGCAGUAGUGGGCCAUAUUCGAAGCUCCUGUGAUCUUCAUCCCGCCGUUAAUGCCCCGACGACGAUUUUUGAAGACAACGCAGCUUGCAUCGAACAGCUCAAGAAGGGUUACAUCAAAGGAGACAACACCAAGCAUAUUGCGCCGAAGUUCUUCUUUACACAUUAACAACAAGAGCAUUAGAAGAUUGAAGUCACGCAAAUCCGAUCACAAGACAAUCUGGCCGACCUCUUCACCAAAUCACUACCGAAGGCGACGUUUCAGAAGCUUGUUCAUGGAAUUGGUAUGCGUAAACUUUCUGAGUUGUAACUUUGCUAUUUCUCUUUGGAAUUAUGUCAAACUCAGGGGGAGUAUCUUCUAGAUACUUGCUUGAUCUUAAUGUACUCUUUUUCCCUACGAUUAGGAGCAUUUUUCCCACUGGGUUUUUGCUACCUAACUAGGUUUUAACGAGGCACCCACCUUGGGCUGGUCAUAUCCCUGAUGACGUCCUGUAGACGUUUCUUUUGACUUUGCAUUUCUCACGCAUUUUUCCUUAGACUAUGGAUUUUGUCCCUACUUGGGUUUUUGCCAUAGCCUUAGGGUUUUUUUUAGUGAGACUUACUACUUAUAUGCAAGUUCCUACCUUAUUGAGAAAUAAGCGUUGUUCCUUGGAAUCAGUGCUGACGAGUCGACUUCCUCAACUUCUGCAUGAUGCUGAAUCUACCUUGAGUAUUUACCCACUCAAGGGGGAGUGUUGUAAACAUUCCUAGUUUAAGUAUGAUUGUGUAAAUCCUAGAUAAGAUUUGAUUCUAGUUAUCCUUUCCUAUUACAACUUGUAUUACUUGGAGAAGAAGGAAUAUCUUCUCUCCCUUUACUACUAUAAAUAAAGGCACAAUGUAGGAGGGAUAACAACACACACAUUCCCCUACAAUUCUACAAACACACAUCUCUCUCCUCUCUCUCUCUGCCGCCGGCCCUAGUCCCUCUGUCAGAUAAAAUAGACCACAACAAAUAAAAAUAUCUUGUUUUCUACGUCUAACUUUUUCACAUUAUUGUUUCGUACUUCACUCUUCUUUCUUCUUUGCUGCCAAAAAGAUAAUUUUCUUGUACCCAUGCAUAGAAUUUUUAGAUAUGGAUCAAAACUAACAUACAAUAUAGAACUUCUGUUUUUCACUUGCUUAUGGAUUGGGUUACAAUCUAAGCUUGAGAAAAACAUUACAUGAGCUGAAAAAACAUAGUUAAGAAAAGAAAGAAGCUAGGUACUUUUCUUUCAUUACUAGUUGUGUAUUUACUCAGAAUACCAAUUGAAUGAAAAGGUAUUAAAUUCAUGAAUUGUAUGACAAGAAACAACAAAUGCAAAGAUUGUUUUCUUAAGAAAUAUAAAUUUAAAUGAUAAUUUUCUUAGCUUAUAUUAACAGUAGGACGUAAGGAACACUAAAAAUUGAAGUCAGACUGGACUUGCUUUUGGGGCGAGUCCGGCUAGCAUUCUCCCUUGGAAAUGGUCCUCCUCACAAAGCCAUCAUCAGAUCUAUUUCAUCAACCUUCAUUUUUGGUUCAGGUCAAUUUUCAUCAUUGAGAACGAGUUGGUAAAUACUUAAUGGGCCGGGCUCAUUAGAGCCAGUGGCAGUUUUGAAAUCACAGCAAUACGGUACCAUUUUUGUCACAAAAAAUAAGAAGGAAAAAUCGAAUAACCAUCGUUUUUACUUUUUACCCCUCAACUAUUGGCAUCUCUCCGUGUCUCCGUCUGUCUUCUGACUAUCCUCCUAAUCGGAGAAGAAGGGCAACCAAAUCCUCGCUGUACGUCGUUGUUUUCUAAGGCAUCGAAAUCUUGGUCCUCCGAAUUCGUGGUUUUCUGAUUCUUCCCGGUGCUCCUCUCCAUUGAUUCCAUGGUCUGAUCUUCGGCGAAUCGCAAUCCGACGGUGGCGAUGGCGUCGGCGCAGAACCAAUCGGCGAAUGUGGAUCUCUUCGAUGCGUAUUUCCGACGAACCGGUUUGUACCGGCCGGAUUAGUGGCAAUGAAGCCGUCGCUUUCUUCCAGGGCUCCGGUCUCCCCAAACAUGUCCUAGCGCAGGUACUCUCUCUCUAUAUAUAUGUAUGUGCUUGUGUUUAUAUGUAUAAUUGGAUGAGUAUAUUUGUGUAAUUAUAGUGGUUGAUCGGGAUUUGAUGCUGGUGGAAAUGUGUUCCAAAUCAAUUGAUUUUGAAUUUGUAGUCUAAUUGUAGUUGAAGUAGUUAAUGCGAGCUCGGGAUGUCGUAAUUCUCUGAUCUAAGCUGAGAUUUUUAUUUCGUGUUGGUAUAAUUAUAAAUGCGGAAUUGAUGUUAAAAUGGUAGAAAAUAAGUAGAUGAAGGAUUUAUACUACAGAUAGUGAGGUUGAGAGAGUUAUGUUAUUAGGUCAUUAAUUUACUUAUGGUGUGUCCGUUCGACAUUAUGUGGUAAGCAGACUUUAGAUAUGUGUUAUAUGACCCAAGGAUUGACCUAGGAUUGUUUAUUACAUUACAAUAAUGUAGUUGUAAUGUAACUGAACUGAUGCAUCUUUGCAAAACUUGUACUAUCCCUAUCCUGGAGUUGAAGUUGUUUAUUCUUCGUCUUCUGGGUGGUGGAUGAUUGACAAUGUUUAGUUGGUGGCAUUUGGCUUGAAUUCCUGAACAUAGCAGGCUAGAUCAAGCAUAUUUUUCUGCAAGAUGCUUUGCCGCUGGAUUGUCAUUCUUUGCAUGAUGUGUUUGUAUUUUGAUGUAAAAACUUACUUGAUGCCAAAAAUAUUUUGUAGAUAUAAAAUUUUAUUUGUAAUUGGGAUUAUUUUUUUGCUGGCCAAUUGACAUACAAUCAUCCAUAAGUACUAUUAAAUUGAGUCAAAUGUGCAGUCUAGAUUGAUGAAUUACUACCCAUCAUGCCACAUGAUCCUUGAUGGAGUGGUUUUGGGAGGGGCGCCCUCUUCCAGAAGCGCUACCAAACAAUGUUAUGUUUGAUUUAUCCCGGAGUUAAAGUUGUUUAUUUUUCCUCUUCUGGGUGGUGGACGACUGACAAUGUUUAGUUGGUGGCAUUUAGCUUGAAUUCCUGAACGUAACAGGCUAGAUCAAGCAUAUUUUUCUGCAAGAUGCUUUGCUGCUGGAAGUUCAUUCUUUGCAUGAUGCGUUUGAUAUAACCAAUAUUUUUCAACCUGGAAGUAAUUACUCCACUGCUGGCAGUGUAUUCUGGAGACCUGCAUCUGGCAUUCAUCCAUAAAACAAAUUCCAUUUUUUUUUUUUCAAAAACCAUAUGUCUUUCUUUGAUGGAGAAUAGUUUCUUAUUUUUCACUUUGAAAGGCUUUCAACAACAGCAACUGAUGCCUGGUCCUGGUGCUCUGCACAUGGCAGCCCCAGCUGGAGGAAGGCCUCCGAAGCCAGUCGCUCUUUCUCAUGCUUAGGUAAAGCAGCAGGCCAAUCAGCAGAAACCUAGAGUACCAGAAUUGGAGAAACAUCUUGUAAAUCAACUGAGUACAGAGGAGGUUAACCCACUGAACUCAAAGUUCAAAGAAGCAACCAAAGCUGAUAGUACUUAGGACUUUAAUGUUUCCCCAAUUUUUUCAGCUUGAGCAGCAAAGUUAUGUGUGCAUGUUACUUCUUGAUAAGUGUCAAAUCAUAACAAAUAUCCCAAAGACUUGGAAUUCUUGUGAUUGUGGGUUUUACUUUGUUCUUAAUAUCGCUCAUUUCUGUGGAGAAGAUUUUGAUCAAGUUUAAGUAGGGAGGCUGUUCGGGUUUUGAAGUUUAUGAUUAGUUCUUUUAUAUUAGUAAUCUUAAUGAGUGGCACUUCACAUGUUUUUAGUGCAUGGCAUUCAUUAUACUUUCUUUUUUAUUAGCAUUCAUCAUACUUUAUUGCAGUUUUGUUCCAAUCUCAGCUUGCCUUUCCUCACCCUUUGAUGCAAUUCUGUUUGUUCUUUGCAGGUCGAAGAACUGGAGAAAGAAAUAUUGGAUGCUAGAGAGAAAAUUGAAUACUUAUGGGUCAAAAUGCGGGAACUUGUGAGUAUCUCGUGUUUAUUUCUACCCUUUCUUUCUUGUAUGCCAUUGGUUGUGCAUAUUGAACAUUCUACAGUAGUUUUAAUUUUUGUGUUCGAAUAUAAUUGUUCUACGAGUGAUAGAUUUUUGGACAUCCUAAUCAUUUGUUGCUUUUAAAUAAUCUGCAGACUUCUUACUAUUUGAUUUUUGCAGUGGUGUAAGUUGGUAUUGAUUCUUGAAUUGACAAGUACUCUUGGGAGGAACUGCAGAUCAUGCGUUUUAUCAUUGUCCUGUAGCUUUAUAUGUGUGGCUGAGAUUGUGUAGGGAAGGAAAUGUAAGUUGGGUAAUUCCUGCAGGGUACAUAAGUUGUUUGGUGGAUAUGAAGCUUUUGUGAGGGUGCAGUAUGCCAACAAUUUUUUGGGGUUUAUUGGUUCGAGACUUGGGAGCAGUCUCUCCAUAAAUGGGGUUAAGGCUAGCCGACAUUCACCUCUCCCAGACCCUGCGUAAAGCGGGAGCCUUGUGCACUGGGUACGACCUAUUGGUUUGAGAGAAACACGAGGAUUUUUUUAAAACGAUAUUUGGGUGAGGACUAGUUAUGGAAUAAAGAUAGAUUUUGUUCACCACGUUGGCUGAUCUAUUUUUCUUAUUGGUAUAAGGUUUUGUACAAGAGUAGAUGUGUCAAUUGCCUUAAUGCGAUGACAGAAAGGGCCUCUGCUGAUAGACGUGAGGUAUGCUGUAGGAUACUUGAGCAUAUUGCCUGCUUAUAGACAUAUGUCAUCUGCUAAUAGAUUUCUGGUUGCACUUAGAUUCCUUUUACCUUUUCACCUUGUGGUAAAUGAAUCAUAUUGCCUGCUGAUUGUAGUUUUUGUUUUCUGGUUAUGGUUUGCCAACUUGUUCAGGAGAUUUAACUAUUCGAGGUGACUGAUUGAGAAGUUUAAUUGUCAGAUUCACUUUUGUGAAGGAGCUCACUCUUGAUGUGUCAAAUGUCUUGGCACCUCCAAAACAGAAAUCAUCAUCAGUUCAGAAAGAAAAAGCUCCCCCACUUGAGAGUCCAACAACUGCUUCUUCACCUAAAGUUGAUGUUAAGUAAAAAAAGCCUCUAAGUACAGAUGCCAAGGUUGUUGAAAAUGGAGUAGCAUAAGAUAAAAAUGAGGACGAGUCAGCAAAAAGUGCUCUGAACAGUCCAUUUGCCAGCAGUACUGUUGGAAGCCCAUCUAGAGAAUUUCAGAUUCUAACUAUGGAAAGACAACAGACACAGAUGCCUCACCCCGUAAUAAGGAAUCUCAAAGGUAUAGAUCUAGAUCUGUAGUUUUCUACAUAUUUAAGGUCACCCUGAUACGUGCAAAAUUGUUGAUAUUCUAAACUUUCAUGUGUAGUGAUGAUCAUGCGGGUGUUGGGACUAUGUUUUCUGGCGACAAUGGUUCCGAUGAACCAGGGGUUUCAAUGCAUUUAGUACCGCCAAGGUAAACUGAUAUUGUACAUUCAGUUUUUUAUUUUUUAUUUUUGCUCCUAUCAACUUUACACAGGACACACAAAAGAAGUACUUUGAUUCUAUUAGACGGGGGAGGGUGAAGAAGCUAGGACAGAAGGGUAGAGUUCAAGAGAGCAAAAUGCGUUUAGGAACGUGGAAUAUAGGAACCUUAACGGGAAAAUCUAUGGAAGUAGUGGAAGUUAUGGUGAGGAGAAGGAUAAAUAUUAUGUGCCUACAAGAAACUAAGUGGGUUGGUCGUAAGGCAAAUGAUCUAGAAAACUCAGGGUUUAAACUUUGGUAUUCCUGCAUUGCUGCUCUCCAGUGAGAAUGCUUUGAGGCUUGCAAGUAAGUACUAGGAACAAAAUCAAGAUCAACCGGAAGUGGGUGUUUGGUUGCUGCAUAAGCUCUAGACAUGUGAAGACCAGCCUUAGAUCUGGUAAUCAUAGGAUGUGUAUUCCGAGAAAUAGGUGGUGGCCUUGACUGUAGUGGUGAAAGAGAGGAGUCAUUGAGAGAGACAGAACUGGAGGAACUGAGAGAAUGAUCCACGGACUGAGUACAGGAAGAAGGCUCUGUGGAAGAUGGGAUCUGAGUAAUAGGUUGAGGUACAGAAGGACACUGUCGUUCUGAAGAGUUAUUGGCUGGAGGAGAAGGAGAGACAUGUUUGCUGAAAUGAAGAUCCAAGGAUGGUGAAAAAUCAGAAGAUGAAGUUUCUGAAGUGAAACUGUUGAGUGGCAGUGAUUUAAAGGGAUAAGUUGUUUCAUCAAAGACAACAUGUCUUGAUAUGUAGAUCCGAGUGGUGAGAGGAUCAAGGCAUCUAUAGCCUUUAUGUUGAAGACUAUAGCCCAAAAAUACACAACUUUUGCUCUUAGCAUCCAAUUUGCUGGGAGUGUAAGGUUUAAGCCAUGGAUAACAGUGACAACCAAAGACUUUCAGUUUAGAGUAAUCUGGAGGUUGAUUGAAGAGAAGUUCCCAAGGUGACUUUGUAAGACCAGAAAUAGGAAGUCUGUUAAUAAGGUAAAUUGCAGUGGAGAAAGCUUCAACCCAAAAAAUUUGAGGAACAUGAGAAGCAACAAGUAAUGUGCGAGCUGUCUCAACAAGAUGUCUGUGCUUUCUCUCUGCACAGCCAUUUUGUUCAGGCGUAUGAGGACAACUGAACUGAUGUAAUAUACCAUGUGCACGAAGAAAUGAAGCAAGAGAAUGACUAGUAAAUUUACCCCCUGAAUCUGAACGCAGAAUCUUGAUUUUAUUUCCACUGAAGUUUUCUACAUAGGUUUUGAAAGUAACAAACGUAGAAAAUACAUCGGAUUUAGACUUCAAUGGAAAAAACCAACUGUAUUUGCUAAAAUCAUCAACAAACAGUAGGUAAUACUUGAAGCCACUAUUAGAUGUAACAGUAGGUCCCCACAGAUCACAAUGCAGAAGCUGGAGACUCUGAGUUGUUGAUGAAUAAGACACUUCAAAAGGAAGCUUGUGAUUUUUAGCAAGCGCACAAUCUGAGCAGAAAAAAUCAACAGUUUUCUGGCCUUGCAGUGGAAGAUUAUUAGUGGAUAUAACUCUUCUAAAAAUUGAGGAGGAAGGAUGGCCGAGGCGCUUGUGCCAUACAGGGACAGGUGCUUGAAUGCUGAGAAAAGCUGAAGGUGAAGUGGGAGAACUGGUGGAACUGUGAAAAGGAUAGAAACCAUCCUUAACAGGGCCUUGCAAAAGCAUCUUCCCCGAAAUGCGAUCCUUGACAGUGGAUCCAUAAGGGUCAAGUUAAUGAACAGUUAUUAUCCUUAAGAAAUUGAUAAGCAGAUAAGAGAUUAUGUUUUAUGAAAGGAACAUGUAAAACAUUUCUCAGCUUAAAGGAAGUAUAAGGAGUGUGCAGAGAUGAAGAACCAAUAUGAUGAAUAGAUAGUCCUUUACCAUCUCCAAUGUAUACUUUGUCUUCUCCAGUGUAAGGAGUAGGAGAAGAGAUGUUAGCUACAUCAUCAGUGAUGUGAGAAGUAGCUCCAGAGUUAAUCAACCAAGGCUGAGAGGGUUUUGCUGAAUGAUGCACACACAUAGCAGCAAGUUUGGCUGGAGGAAUUCUACCACAGAUAUCCAGAUUCAUACGAUCAAAACAAUCAAGUGCCUCAUGACUGGUAGAUCCACAAAUCUGACAAGGGACUUUAAAAUUGGAAGGACCUUGAUAAUUGUGAAAGCCUUGAUAAUUGCGAUUGCCACGAUUGUUGAUGAAAUUACCCCUAUUAUUGUUAUGAAAGGUGCGAUUGCUGCGAUUUGAGGAGAAAUUACCUCUAAAUGUCUUACCACGAUUUGAGUUAAAUCGAGAAGCAGGAUGAAAUGAUUGAUUUUUAGCAGCAAAGGCAGAUGGAGUAGGAAGCAGGGGAGGCUGAGAUUGCACUGAGAAUGCUUGAAAGGGCUCAGAGGAUGAAAGAACAGCCUUGCGACGGGUCAUAGACAACUCUUUGGUGAGUAAGAGACCAUGGAGUUCAUCAAGGGAUGUAGAAGAGAGCCGCAGCAUGAUGGAGUCAAUAAAGGACUCGAAUUCAUCAGGUAAUCCAUGUAGAGUGGCAGCAAUUAGGUCACGAUCAGACACUGAAGCACCAGCAGCUUCCAAGGAAUCAGCAAUUUCCUUGAUUUGUUGAAGAUACGCAGAAAUGGACUGAGAACCUUUCUGAAUUGAUUGAAGUCUGGACCUUAAUUGAUGAAUGUGAGCUUCCGAAACUCCACCAAAACGCUGUUCAAGCUUUACCCAGAGCUCACGAGAAGAAGAAACUCCAACCGUGAACGGAAUGAUCUCUUCGGACAGGGUAGAAUUAAGCCAAAUCAAAAAUUUUGAUCUUUUUCAUACCAAUCCUCAAAGGCAGGGUUCAUCGAGCGAUCAGGCAAGAAUGGCGAAGGACAAACCUCAGUGCCGUCAAUAAUACUAAGAAGCUUGUAUCGCCUGAAAAUUGGAGCAAACAGUGCUCGCCAUGGCAGAUAGUUGGAACUUUUCAGCUUGAUCGGCACCAUACUGCCCAUGUUGUGAAUCGUCAGAGAGGUAUACGAAUUCAGAGGACUCGGAUUAGAAGAGGAAUUAGGGUUUUGAACCGAAGGAGAGAUGACCGGAGAAGACGAUCCAGUCGGUUGCGACGCAGAUUGAGCAGCCAUAGCUUGCAGAAAACAAGAUUCAAGAGAGAUCGAGAACAAAAAGUGAAGAAUCAGAGAGAAGAAAGCAAGAAUCGAUCAAGACACGAUCGAGAUGACGAGCGGAAGAGAAGGUCGGUGCUGUAAAGCAGAACGGCUCUGAUACCAUAUAGAAACAGAAAACUUCAAUAGUAAGUUUUCCUGAUUGUAUUGAAUGAAUAAUUCAGUUACACAGGUGUCAAUAUAUAUAGCCUUAGCUGCCUUAGGCUAAUUACAAAAGUACCCUCAACUACCUAAACUAAUCACAGUUACUAACAAAAACAAUUACAUUUAGCUUUAACAACUAUUUUUUUUUUUUUUUUUUUUUUUUUUUUGAGAAGAAACAAAACAUUUUAUAGAAGAAAAGAGAAAUACACUGGAGUGGAUAAGAAAUCCACCAAACAAGAAACAAGAAAAAACUCUCACUAGGAUUUGGCUACAGCAACAUUAGCUAGACUCACUUUACUGCUGCUAACAAAUCCCACAGUAAUUGAGAAAUAGAGUAGUUAUUAAAAACAUUUGAGACUGAAGCCCAAAGGGCUGCCCAAUAUUUUACUCUUCCCCAAAGUACUUCUACCCCCACACCUGUAUAAUCCUCAAAAAUUCUUUUGUUACGCUCCAGCCAAAUGUUCCAAAAAACUGCCGAGACCAGACAACCCCACAAAGCUUUAGCUUUCCUCCCACUUCCUAGGGCCUGAAACUUGGUGCUUAGAAGCUCGAAACAACCCUUUGGAAUGACCCAACUAGCUCUAACCUCCUGAAACAGUUUCCACCACAGCUGAAUCGUGUAAGAGCAAUGGAGAAAAAUGUGGUUUACACUCUCCUCCUUUGCUUUGCACAAACUGCACCAUUGUGGGGAUAAGCAAAUAAAAGGGCUUCUCCUUUGAAUUUGGUCACAAGUGUUGAGCUUCCCUUUGGCCGCCAGCCAUACAAGAAUCUUAACCUUCGGAGGAACUUUGGAUUUCCAAAUCUGUGAAUGGGGUUGGAAGUAUUGCAUCAUCCCAUUGUUACUCAAAGAAGGAACAAUAGGAUUUGCAUGUGAACAAUCCUGAUGCUUCCAUUUUCCACCUUCUGUUAUCCAUUCUUGAUUGAGACAAUCGGACCUCUUCCACUUUCUGUAAUAAUCUAGCCGCCUCUUCUAUCUCCGCCUCAUUCAAAUUUCUCCUGAAAUCAAAAUUCCAACUUAAAGAAUUGGUAGAAAGAUCUACAAAGCUUGAAAUGUUCUGAUUGUGCUUCCUCGAUAGCAAGAAUAAUCUAGGAAAUUGCUCUUUCAAUGGUCCUCCAUCUAACCACCCAUCCUCCCAAAACCUCACCCUCUCCCCGUUGCCCACCUCGAACUUACAGCAGUGAAGAGAAACAAUUGGGAACCAAUCGAUAUAUCUUUCCAUGGGCUACGGCUUGAACCCCUUAUCGGAGGAAAUGCGUUCCAUCCGUUAUCCUGUAGCCCAUAUUUGCUUCUUAUCACUUUGUGCCAGAGAGAAUGAGGUUCCUUUGGGAAUCUCCACAACCACUUAGCAAGUAAUGCUUCAUUCCGAUUCCUCAAAUUCCCCACCCCUAAACCUCCUUCCUCUUUACUUUUAAUAACUAUCUCCCAUUUUACCAGGUUGUUUUUUCUUUCCUUCCUCCACACCUUCCCACAAAAAUCCUUUCAUUAGUUUUUCUAGGCGUCCAAUCACCCCGCAAGGCAUUUUGAACAGAGACAUGUAGUAGGUCGGCAAGCUUCCCAAAACAGAUUGAAUCAGAGUUAAUCUACCUCCUCUGGAUAAGAAGGCCUUCUUCCAACUUUGAAGUCUUUUUUCCAUCUUAUCUACCACUGGAUCCCAAAAACUUGAGUGCUCUUGGCCUACCCCAAGAGGGAGUCCCAAAUACUUUAUAGGCCAGCUACCUACCUCACAACCCCAAGAAUCCGCCAACCUAUUUAAUUUCUCACAAUCUGAAUUUAUUCCAGCCAAAUAACACUUAGCUUUGUUGAUUUUCAACCCUGAAACAGAACAGAAUAAUUUGAGCAGCUCUAAUAGAUUGUUCCAACCUCCCUCAUCUUCCGCCAAGAAAAAAAUGGUAUCAUCUGCAAAUUGAAGAUGAGAAAAUCUCCACCUUUUCUUGCCCAAUACAUAACCCUUUGAUGAGAUGAUUUUCUUGAGCCUUCUCCAUUAACCUACUCAAAACAUCGACUACUAAGGUAAAAAGAAAAGGUGACAGUGGAUCACCUUGUCUCAAAACCUCUUGAAGCUUGAAAAUUUUCCCCUAGGCCUCCCGUUAAUCAAAACAGAAAAAUUUGCGGAACUUAAGCAUCCCUGCAUCCAUUUCCUCCAUCUGUUGCCAAAGCUUUUUCUUUGUAAGACUUCGUCCAAAAAUCUCCACUCUACAUGAUCAUACGCUUUUUUUCAAAAUCUAUUUUUGAGCACCAAUCCCUCCUCUUUCUUCUGCCUGACCUCUUCUACCACUUCAUUUGCGAUAAGGACAGCAUCCAAUAUUUGUCGAUCCUUAACAAACGCUCCUUGAUUUUGAGAAAUUGUGCUGCCCAAGACCUCCUUUAAUCUUGAGGCCAAGGUUUUUCGCCAUAAUUUUUAUAUAACCCAGUCACAAGACUUAUGGGCCUGAAAUCCGUCACUUUCAUAGAAUCUGACUUCUUCGGAAUUAGACAAAUAAAAGUUUCAUUUGUCACCGCAUUUAUUAUCCCUGUCUCGUAGAACUCCUCCAUAAUCUUCAUAAUGUUCACCUUCAAGAUAUCCCAACAUUGUUGAAUCAUUUGCAAAGAAUAGCCAUCCGGUCCUGGCGAUUUAUCCUUUCCACAAUCAAAAACUGCUCUUUGAACUUCGGCUUCCUCAAAAGGCCUCUCAAUCCAAUUCGCCUCAAGUUCGCUUAUUGGAGCCCAAUUGAUACCUUCCAAGCCCCAACAUGCCUCUCUUCGUUGCUACUAAACAAGGACUUGAAGAACUUGACUAUAUGAUCUUCUAUCUCGUUCGCAUCCUCUAUCACUCCCCCAACCUCCGAUUCCAACCUUUCUAUAUAGUUUCUCUUCCUUCUCCCGCUUGCAACUCGAUGGAAAAAUUUAGUAUUACCGUCCCCUUCCUUUGCCCAUUCCACUUUACUUCUUUGCCUCCAUUUCACUUCUUCCUUGUAAGCCAAAUCUCCCAUACGGAAGAGUAGUUCUUCCCUCUUUCUUCUAGCAUCAACAUCUAGCCCUUCCAUCCCCUCUCUCCUAUCUAACUCCUCUAAGCUAGCCUCAGCUUCUUUAAAGUCUUUCUCAACUUCCCCGAAACUCUCCUUACUCCAUCUUUGCACCUUUUUUUUUAUGGCUUUUAACUUGAUCAUAAACUUGUAACCCUCCCAUCCCUCCACCUGCUCAGAUUGCCACCAUAGAUUGAACUUGUUCCUGAACUCUGGAUGUUGUAGCCACAUGUUUUCGAAUCUAAAAGGACUUGGCCCCCAUUUCACCUUGUUGGAUUCUAGCUGGAUAGGGCAAUGAUCAGAAAUUACCCUUGCCAAAGCCAUUUGUCUUACCUCUCUGGAAAAAUCUCUUCACAACCUGCAGAGACCAGAAAUCUGUCUAGCCUCCGACACACAGGUUCUUCUCUGAAAUUUGACCAUGUAAAUUGAGCAUUAAGCAAUUCCAAAUCUUUGAGUUCUGUUUCUCGAAUGAAAUCAUUAAAAUUCCUCAUGCUUGUAGUCAGCCUUCCCCCAUUUUGAUUUCUCGUUUACAAAUCUCACCACGUUAAAAUCCCCUCCUACACACCCAUUUUGGUCCGCACAGUCCGUAAAGGCCAGCCAUUUCUUCCCAGAACUCCCUUCGCUCUCUACUUUUGCAAGGGCCAUAGACCCCUGAUAACCACCAUUCCAACCCGUUGAAGGCCUUAAUUUUUAUGGAGACAGAGAAAACUCCAAUCAGAGAUUCAGUAACUGAGAUGUUUUUGGUGUUCCAAAUUACUGCUAUGCCCCCAGAACUUCCUUGAGCAGGGGCAUAAAUCCACUCUUUAAAUCUGCUUCCCCCACACGCUGGCCACAAGUCUCCCUAUCGAUUGAUGUUUUCUUAGUUUCUUGUAAUAUAAUGAUAUCAGGCUGUAAACGUCGGAACUGCUGUUUCAAUGUCAGUCUCUUCUGUUUACUUCCCAAUCCUCUAACAUUCCAGCUAAUUAUCUUCAUUAAGUCUGAUAAUACCCCUUUGAAAUUUCUUGUCUCCCUUGCUUCCACCCUCACUCUUGCUGACUUUAACUUUCCCAGUCUUCAUUUCAUGGAAUAAAGACCUUUUCAGAGGAAACAAGGAAACUUUCAUCUUUGACAAAAAUUUGGAAGAUUGAUCUUGUGCCUCGCGUUUGACUGAUACGCAAGCCGAUCUUUUCCUUCUACUGUACUUUAACAUUUUCUUGUUUUUUCCAAUAUCCUUGAAAUCGGACUGCUCCACAUCUUCUAAUGCUACUACAUGAUGCGUUUGACUUGGUUCCUCUUCCGCUGUCGCCUCUGUUUCCAAAUUUGUAUCUAUGAAGAGGUUGUGAAGCUCCCCGUUGAACCGAUCAAAAACAUCAGAUGGUUCUUUUUCGUCUUGUGAAGAGUCACCAUUCUCCUCAUCUGAAUCUGAUGAUUGUGACAUGUAUUCUUCUUCAGCACUAUCUGAUAAAAAAGACGAAUCCAAUCCAAGAGCCUCAGUCCAUCUCAUCCUUUGAUCAAAUGGUUCCUCCUCUGUCGACCAGCCCGAUCGCCGAACAGGAUUUUCAUCAACAUCACUCUCCUUUUCUUCCCUCUAAUUCACAAACAGAAUCUAAGAUGGAAAGAUUGGGGGAAUGGAUUUCCAUCAUUUCAGGCCUUUCGACAGCAGUCUGGUUAGAUCCGAAUUCGUGUGGGAGAAGAAGCUUCAGCCUUUUUCCAAGUUUGUCUAUUUCACCAAAUCUCCCAAGAAACUUCAAAUUGAAACAAGUGGGGGCUUUUUUUGGGACACCGUCGAAAUGAGCUUCCUUAGCCUGUUGUCGCUGAAAUAAAAUCUCUGUAGUAAAAUUUGGCAUGUUGCUCACCCGAAACGACAACUUUGGUUCUGCCGACAUGGCUGAGUGCCAAAAGAUCUUGUUUGAUAGUUCCCUUCCUAACUGAAAAUGAUAUCUCAGCCCAUCAUAGUUUAGAAUAAGUGGGCCUAGACAUGACCCAGCAUAAUUAUUUUGUGGAACAAGACCCACGAGCCUUACAAAGUCACUUAGAACAAAAUCCUUGUGAACCAGGGGCCCACGCACCAUCAAAGCUUUUUCUUUACUUUUUAGACUAACCUCCUUGUUUGAUCUAUUAAAAUAAUACCCACUUGUAGAGCUUUGUGCUUCUUCGGUGGACAUACCACCACCGCCACCUGCUCUCCCACUUACUUCCAUGCCUUUGCCAUUUUCCAAAAAGCACCUUUGUCUGAGACUUUCUUUCCUUUUUGAAUUCUUGAAAUUAUCCUUUGCAUCUGCAUUUUCUUGUUCUUCUAUAAAGCUCGCCGAAUCUGUCAGACAUUCUUUCUUAAGUGGCCUCCCGUGCUUGCUAAUAGAGAAAGUAAAGUCAUGGGUUGCAGACACCUCAUGCCGUGCAUCCUCUGUCAAAAGCCUGUUCAGACCAUACUUUCUGUCAGCUCCAACAGUGACAGGGCAUUCAAACUCACCAAUCCGGAAAGAGACACGUGUCCCCGGAAAAGGAACUGAUUGUUGCAUAUCCGCCUUCGCCGGAAGGGUAGCUCCGGUGAGCCUCUGUAUUUUCAGGUCCUUCUUCAAAGAUCCAUUUGGUGAUUUAGUUGCUCCACCGUCUUCAGCCGAAGAUUAGGUCUCUUUGCUGGCGAAAGUUGACGAAUUUUAACCCUGAAAACUGAUUCUCCAUCUGCCACGUCAACGAACUCUGGAAUAAAGCCUGUGUCGUUGGGUUUCAAUUUUAAUUUUGCUUCGAGCAGAAAAUCAAAGUUAGCGGUUCUUCGGUCGAUUUCUACCAGACCUCCGCAGGCCUCUCCAAUCUUCAGGAAAAAAUUAUUGGUCCAAAGGUGUGGCGGUAAUCCUUCCAGAGCCACCCAACCGCCAUAACUAACCACCUUUCUGUGAUUUGAAUUGAUACUGUCCCACCAUCCAGACAUCACCACGUCUGGUAGCUUUUUCAUGGCUAGAGUUCCAAGUUGAGCAAUUUUGGUUGCUUCCUCUUCGUUCUGACAAACGAACAACGCCUUGUUGCAUUGGAAAGGCGAGAGUCUUAUUUCCAUUCCCAGAAGAUUUCGAAGUGAGGCCUCCACCUCUCUCCAAGGUUGAUGUACCACCUGUCUCUCACAAACAACUACGCUCCCCCAGCUGUAGGCUUCCUUGGAAAUGUCUCUCUUAUUCCAGAUUUUCUUCAUCCAUAUUUCCUCUUUGGCAUUUCGAAUGGGUGCCACAAUUGUCGCCUUCUUGCCUCCGAGGACAGCAUCCCUAUACGAAACCUGAUGGCCUGCACCCGUCUGGCUGUUCACGAACUCUUUUCCGACUCUUUUCACUUUCCUCUGAGUAGCCCCCACUCUCUUUCCCCCACGGAGGAUUUCAGACAAUAAGACCUCUAAACUUCUCCAUCCGAAAAAGUUAAAACCUUCAGGGACGAGAAUAUUUCUGACAAAGCCUUCCUUUUCUGAUUUGGAGAUAACAAGGAAAUCCCCGUUUUUGUUAUGAAAUCUUUCGACCCAAAACUGGUAGUUAUGUCCACUAUAUUUUCUGAAGAACUUCUGCCCGCCCUUAACUAUUGCCUCCUUUACCUGAUCAACUAGCCAAGCAGCACAACCCAAAUCAAAAGAAAUCUGGUAUCCUCUGAUUCUAGUUCUCUCAGUUAUUCGAAUCCUUUCACCGAAAGACUUAUCUUCUACCUCUAAGAUGAAAACCUUUUGCUCAACUUUGAAAUCCCUGGAUAAAUGUCUGUAGCUCAUCCUUACUUACCUUUCACUGAGUCGAUUCACGCCCUACAAAGUUCUCUAUGGCCUUCCUGAAACCUUAUCAACUGUGAAUACGAGGCACUUAAGACCAAAAUAAUGAACUUCCAAAUCAUCCUCCUCUUUUCUUUUGGGUAGUGGUUUAGAGUGUUUCUGCCCUUCUUUUGAUCACGACUGAGCUAAUGCUUAAGAAGGUCUCUAUAUAAUAAUAUGAGGACUCGAGGAAUCUGAGUCCCUAAAAUUUAAAUUUGAAUCCAUAAACCCAUAAUCUCUAAAUCCAUAAAAUCUUUCAAAUCCUAAAUCCCUAGAGGCUAGAGAGCAGACAUGAAAGUACCAGAAAUUGAAGCGGACGAACAACGGAACAUGCCCAAGAAUUGAAGAUUUAAAAUAGUCGGCAAGGGACGAAUCGCACAACACAGAAAGGCUUGAGUUUUUUGGCCAACUCAAUAUUUUCAUAUAAUAAUUUUGUUCAAAACAAUUUAAAAUGUAAACUAUGCAGGAGUACUGGAGCUGCAGACAGUUAUUCCCCCUUUUCUGGUUUCAGAAGGAAGGAGGGGUGGGAGGAAUAACAAUAUUAGAGAGCUCAGGUUGUUGGAGCUCAAUACGCCAGUGAAAGUAGACAAGGAAACUACCUCAUAGGCAGCAUACACCUCUGUAUUGAAGCCAAUCUCCUCGCCAUUUUCAUUGGUGCCAAAACCCCUAGGCUUUCCAAAAUAUAUACCUCCAGUGAGCUCUCUUACAACCAUGCUUUAACAACUAUUUAACAGUAACUAUAUUGGAUGACUUAUCAUUCUCCCUAAUAGGCAUCAUCGUGGACAAGACCUUGACACAAGAUGUUGUAGAUGUCAAGAGGGUAGGAGAUAGAAUCAUGGCAAUCAAGAUUGUAAUAGGACAAGAACUUAUCAAUGUGAUUAGUGCGUACGCACCUCAAGUAGAGUUGGAUACGAGUUCGAAGGAGAAAUUUUGGGAAGACCUUGGAGACUUGGUGCAAGGAAUUGCUCAGACGGAGAAGAUAUUUAUAGGAGGAGAUUUAAAUGGACACGUGGGCAGGGAGACAGGCAACUAUGGAAGUUUUCAUGGUGGCCAUGGUUUUGGGGAGAGAAACGAGGAUGGGGAAGCUAUCUUGGAUUUUGCAAUGGCGUAUGAUCUCUUCUUAGCCAACACCUUCUUUAAGAAGAGAGAAGAACAUGUGAUCACCUACAAGAGUGAGUCGUCAAAAACACAAAUAGAUUUUCUUCUAAUGAGGAAAGGGGAUCGUAUAACUUGUAAGGAUUGCAAAGUUAUACCAGGAGAGAGCGUGGCUAAUCAACAUCACUUGUUGGUGAUGGAUGUACAUAUAAAAAUAGAGAAAAAAGAACAAGACUUGGAAGUGCCCAAGGACUAGAUGGUGGAAUCUAAAAGAAGAAAAACAAGUCAUUUUCAAAGAGAAAGUAAUCACCCAGUGUGUGUGGGAUAGAGAGGGGGAAGCUAGCCAAAUGUGGGAUUUCAUGGCUAGUUGUAUCCGAAAAGUAGCAAAAGGGGUAUUAGGAGAGUCUAAGGGCUUUGCCCCACACCAAAAGGAAUCUUGGUGGUGGAAUGAGGAGGUACAAACAAAGGUGAAGGCUAAGAAGGAAUGUUGUAAAGCCUUAUACAAGGAUAUGACCGAUGAAAAUGGUGAAAGGUAUAGAAAAGCGAAGCAAGAGGCGAAGAAAGCUGUGAGAGAAGCUAAGUUAGCGGCUUAUGACGAUAUGUAUAAGCGACUAGAUACCAAAGAAGGAGAGUUUGAUAUCUAUAAACUAGCUAGAGCAAGAGAAAAGAAGACAAGAGACCUAAACCAAAUGAGGUGCAUCAAGGAUGAUGAUGGAAAAGUUCUUGCUACAGAGAACGCGGUUAAAGACAGAUGGAGAGGUUAUUUUCAUAAUAUUUUCAAUGAAGGACAUGAAAGGAGUGCUUCUUUAGGGGAGUUGAGUAACUCAGAAUAGUAGAAACUACUCUUUUUAUCGUCGAAUUCGGAAGGAAGAAGUGGUUGUAGCUUUGAAGAAGAUGAAGCAUAGAAAAGCAGUAGGCCCAGACGAUAUACCAAUCGAAGUGUGGAAAGUUUUGGGAGAGAGGUAUAACAUGGCUCACUGACCUUUUCAAUAGGAUUUUGAAAACGAAGAAGAUGCCAAAUGAGUGGCGAACGAGCACUUUGGUGCCUAUCUACAAGAAUAAGGGCGACGUAAAAAAUUGCAUGAACUAUAGGGGUAUUAAGCUAAUGAGUCAUACAAUGAAGCUCUGGGAGAGAGUCAUUGAGAAUAGAUUGAGGCAAGAGACACGGGUUUCGGACAACCAAUUCGGGUUCAUGCGAGGGCGUUCAACCAUGGAGGCAAUCUAUCUCUUACGAAGAUUGAUGGAAAGAUAUAGAGAUGGGAAAAAGGAUUUACACAUGGUCUUUAUAGAUUUGGAAAAAGCGUAUGAUAGGGUCUCAAGAGACAUUUUUUGGAGGAUUCUAGAGAAGAAAGGAGUACGAGUAGCAUAUAUCCAAGCUAUAAAGGAUAUGUAUGAAGAAGCAAAAACUGCUGUAAGAACUCAUGAAGGACAAACCGAAAGCUUUCCUAUAACUGUAGGAUUACAUCAAUGCUCAUCCUUAAGUCCUUAUCUUUUUGCGUUGGUAAUGGAUGAGUUAACAUGACAUAUUCAAGAUGAUAUUCCUUGGUGUAUGCUUUUCGCAGAUGAUAUGGUGUUGAUAGAUGAAACUCAGGAAAGGGUAAAUGCAAAGCUUAAUCUUUGGAGAGAAGUGUUGGAAUCUAAAGGUAUUCGCCGAAGCCGAUCAAAGACAAUAUAUGGAGUGCAAGUUCAGUGCAAAUGGAGGCCAAAACGAGUUAGGGGUGAGGAUCGGAGAUCAAGAAAUACCAAAGAGCGAUCGUUUUCGUUACCUAGGAUCUAUCUUGCAAAAGAACGGAGAAUUAGAUGGAGAUCUCAACCAUAGAAUACAAGCUGGAUGGAUGAAUUGGAAGAGUGCAUCCGGCGUGUUGUGUGACCGCCGUAUGCCACUGAAGCUCAAGGGAAAAUUUUAUAGGACGGCAAUAAGGCCGGCGAUGCUGUAUGGCACAGAAUGUUGGGCGGUGAAGCAUCAACACGUACACAAAAUGGGCGUAGCGGAGAUGAGGAUGCUUCGUUGGAUGUGUGGGCACACGAGAAAGGAUAAGAUUAGGAAUGAGGAUAUCCGGGGUAAAGUAGGAGUAACCGAAAUUGAAGGAAAGAUGAGAGAAAAUCGGUUACGGUGGUUUGAACAUGUGCAAAGAAGGCCUACUGACGCUCCGAUUAGAAGAUGCAACUAUGGGACAGAGGUUCAGGGACAAAGGGGUAGAGGAAGACCUAGGAAAACUUUGGAACAGACUUUAAGAAAAGACUUAGAGUACUUGGAUCUAACGGAGGACAUGACACAGGAUCGAGCACAAUGGCGUUCUAAGAUUCAUAUAGCCGAUCCCACUUAGUGACUUGGAUUUUUCAAGUCUCCAACCGAGAAGUUUUCCUCCCUUGGGAAAUUAAGGGAACACUACCUCAACCUACAUGCUCCACUCACAAAGCUUCAACAUACAAGCUUCAACAAAAGAAAAUUCAAAGAACUUAGCGAGGAAGGUUUUGGUGUAUAUAACACAAUACGUUGAAAUGAAUGAAAGUUUAUAUAUUGAUAUCCUCGAUAAGUUACAAAUAUGUACAUAUACAUGAGUCAAAAUAAACACUCAUGAGGGAGCCUUCACAAAUGUUGCUUAGGAGAAGUCUCAGCAGUCGGUAGAGCCCCAGAAAGAGAAGGCACCGGAGGGGGAUCAUUCGGAGCCUCCGUACUGGACAGAACCCUAGAAGGAGGCAUCAGAGGUUGAUCAUUUGGAGCUUCAUUACGCGGUACAGUCCCAGAAGACGAAGGCAAUAAAUGCCUUUGGAACAAACCCACAAAUAUCUGAUGAUCAAGUAAAACCUGACCAUCAGAUUCCUUCAUCUGGUCAAGCUUCCUCUUUAUGUUUGUAGCAUAGUCAUGUGCGAGCCGGUGCAACUGUUUAUUCUGAUGCUUGAGCCCUCUAAUCUCCUGUUUGAGACUUAUCACUUCAGCCGCCAAUGAUUCAACUUGGCGGGUUCGAGCAAAUAGGCGUUGGGCCAUAUUAGACACAGAACCUGCAUACUGAACACUGAGAGCCAAAGAAUCCUUAACAGCCAACUCAUCAGACUGUUUGGAAAGUAGUUUGUUAUCUUUGGGAGUGAGAAGGUUCCUGGCCACCACCGCAGCGGUUAUAUCAUUCUUCAUCACGGAAUCCCCAACGGUAAGAGGACCAGUAGGGGAGACGAAGGAUGGGCGCCAUAUGUUGUCUGGAGAAGGCGUGGCUGCCUCUUCAACAAGGUUCAAGUCAAAACGACGGUUGGAGGGGCCAGACAUUUUCAAAGGUGUUGAAGAGAGAAGAGGUCGGACAAAUCAAGAUCUUAGAAGUGCAAGAAUAGAGCUUCUACUGGUGGAGAUUCAAGUGUGCUUUGGAACUUAAUGUCAGCCUCUAUAAAAAUCUGUACUCGACGGAGCUUCAGAAAUCGAAGAGGCGCCUGCUCAGAAAUCGAAGAGGCGUUUGCUUUCUCAAAAGCUGUGCUGCUCAGAGACCACGAGGGUCGAUCUCAGAAAUCGAAGAAGCGUUUGCUUUCUCAAAAGCUGGGCUGCUCAAAGACCACGAAGGCCGAUCUCAGAAAUCGAAGAUGCGCUUGCUUUCUCAAAAGCUGGGCUGCUCAGAGAUCACGAGGGCCGAUCUCAGAAAUCGAAGAGGCACCUACUUUUCCAGCCUUGUCAGCACCUGUCACACGCACACUCAGCUUUGUGGAAAUUAUGGGCAUUCUGUCGAAGAUUUCUGGUGAAGUAGAAAGCACAUGAAUCUUACUGUUCAAUCACCCACUUCCCACACGCAACAUUAGCUCAUGGGUACCACAGAUAACUUUGCCAAAGUUCUCUGACAAAGUUGAGACACGUGAAGCUUGCAGCUCCCACUACAUCGCUCUGACCAAGAAGGGUAAAAGAAUAGCAAAGAAACAGCACUAACAAAGUUUAGACACAUAAAUUUUGAAGGUCUAGCUACCAUAUUAUUACCCACAAGGGUAAAGGAACAGUACCACUGCUGAAUAAUUGGAAAGUCCAUGUGUGUUAACCUUUGUGCUUCGUGGCAAGGUAGACUAGCACACAUGCCCAACCUUUACUCAUAUUCGAGAAAACUUCCAACAAGAUUGCUUGCUCCAAAAUCGAAGAGGCACCGCCCUCCGAAUCUCGAGAGCCAGACUUCCAACAUGAUUACUUUCUCAAAAAUCGAAGAGACACCGCUCUCCGAAUCUCGAGAGCCAGACCCCUAGCGUGAUUACUUUCUCAAAAAUCGAAGAGACAUCGUUCUCCGAAUCUCGAGAGCCAGAUCCUCGACAGGAUUGCUUGUUCAAAACCGAAAAGGCACCACUUUCCCAACUUCAAAAGUCGGAUCUCCUUGGAUAAAGCUUGUCUGUAAUCUUCACACGCAACAUCAGCUUUCCAGAUACAACAGACCACUUUUUCAAAGUGCUCUGACAGAGUUAAAACAUGUGAAGCUGGCAGCUCCCACUAUCGUGCCAUGACCAAGCAGGGUAAAGGAAUAGCAUUACUACUUGUUGUUAGGGAGACUCUUAUAUAUGUCGACUUCCAUCCCCAACGGACAGACAGACCUGCAAAAAUGCUCAACCCUUCCUCAUAUCUGAGAGGGCACUCCCAACGAAGCCUUUCGAAAUAUACAGCUUUCUUUCCCCCCGAUAAUACCUCUGCAAACAAGCUAUACUAGAGCAAGAAUAUCUCAUAUCAUCAGGGUUAAAAGCAAGAGUAUCCCAUAUCAUGCUUUUUCCCUGUCUUUCCCUUUGGCCUUGUUCUUACCUGCAAGACAAGGAGAGAGAGCAAUCAGUCAGCACUUGGAAUCAAGCUUCCAGUCAGGAACUGACUGCCUGGAACCCCUUAUCUGAUUAUUUACUUGACAUUGCUCUCGAGUACUCAUCUUCAACAUCUUAUGCUUCCAGGGAAGAUACCGCAUCUGCCUGAGGAACAGAUAGGGCAAGCGAGAAGGAUACAAGGAAGCAUGUGGAGACAAGCGUAACAGCACACGUGCCGAUACAUCCACUACUCUGUCAAAAGCAAAAGUAUCCCAUAUCAGCAGGGUCGAACAUACUCUAGAUUUGAUGGACUUGUUUUGACCCUCAAAUUCUUCAGUCGGUCUUAUACUCUGGAGGAAACCAGAAAACCCUCCAGCCCAGUUCAAGAAUAAGCCUGUGGAAAGUUACUUCUUCAAAAGCAAAAGUAUCCCAUAUCAUCUCUUCUCAUUUUUCUUCUCUUUAUCCUUUAUGCUGCCUGCAAGAUAGGGAGAAUGUGAACAAUCAGCCGGAACUCAAAAUCAAAGUUCUGAUUUGGGACUGAUUGUUUGAAGCUCUGAUUGCUUACCUUGUCUGUCACCUCUUUCAGCAUAUCCCCUAGCUUGGCGACUUAGGGGACUCCUACUGUAUGGUUUGUAUCGCGCUUGACCAAGCCUGAAACUACAAGUAAGCUUCAAGGGAAAUUGAUACAUUACCUUGUGCAUCUCCACCAGUUAAUGAUACCACCCCUGGAUGGAGAAGAGUACUUCCAGAGAAGAUGCCACAUCUACCUAUGAGACAGAUAAGGCAAGUCAAGACGAUACCACUCUGGUACUUAGAAGUUUCGUGACUACGAGAUCAUUCUCCCACAAUAUUUCCUAAUGUCAUUUGUACUAAAUCAUUCACUUGUACUCACUAAAGGAGAGUUUGAACCUAUGUACUUGUGUAAACCCUUCACAAUUAAUGAGAACUCCUCUAUUCCGUGGACGUAGCCAAUCUGGGUGAACCACGUACAUCUUGUGUUUGCUUUCCUAUCUCUAUCCAUUUAUAUACUUAUCCACACUAAUGACCGGAGCAAUCUAGCGAAGAUCACAAAAAGCGAUCGUUUUCGCUACCUAGGAUCUAUCUUGUAAGAGAACGGAGAAUUAGAUGGAGAUCUCAACCAUAGAAUACAAGCUGGAUGGAUGAAGUGUAAGAGUGCAUCCGGCGUGUUGUGUGACCGUCGUAGGCCACUGAAGCUCAAGGGAAAAUUUUAUAGGACGACAAUAAGGUCAGCGAUGUGGUAUGGCACAGAAUGUUGGGCGGUGAAGCAUCAACACGUACACAAAAUGGAUGUAGCGGAGAUGAGGAUGCUUCGUGGGAUGUGUGGGCACACGAGAAAGGAUAAGAUUGGGAAUGAGGAUAUCCGAGGUAAAGUAGGAGUGGCCGAAAUUGAAGGAAAGAUGAGAGAAAAUCGGUUAUGGUGGUUUGGACAUGUGCAAAGAAGGCCUACUGACGCUCCGGUUCGAAGAUGUGACUACAGGACAGAGGUUCAGGGCCGAAGGGGUAGAGGAAGACCUAGAAAAAUUUCGGAAGAGACCCUAAGAAAAGACUUAGAGUACUUGGAUCUAACGGAGGACAUGACACAAAACCAAGCGUAAUGGCGUUCUAGGAUUCAUAUAGCCGACCCCACUUAGUGGGAAAAGGGUUUGUUGUUGUUGUUGUUGUUUUAUGGCCGACCCCACUUAGUGGGAAAUGGUUUUGUUGUUUAUUUUUUUAUGGAGUACAUUCAGUAUUUAUUUAUUAGAACUCAAUUCUUUGACCUUGUGUUUACGCUGACCGGAUCCUGCUCCAUGGUUGCUGUUAUUUAUCUCAUCAAAACUAGUAUACUUGGACCAAGAACUUCAAGUCUCGGGAAUAAUCCGGAUUAAUCUCAUGAGAUGAAUUAUAUGUUAAAUAUUGAUUAUAUGAAUGCACUUUCUCAUUAUCUUUUUGUAACAGAAGUUUGGAUCUAUUCUAAUUUAUAUUGGUUGCUUAUGUUUAUUGGCAGAUAUAGGCACAUGCAGACCAGAGGCAUAUUGGAUUCCUUGGUCAGGCAGAGUUUUACAAUGCCCUUAGACUUUGUCACGGUGGCACAAGUAAGAGAGAACUUACGCCAGAAAUGGUGAAGGCAACAUUAUAUGGCCCGGCUGCAGCUAAAAUACCUGCACCCAAGAUAAAUCUUGCAGCGACUUCUGCCCCUCAGUUCAAUUCUGCUGCAGCAGCACCUGCCACUCAGGGUGGUGCUGUCACUCCGACAUCCUCACAAAAUCUUGGGUUCAGGGGACCAAAAAUACCACCUCAGUAUAGUUCUUUUGGAGCAGCACCUGCCACUCAGGGUGGUGUUGUCACUCCGAUGUCCUCCCAAGAUGUUGAGUUCAGGGGACCACAAAUACGAUCUCAGUUUAAUUCUGCUCCAACAGCGACCCAGGGUGAUGCUGUUACUCCAACAUCCUCCCAGAAUCUUGGGUUCAGGGGAUUAAGUGUGAAUGUGAACCAGCAAAAUUUCAUUUCUCAAGAUGGCAAGUCAAUUAGGCCUCCAGUGCCUCCAUCUAGUUCUGAUUCCCAGCCCACACAGAGUGUUGCUGCCCAAGGCUUUCCCAGUGAAGGUUCAGUGGGUGGUCCUCAACCACAAAAUUCAAACAUGUCUAAUGAUUGGGUUGGUGGAAGGGCAAGUGGAGCAACGACCGAGAUACCCUCGCAGAUUGUAAAAAAGGGGAUCACUCCUUCUGCAACACAAGAUGUAUUUGGGCAGGCAACAUCAGGACCAACAACUUCCCUACCACCUAGGCCACAGGCAGGUUUUGGGUUCAGACCACCGGCUAAGGAUUCCAAACCAUCAAAUAUAUCUAGGAAUGGCUUUGCUCCUUACUCAUCUUUUGGAGUCGAUGUGUUUUCUGCAACCCCAUCUCAACCAAAGCAGAAUUUUCCUCUUGGCAGUAUACCCGUCUCAUCAACCAUUGUGCCAGUAUCUGCUUGGACCCAAUCUUCAGUUACAGUUAUGCGCCUAUAUAGUAUGACCACAAACAUAACUUUUGGAAGCUAUAAGUUCCCCCACUCUUAACUUUAUGCUCUGUUUACAUCUGUCAGAGGUUUUAAAGCAGGUUUGGACCCAAUCUCCGAUCAGGAUAAUGAUAGCAUGCUUUCUGUCAGGGAGUUUUGUGUUGCGCUAUAUAUGAUGGAGCAGUUUAGGGAGGGAUGCCCUCUUCCAGCAGUGCUACCAAGAAAUAUUAUGUUUGAUUUAUCCAAUAUUUUUCAACCUGCAAAUAAGUACUCCAGUGCUGGCCAUGUAGCCUAGAGACCUGCAUCUGGUAUUCAUCCAUAAAACAAAUCACCUUUUUUUUUCUUUUUUCGAAACCGUACAUCUUUCUUUGAUGGAGAAUAGUUUCUUAUUUUUCACUUAAAAGGCUUUCAACAACAGCAAUCGAUGCCUGGUCCUGGUGCUCGACACAUGGCGCCCCCAGCUGGAGGAAGGCCACCGAAGCCAGUUGCUCCUUCUCAUGCUGUGGAAAGGCAGCAGGCCAAUCAGCAGAAACCCAGAGUACCAGAAUUGGAGAAACAUCUUGUAAAUCAACUGAGUACAGAUGAGGUUAACUCGCUGAAUUCAAAGUUCAAAGAAGCAACCGAAGUUGAUAAAAAAGGUACUUAGAACUUUAAUGUUUCCCCAAUUUUUUCAGCUUAAGCAGCAAAGUGAUGUAUGCUCUUAAUGUCCCAAAGAUUGGAAAUUCUUGUGAUUGUGGGUUUUACUUUGCUCUUAAUAUCGCUCAUUUCAGUGGAAAUGAUUUUGAUCUAGUUUAAGUAGGCAGGCUGUUCGGGUUUUGAAGUUCAUGAUCAGUUCUUUGAUAUUAGUAAUUUUAAUGAUUGGCAUUCCUCAUGUUUUUAGUGCAUGGCAUUCAUUAUGCUUUCUUUUUUAUACAGCAUUUAUUAUACUUUAUUGCAGUUUUGUUCCAUUUUCAGCUUGUUUUUCCUCAACCUUUUGAUGCGAUUCCCUUUGUUCUUUGCAGGUAGAAGAACUGGAGAAAAUAAUUUUGGAUUCUAGAGAGAAAAUUGAAUACUUCGGGGUCAAAAUGCAGGAACUUGUGAGCAUCUCGUGUUCUUUUCUGCCCUUUCUUUCUUGUAUGCCGUUGGUUGUGCAUAUUGAACAUUCUACAAUAGUUUUAAUUUUUGCGUUUGAAUAUAAUUGUUCUUGAUUGAUAGAUUUUUAGACGUCCUAAUCCUUUGUUGCUUUUAAUUAAAUAAUCUGCAGACUUCUUAGUAUUUGAUCUUUGCAGUGGUUUAAGAUGCUUUCUUUGAACAAUUGGAUGUUUGUGGUCUGAAUUAGUAUUGAUUCUUGAAUUGACAAGUACUCUUGAGAGAAAGUGCAGAUCACGUGUUUUAUCAUUGUCCUCUAGCUUUAUAUGUGUGGCUGAGAUUGUGUAGGAAAGGAAAUGUAAGCUGGGUAAUUCCUGCAGGGUACAUAUGUAGUUUGGUGGUGAUAUGAAGGCUUUUGUGAGGGUGCAGUAUGCCAGCAAUUUAUUGGGGUUUCUUGGUUUGAGAGAAACACGAGGGUUUUUGAAAACUACAUAUUUGGGCGAGGAGUAGUUAUGAAAUAAAGUUAGAUUUUGUUCACCACAUUGGCUCAGUAUUUUCUCAAUUUCAUGUUCUAUAUUUCUUAGCCAUGUUCUUUGAUUGGGAAGAUGCUGUUUUUGGAUAUUCGAUGUUGAAGGUCCUGUAUGUAGGAAGAAAUUGUAUUGUUUGUGUAGUCUAGUUUUCAUUGUUGUUCGCUUUAAGGUGGGGACAACUUAGCCGAAGAGAUUGCACUACAACAACAACAACAACAACAAAGCCUUUUCCCACUAAGUAGGGUCGGCUAUAUGAAUCCUAGAACGUCAUUGCGCUCGGUUUUGUAUCAUGUUCUCCGUUAGAUCCAAGUACUCAAGUCUUUUCUUAGGGUCUCUUCCAAGGUUUUCCUAGGUCUUCCUCUACCCUUUCGGCCCUGAACCUCUGUCCCGUAGUCACAUCUUCGAACCGGAGCGUCAGUAGGCCUUCUUUGCACAUGUCCAAACCACCGGAAUUGAUUUUCUCUCAUAUUUCCUCAAUUUCGGCUACUCCUACUUUACCUCGGAUAUCCUCAUUCCCAAUCUUAUCCUUUCUCGUGUGCCCACACAUCCCACGAAGCAUCCUCAUCUCCGCUACACCCAUUUUGUGUACGUGUUGAUGUUUCACCGCCCAACAUUCUGUGCUAUACAACUACGUUGGCCUUAUUGCCGUCCUAUAAAAUUUUCCCUUGAGCUUCAGUGGCCUACGACGGUCACACAACACGCCGGAUGCACUCUUACACUUCAUCCAUCCAGCUUGUAUUCUAUGGUUGAGAUCUCCAUCUAAUUCUCCGUUCUCUUGCAAGAUAGAUCCUAGGUAGCGAAAACGGUCGCUUUUUGUGAUCUUCGCUAGAUUGCUCCGGUCAUUAGUGUGGAUAAGUAUAUAAAUGGGUAGAGAUAGGAAAGCAAACACAAGAUGUACGUGGUUCACCCAGAUUGGCUACGUCCACGGAAUAGAGGAGUUCUCAUUAAUUGUGAAGGGUUUACACAAGUACAUAGGUUCAAGCUCUCCUUUAGUGAGUACAAGUGAAUGAUUUAGUACAAAUGACAUUAGGAAAUAUUGUGGGAGAAUGAUCUCGUAAUCACGAAACUUCUAAGUACCGGAGUGUGGUAUCGUCUUGACUUGCCUUAUCUGUCUCAUAGGUAGAUGUGGCAUCUUCUCUGGAAGUACUCUUCCUCCAUCCAGGGGUGGUAUCUUUAACUGGUGGAGAUGCACAAGGUAAUGUAUCAAUUUCACUUGAAGCUUACUUGUAGUUUCAGGUUUGGUCAAACGCGAUACAAACCAUGUAGUAGGAGUCCCCCAAGUCGCCGAGCUAGGGGAUCUGCUGAAAGAGGUGACAGACAAGGUAAGCAAUCAGAGCUCCGGCUGAUUGUUCACAUUCUCCCUAUCUUGCAGGCAGCAUGAAGGAUAAAGAGAAAGAAAAAUGAGAAAGAGAUGAUAUGGGAUACUUUUGCUUUUUGAAGAAGUAACUUUCCACAGGCUUAUUCUUGAACUGGGCUGGAGGGUUUUCUGGUUUCCUCCACAGUAUAAGGCCGACUGAAGAAUUUGAGGGUCAAAACAAGUCCAUCAAAUCUAGAGUAUGUUCGACCCUGCUGAUAUGGGAUACUUUUGCUUUUGACAGAGUAGUGGAUGUAUCGGCACGUGUGCUGUUACGCUUGUCUCCACAUGCUUCCUUGUAUCCUUCUCGCUUGCCCUAUCUGUUCCUCAGGCAGAUGCGGUAUCUUCCCUGGAAGCAUAAGAUGUUGAAGAUGAGUACUCGAGAGCAAUGUCAGAUAAGUAAUCAGGUUAGGGGUUCCAGGCAGUCAGUUCCUAACUGGAAGCUUGAUUCCAAGUGCUGACUGAUUGCUCUCUUUCUCCUUGUCUUGUAGGUAAGAACAAGGCCAAAGGAAACAACAACAACAACAAAGCCUUUUCCCACUAAGUGGGGUCGGCUAUAUGAAUCCUAGAACGCCAUUGCGCUCGGUUUUGUGUCAUGUCCUCCAUUAGAUCCAAGUACUCAAGUCUUUUCUUAGGGUCUCUUCUAAAGUUUUCCUAGGUCUUCCUCUACCCCUUCGGCCUUGAACCUCUGUCCCGUAGUCACAUUUUCGAACCGGAGCGUCAGAAGGCCUUCUUUGCACAUGUCCAAACCACCGGAACCGAUUUUCUCUCAUAUUUCCUUCAAUUUUGGCUACUCCUACUUUACCUCGGAUAACCUCAUUCCCAAUCUUAUCCUUUCUCGUGUGCCCAUACAUCCCACGAAGCAUCCUCAUCUCCGUUACACCCAUUUUGUGUACGUUGAUGCUUCACUGCCCAACAUUCUGUGCCAUACAACAUCGCUGGCCUUAUUGCCGUCCUAUAAAAUUUUCCCUUGAGCUUCAGUGGCCUACGACGGUCACACAACACGCCGGAUGCACUCUUACACUUCAUCCAUCCAGCUUGUAUUCUAUGUUUGAGAUCUCCAUCUAAUUCUCCGUUCUCUUGCAAGAUAGAUCCUAGGUAGCGAAAACGGUCACUUUUUGUGAUCUUCGCUAGAUUGCUCCGGUCAUUAGUGUGGAUAAGUAUAUAAAUGGAUAGAGAUAGGAAAGCAAACACAAGAUGUACGUGGUUCACCCAGAUUGGCUACGUCCACGGAAUAGAGGAGUUCUCAUUAAUUGUGAAGGGUUUACACAACAAAGCAAACACAAGAUGUACGUGGUUCACCCAGAUUGGCUACGUCCACGGAAUAGAGGAGUUCUCAUUAAUUGUGAAGGGUUUACACAAGUACAUAGGUUCAAGCUCUCCUUUAGUGAGUACAAGUGAAUGAUUUAGUACAAAUGACAUUAGGAAAUAUUGUGGGAGAAUGAUCUCGUAGCCACGAAACUUCUAAGUACCGGAGUGUGGUAUCGUCUUGACUUGCCUUAUCUGUCUCAUAGGUAGAUGUGGCAUCUUCUCUGGAAGUACUCUUCCUCCAUCCAGGGGUGGUAUCUGUAACUGGUGGAGAUGCACAAGGUAAUGUAUCAAUUUCACUUGAAGCUUACUUGUAGUUUCAUGCUUGGUCAAGCGCGAUACAAACCAUGUAGUAGGAGUCCCCCAAGUCGCCGAGCUAGGGGAUCUGCUGAAAGAGGUGACAGACAAGGUAAGCAAUCAGAGCUCCGGCUGAUUGUUCACAUUCUCCCUAUCUUGCAGGCAGCAUGAAGGAUAAAGAGAAGAAAAGUGAGGAGAGAUGAUAUGGGAUACUUUUGCUUUUGAAGAAGUAACUUUCCACAGGCUUAUUCUUGAACUGGGCUGGAGGGUUUUCUGGUUUCCUCCAGAGUAUAAGGCCGACUGAAGAAUUUGAGGGUCAAAACAAGUCCAUCAAAUCUAGAGUACGUUCGACCCUGCUGAUAUGGGAUACUUUUGCUUUUGACAGAGUAGUGGAUGUAUCGGCACGUGUACUGUUACGCUUGUCUCCACAUGCUUCCUUGUAUCCUUCUCACUUGCCCUAUUUGUUCCUCAGGCAGAUGCGGUAUCUUCCCUGGAAGCAUAAGAUGUUGAAGAUGAGUAUUCGAGAGCAAUGCCAGGUAAGUAAUCAGGUAAGGGGUUCCAGGCAGUCAGUUCCUGGCUGGAAGCUUGAUUCCAAGUGCUGACUGAUUGCUCUCUUUCUCCUUGUCUUGCAGGUAAGAACAAUGCCAAAGGAAAAGACAGGGAAAAAGCCUGAUAUGGGAUACUCUUGCUUUUAACCCUGAUGAUAUGAGAUAUUCUUGCCCUAGUAUAGCUUGUUUACAGAGGUAUUAUCGGGGGGAAAGAAAGCUGAAUAUUUCGAAAGGCUUCGUUGGGAGUGCCCUUUCAGAUAAGAGAAAGGGUUGAGCAUUUUUGCAGGUCUGCCUGUCCGUUAGAGAUGGAGGUCGACAUAUAUAGGAGUCUCCCUAACAUCAAGUAAUAAUGCUAUUCCUUUACCCUGCUUGGUUAUAGCACGGUAGUGGGAGCUGCCAGCUUCACAUGUUUUAACUCCGUCAGAGCACUUUGAAAAAGUGGUCUGUGGUAUCUGGAAAGCUGAUGUUGCGUGUGAAGAUUACAGACAAGCUUUAUCCAAGGAGAUCCAGCUCUUGAAAUUGGGAAAGUGGUGCCUCUUCGAUUUUCGAACAAGCAAUCCUGUCGGGGAUCUGGCUCUCGAGAUUCGGAGAACGAUGCCUCUUCGAUUUUUGAGAAAGCAAUCCUGCUGGGGGUCUGGAUCUCGAGAUUCGGAGAGCGGUGUCUCUUCGAUUUUUGAUAAAGUAAUCAUGUUGGGAGUCUGGCUCUCGAGAUUCGGAGGGCAGUGCCUCUUCGAUUUUGGAGCAAGCAAUUUUGUUGGGAGUGUUUUCUCGAAUGUGAGUAAAGGUUGGACGUGUUUGCUAGUCUAACUUGCCACGAAGCACAGAGGUUGACACACAGGGACUUUUCAAUUAUCCAGCAGUGGUACUGUUCCUUUACCCUCUCUUCGAUUUUUGAGAAAGUAAUCAUGUUGGGAGUCUGGCUCUCGAGAUUCGGAGGGCGGUGCCUCUUCGAUUUUGGAGCAAGCAAUCUUGUUGGGAGUGUUUUCUCGAAUGUGAGUAAAGGUUGGGCAUGUUUGCUAGUCUACCUUGCCACGAAGCACAAAGGUUGACACACAGGGACUUUCCAAUUAUCCAGCAGUGGUACUGUUCCUUUACCCUCUCUUCGAUUUUUGAGAAAGUAAUCAUGUUGGGAGUCUGGCUCUCGAGAUUCGGAGGGCGGUGCCUCUUCGAUUUUGGAGCAAGCAAUCUUGUUGGGAGUGUUUUCUCGAAUGUGAGUACAGGUUGGGCAUGUUUGCUAGUCUACCUUGCCACGAAGCACAGAGGUUGACACACCGGGACUUUCCAAUUAUCCAGCAGUGGUACUGUUCCUUUACCCUUGUGGGUAAUAAUAUGGUAGCUAGACCUUCAAAAAUUUAUGUGUUUAAACUUUGUUAGUAUUGUUUCUUUGCAAUUCUUUUACCCUUCUUGGUCAGAGCGAUGUAGUGGGAGCUGCAAGCUUCACGUGUCUCAACUUUGUCAGAGAACUUUGGCAAAGUUAUCUGUGGUACCCAUGAGCUACUGUUGCGUGUGGGAAGUGGGUGAUUGAACAGUACGAUUCAUGUGCUUUCUACUACGUCAGAAAUCUUCGACAGAAUGCCCAUAAUUUCCGCAAAGCUGAGUGUGCGUGUGACAGGUGCUGACAAGGCUGGAAAAGUAGGUGCCUCUUCGAUUUCUGAGAUCGGCCCUCGUGGUCUCUGAGCAUCCCAGCUUUUGAGAAAGCAAGCCUCUUCGAUUUCUGAGAUCGGCCUUCGUGGUCUUUGAGCAGCCCAGCUUUUGAGAAAGCAAACGCCUCUUCGAUUUCUGAGAUCGAUCCUCGUGGUCUCUGAGCAGCCCAGCUUUUGAGAAAGCAAACGCCUCUUCGAUUUCUGAGCAGGCGCCUCUUCGAUUUCUGAAGCUUCGUCGAGUGCAGAUUUUUAUAGGGGCUGACAUUAAGUUCCAAAGCACACUUAAAUAUCCACCAGUAGAAGCUCCAUUCUUGCACUUCUAAGAUCUUGAUUUGUCCGACCUCUUCUCUCUUCAACACCUUUGAAAAUGUCUGGCCCCUCCGACCGUCGUUUUGACUUGAACCUUGUUGAAGAGGCAGCCCCGCCUUCUCCAGACAACAUAUGGCGCCCAUCCUUCGUCUCCCCUACUGGUCCUCUUACCGUUGGGGAUUCCGUGAUGAAGAAUGAUAUGACCGCUGCGGUAGUGGCCAGGAACCUUCUCACUCCCAAAGAUAACAGACUACUUUCCAAACGGUCUGAUGAGUUGGCUGUUAAGGAUUCUCUGGCUCUCAGUGUUCAGUGUGCAGGUUCUGUGUCUAAUAUGGCCCAACGCCUAUUUGCUCGAACCCGCCAAGUUGAAUCAUUGGCGGCUGAAGUGAUGAGUCUCAAACAGGAGAUUAGAGGGCUCAAGCAUGAGAAUAAACAGUUGCACCGGCUCGCACAUGACUAUGCUACAAACAUAAAGAGGAAGCUUGACUAGAUGAAGGAAUCUGAUGGUCAGGUUUUACUUGAUCAUCAGAGAUUUGUGGGUUUGUUCCAAAGGCAUUUAUUGCCUUCGUCUUCUGGGGCUGUACCGCGUAAUGAAGCUCCAAAUGAUCAACCUCUGAUGCCUCCUCCUUCUAGGGUUUUGUCCAGUACUGAGGCUCCGAAUGAUCCUCCUCCGGUGCCUUCUCUUUCUGGGGCUCUACCGACUGCUGAGACUUCUCCUAAGCAACCUUUGUGAAGGCUCCCUCUUGUUUGUUUAUUUUGACUCAAGUAUAUGUACAUAUUUGUAACUUAUCGGGGAUAUCAAUAAAUAAGCUUUCCUUCAUUUCAACGUAUUGUGUUAAAUACACCAAAGCCUUCUUCGCUAAGUUCUUUGAAUUUUCUUCUGUUGAAGCUUGUAUGUUGAAGCUUUGUGAGUGGAGCAUUUAGGUUGAGGUAGUGUUCCCUUAAUUUCCCGAGUGAGGAAAACUUCUUGGUUGGAGACUUGGAAAAUCCAAGUCACUGAGUGGGAUCGGCUAUAUGAAUCUUAGAACGCCAUUGUGUUCUGUCUUGUGUCAUGUCCUCCGUUAGAUCCAAGUACUCUAAGUCUUUUCUUAGGGUCUCUUCCAAAGUUUUCCUAGGUCUUCCUCUGCCCCUUCGGCCCUGAACCUUUGUCCCAUAGUCGCAUCUUCUAAUCGGAGCGUCAGUAGGCCUUCUUUGCACAUGUCCAAACCACCGUAACCGAUUUUCUCUCAUCUUUCCUUCAAUUUCGGCUACUCCUACUUUACCCCGGAUAUCCUCAUUCCUAAUCUUAUCCUUUCUCGUGUGCCCACACAUCCAACGAAGCAUCCUCAUCUCUGCUACACCCAUUUUGUGUACGUGUUGAUGCUUCACUGCCCAACAUUCUGUGCCAUACAGCAUUGCCGGCCUUAUUGCCGUCCUAUAAAAUUUUCCCUUGAGCUUCAGUGGCAUACGGCGGUCACACAACACGCUUGAUGCACUCUUCCACUUCAUCCAUCCAGCUUGUAUUCUAUGGUUGAGAUCUCCAUCUAAUUCUCCGUUCUUUUGCAAGAUAGAUCCUAGGUAACGAAAACGGUCGCUCUUUGGUAUUUCUUGAUCUCCGAUCCUCACCCCUAACUCGUUUUGGCCUCCAUUUGCACUGAACUUGCACUCCAUAUAUUCUGUCUUUGAUCGGCUUGGGCGAAGACCUUUAGAUUCCAACACUUCUCUCCAAAGGUUAAGCUUUGCAUUUACCCCUUCCUGAGUUUCAUCUAUCAACACUAUAUCGUCUGCGAAAAGCAUACACCAAGGAAUAUCAUUUUGAAUAUGUCCUGUUAACUCAUCCAUUACUAACGCAAAAGGGUAAGAACUUAAGGAUGAGCCUUGAUGUAAUCCUACAGUUAUGGGAAAGCUUUCGGUUUGUCCUUCAUGAGUUCUUACGGCAGUUUUUGCUUCUUCAUACAUAUCCUUUAUAGCUUGGAUAUAUGUUACUCGUACUCCUUUCUUCUCUAAAAUCCUCCAAAGAAUGUCUCUUGGGACCUAUCAUACGCUUUUUCUAAAUCUAUAAAGACCAUGUGUAAAUCCUUUUUCCCAUCUCUAUAUCUUUCCAUCAAUCUUCGUAAGAGAUAGAUUGCCUCCAUGGUUGAGCUCCCUGGCAUGAACUCGAAUUGGUUGUCCGAAACCCCGUGUCUCUUGCUUCAAUCUAUGCUCAAUGACUCUCCUAGAGCUUCAUUGUAUGACUCAUUAGCUUAAUACACCUAUAGUUCAUGCAAUUUUGUACGUCGCCCUUAUUCUUGUAGAUAGGCACCAAAGUGCUCGUUCGCCACUCAUUUGGCAUCUUCUUCGUUUUCAAAAUCCUAUUGAAAAGGUCAGUGAGCCAUGUUAUACCUGUCUCUCCCAAAACUUUCCACACUUCGAUUGGUAUAUCGUCUGGGCCUACUGCUUUUCUAUGCUUCAUCUUCUUCAAAGCUACAACCACUUUUUCCUUCCGGAUUCGACGAUAAAAAGAGUAGUUUCUACUCCUCUGAGUUACUCAACUCCCCUAAAGAAGCAUUCAUUUCAUGCCCUUCAUUGAAAAUAUUAUGAAAAUAACCUCUCAAUCUGUCUUUAACCGCGUUCUCUGUAGCAAGAACCUUUCCAUCAUCAUCCUUGAUGCACCUCACUUGGUUUAGGUCCCUUGUGUUCUUUUCCCUUGGUCUAGCUAGUUUAUAAAUAUCCAACUCUCUUUCUUUGGUAUCUAGUCGCUUAUACAUAUCGUCAUAAGCCGCUAACUUAGCUUCUCUCACAGCUUUCUUCGCCUCUUGCUUCGCUUUUCUAUACCUUUCACCAUUUUCAUUGGUCCUAUCCUUGUAUAAGGCUUUACAACAUUCCUUCUUAGCCUUCACCUUUGUUUGUACCUCCUCAGUCCACCACCAAGAUUCCUUUUGGUGUGGGGCAAAGCCCUUGGACUCUCCUAAUACCUCUUUUGCUACUUUUCGGAUACAACUAGCCAUGGAAUCCCACAUUUGGCUAGCUUCCCCCUCUCUAUCCCAUACACACUGGGUGAUUACUUUUUCUUUGAAAAUGGCUUGUUUUUCUUCUUUUAGAUUCCACCAUCUAGUCCUUGGGCACUUCCAAGUCUUGUUCUUUUUUCUCACUCUUUUGAUAUGUACAUCCAUCACCAACAAGCGAUGUUGAUUAGCCACGCUCUCUCCUGGUAUAACUUUGCAAUCCUUAUAAGUUAUACGAUCCCCUUUCCUCAUUAGAAGAAAAUCUAUUUGUGUUUUUGACGACCCACUCUUGUAGGUGAUCACAUGUUCUUCUCUCUUCUUAAAGAAGGUGUUGGCUAAGAAGAGAUCAUAUGCCUUUGCAAAAUCCAAGAUAGUUUCCCCAUCCUCGUUUCUCUCCCCAAAACCAUGGCCACCAUGAAAACCUCCAUAGUUGCCUGUCUCCCUGCCCACGUGUCCAUUUAAAUCUCCUCCUAUAAAUAACUUCUCCGUCUGAGCAAUUCCUUGCACCAAGUCUCCAAGGUCUUCCCAAAAUUUCUCCUUCGAACUCAUAUCCAACCCUACUUGAGGUGCGUACGCACUAAUCACAUUGAUAAGUUCUUGUCCUAUUACAAUCUUGAUUGCCAUGAUUCUAUCUCCUACCAAUCUUGACAUCUACAACAUCUUGUGUCAGGGGCUUGUCUAAAACAUCUUGAUGUCAACAUCGUUUCUUGUUCUAUUUGUGCCCGAAUACCAUAGUUUAAACCCUGAGUUUUCUAGAUCCUUUGCCUUACGACCAACCCACUUAGUUUCUUGUAGGCACAUAAUAUUUAUCUUUCUCCUCACCAUAACUUCCAUUACUUCCAUAGAUUUUCCCGUUAAGGUUCCUAUAUUCCACGUUCCUAAACGUAUUUUGCUCUUUUGAACUCUACCCUUAUGUUCUAGCUUCUUCACCCUCCCCCGUCUAAUAGGAUCAAAGUACUUCUUUUGUGUGUCCCGUGUAAAGUUGAUAGGAGCAUAUGCUCCCAAACAACUUUGAGUGGAGUCGUUCGAAAAGAAGUUUCUAUGGCCCCCUUGCUCAUUUAACACUGCAUCCGGGUGCCGAUGGAGAUACAGCGACCCUUGCUCACUUAUCACUGUGCUCGGGCCACACAGCGCGCCACUUAUGGGUGACGCCCUAGCUUUAGCGCGAUUUCGUUCUGGAUUCAUUUUCAUAAGGAUUCGACGUAAUCAUGGAGUGUCGGCUGUCGACUACCUGACGCCCUCCCCCUCCUCCUUUAUCCGGGCUUGGGACCGGCACUGUAAGAUAAACUUACACAGGCGGAGUUAGCCGAAGAGAUUGCACUGUUUGAAUAAAAUUGUGUUGAGGAGCUUUGGUAGGCAAUUAAAGCAUUCCUUUGUAUGCACCAUAAUGGUGAUGAAAUAAAGAUCCAAAUUUGGUUGAAUGGGGAACUGGGGGAUGGGAAUAUUUUAUCAUGUGUGUAAAUUAAGGCCACAUUCUUACAGGAUAAUUUUAUCUAGCUACUCGCAUAUGGAAAUGAUGUUUUUAACUGUCAGUUUUUGAAUACCGAUUCUGCAUAAUUGUGAAUGCUGGUGCUUUAUUUUAAGUCUCACAUAUAUAGGGUGUGGUGUUGAAACUAUGAUGUAUACCUUGUUAUAUUUGCUUUAAUAUAUUUUCUUAAUGGUAUAAGGUUGUGUACAAGAGCAGAUGUGACAAUCGCCUCAAUGAGAUCACAGAAAGGUCAUCCAUUUCAGUUAUUGUAAAAUAGUUAGUUAUAUCUAAAUGUGAUUAGCUGUGCUAAUGAUUGUAAUUAGUUAGGGUUGUUAUAAGAUUAGGCAGUUAAGGGGUAUUGUUGUAAAUAGCCAAAGGCUAUAUAUAUAUCCUCACAGUGUACAAUUGUUCAGUUAAGUCAAUACAAUUAGAAAACUUACAGAGGAAGUUUUCUGUUUAUAUAUGGUAUCACGCCAUUUUGCUUAAAAGCAUCGAUUCCUUCUUCCGCUCAAAUUGAUCGAUCGAUUCUUGCUCGAUUCUUGAUUGAUUCCUCCUUCUCAGAUUCUUCAAUUCUUCUUCUUCAAUCUUUCUUACCUUGUGAUUUCUGCAAGAUAUGGCGGCUCAAUCCUCUUCGACACCGCCUGAAUCGUCUUCUCCGUCGAUCCAAAACCGUAAUUUCUUUGGUAAUCCAAGUCUUCUGAGUUCCUACACCUCUCUUACAAUUCACAACAUCGGCAGCAUGGUGCCGAUUAAGCUGAAAAGAUCAAACUACCUGCCAUGGCGUGCAUUGUUUGGCCAAUCCUAAGGCAAUACAAGCUUCUUGGAAUCAUUGAUGGAACUGAAGCAUGUCCAUCGCCAUUCCUGCCUGAUCGCCGCAUCAAUCCUGCAUUUGAGGAAUGGUAUGAAAAAAUCAAAAUCUCUUGAUCUGGUUUAAUUCCACACUUUCUGAGGAAAUCAUUCCUUUCACAGUUGGGGUUUCCUCUUCUCGUGACCUCUGGGUGAAGCUUGAACAGAGAUUUGGUGGAAUUUCAGAGGCUCACAUUCAUCAAUUGCGGUCGCGUCUUUAAUUGGUUCAGAAAGGAUGUCACUCUAUCUCUGAGUUUUUUGUCGUACCCAGUGCACAAGGCUCCCGCUUUACGCAGGGUCUGGGAGAGGUGAAUGUCGGCUAGCCUUACCCCAAUUUAUGGAGAGGCUGCUCCCAAGUCUCGAACCCGAGACCUACCGCUUAUGGGCGAAGACACUUGCCAUCGCACCAAGUGCGACCUCCACUCUAUCUCUGAGUAUCUUCAAGAAAUUAAGGAGAUCUCCGAUUCCUUGCAAGUUGCUGGUGCCUCUGUCUUUGAUCGAUAUCUCAUUGCAGCCACUCUUCAUGGCUUGCCUGAUGAAUUUGAGUCAUUCAUAGACUCAAUCAUGCUUCGAUUGUCCUCUACCUCUCUUGAUGAGCUCCAUGGUCUUCUUUUCACUAACGAAUUGUCUAUGGCUCGACGCAAAACUGUUAGUUCAUCUUCUGCAACUGAGCCUUUUCAAGCUUUCUUGGUGCAAUCUCAACCCCCUCUAUUACCCACUCCAUCCGUGUUUGCUGCUCAGCACCAACUUCAAUCAUGGCACCAACCAAAAUCUCACAAUUGUGGCAAGAAUAAUCGGGGCAAUUCCUUCUCUCAUAGAGGUAAUCGUAACUUCCAUAACAACCGUGGUCAUUACUCCAACAAUCGUGGCAAUCGCAGUUAUCAAAGUCCUCGUCAAGCUCAAGGUUCUUCCACUUUCAAAGUUCCUUGUCAAAUCUGUGGAUCUACCAGUCAUGAGGCUAUUGACUGCUUUGAUCGCAUGAAUCCAGACAUUUGUGGUCGGAUUCCUCCAGCCAAACUCGCUGCUAUGUAUGUCAAUCACUCUGCCAAACCAUCUUCAUCUUGGUUGAUUGACUCGGGUGCCACCUCUCACAUUACCAAUGAUGUUGCCAAUAUUUCUUCUCCUACUCCCUAUACUGGCGAGGACAAAGUGUAUAUUGGUGAUGGUAAAGGACUUUCUAUUCAUCAUAUUGGUUCAUCAUUCUUACAUACUCCUCAUAAUUCUUUUCAGCUCUGCAAUGUUUUACAUGUUCCAUACAUGAAACAUAAUCUCUUGUCUGCCUAUCAGUUUCUUAAGGAUAAUAAUUGUUCAUUAACCCUUGACCCUUAUGAAUCCACUAUCAAGGAUCGUAUUUCGGGGAAGAUGCUUUUGCGGGGACCGGUUAGAGAUGGAUUCUAUCCUCUUCAAGCCUCAAGUACUUCUUCAAUUUCUUCACCUACAACUUUGCUCAGUAUUAAAGCUCCUGUUAAAGUUUGGCACCGGCGCUUGGGUCAUCCUUCCUCCUCUAUUCUCCGGAGGGUAAUUUCUAAUCAUCCACUGGCAUUACAAGGCAAGUCCACUGUUGAUUUCUUCUGCUCAGAUUGUGCACUUGCAAAGAAUCAUAAGCUUCCCUUUGGAGUAGCUUCUUCAAAAACAACUCAAAGUCUUCAACUUUUGCACUGUGAUCUGUGGGGUCCAGCAUCCGUUAUUUCAAAUAGUGGUUUCAAGUACUAUUUGCUUCUUGUUGAUGAUUUUAGCAAAUAUAGCUGGUUCUUUCCUUUGAAGUCCAAGUCCGAUGUAUUUUCUACAUUUGUUGUCUUCAAAUCUUAUGUAGAAAAUUUACUUGGCAAUAAAAUCAAAGUUCUGCGUUCAGAUUCAGGGGGUGAGUUUAUUAGCACAUCUUUUGCAUCAUUUCUCAGACAACAUGGCAUUUUUCAUCAAUUUAGUUGUCCCCAUACUCCUGAACAAAACGGUUGUGCUUAGCAAUGUUUUAAAGAACUCGCCUCAAGGCGCGCCUAGGGCGCCCUUGAGGCUGGGCGGUGAGGCAAACGCCUCAGUUUUGCUGGAGUAGGCGAAAUGCUUCGCCGGAGACGCCGAGGCGGCGGCGGCGCGCCUCAAGGCGUCCAGGCGCCGUGUCUGACCCUGUUUUUUUUUUUUUUUUUUUUUUUUUUUUUUUUUUUUUUUUUUUAAAAAAAUCAUCCAAACCCAAAACGAUGCUGUUUGGGUAAGGAUUUUCAGCUUUAAACAUCCUCUUCAUUCCAUACCUUCGAUCGCCUGCCUUCUUGCUUCUUCUCCCGCGCGCCAGAAGCCCAGAACAGAGAACACAGCCGCCACACCACGCCGCUUGGAGCAGCACCGUCGCCACCAUCACCUCGCCGCCGUCAGCCCAGCGCCGUCAGCAAGAUCCCAAAGGUUAGGGUUUCAGAAAAACUUAGGGAUUUAGUUUUCUGGGGAAGGUUUUCUUGGGGGAAGAGCUCUGCCUCUGCGUGGUGCCUUGUUUCUGGGGAGUGGGGAAGGAUUUAAUUGAAUUUUGAAUACUUUGACACGAUAAAUAAUGUUAAUUAAUUAAUGGAGAAUACAAUUAUCUGCAGCAUUGCACUCUUUAUUUAAACAAAUAAAGUAAACUCAGUAAGCUAUUGGCAUGCCGUUGAAAGAAGUGCGAUCUUGAUUGAAAAUAAAAAAAUAAUACACAAACUUUUGAAAGUUUUUGAGAAGCCAUUUGAUAAAGUUGGCAAAACAAAGUAGUUUAGUUUGUAAUUAGUGAAAAGGGUUUUAGAGCUAUAAUGUUUUGAUGUAUAACCCGUUUAUUAUUAUUAAUUAAUUAAUGACAUACCUUACAAGUUCAUCUAGAGUUGGCAAUGAAGACGAUGAUGCCUUUUAUUUAGAUGAAGAGGAUUUGGAUGAUUGAUUGAUAUCUUUGUUUGUAUUUUGAUUUCUAUGAAGAGGAUUUGGAUGAAUGAUGAAUUUGGAUGAUAUUACCUUUGAAUGAUGAAUUUAGAUGAUAUUAUCUUUUGAAUGACUAUGGAUUUGAAUGAAAAAUUGAGAAUGGAUGUUUAUUUUACAUAGUAUUAUUUUUAUACAAUUAUAUGUAUAAUAUAUAAAACAUAUAUAUAAAAAAAAAUUAAAUCUCGUAAGGCUUCGCCUCACGCCUCACGCCUAGGCCGGGCUUCACCUCGGACGCCUCGCCCACGCCUCACACUUUUAAUACAUUGGUGCUAAGAGAAAGCACAGGCACCUUGUUGAGACAGCUCGUACUUUGCUAGUUGCUUCUCAUGUUCCUCCUGUUUUCUGGGUUGAAGCUUUCUCCACUGCAAUGUAUCUCAUUAAUCGGCUUCCUAUCUCUGGUGUUUCCAAGUCACCAUGGGAACUAUUAUUUCACCAACCCCUAGAUUCUCCAAACUCAAAGUGUUUGGUUGCCAAUGCUUCCGUUGGCUCAAACCCUAUGUUCACAGCAAAUUGGAUGCCAAGAGUAAAUGUUGCACAUUUCUAGGAUAUAGCCUACAACAUAAAGGCUAUCGGUGUCUUGAUCCCCAUACAAAUAGAAUUUACAUCUCCAGACAUGUUCUCUUUGAUGAAACUACCUAUCCAUUUCAAUCACUUCAACCUCCUGAUUAAUCAAGAUGCAGCAUCUCCAGCAGGCUCUUCAUGUCUGGAUCUUUAUUUUGAUAACUAUAUUCCCAAUAUUUCUGCCCGUCUCCCAUCCUCCAAGUUCAGCUUCUCCUAGUACCUCAGUACGUAUCUCUUCUAGUUCUGUUUCUGUUUCAGAACCCUCACCUUUACCACACAGUUUGCCAAGUCAUCCUCCUAUUCCCAUUAAUUCUCAUCCCAUGAUUACAAGAUCCAAGGCUGGCAUAUGUAAACCUAAGUCUCAGGUUUAUGCAGCAACCAAACAUCCUCUUCCUGUUGAUCUUGAUUAUGUUCCCAGUACUUACUUGCAAGUUUCUAAGCAUGCUCACUGGCGAGCAGCCAUGCAAGAUGAAUACAAUGCCUUGAUCUCUACUGGUACUUGGUCACUAGUCCCCUCUAAUCCUUCUCAAAAUUUAGUUGGCUGUAAGUGGGUGUUUCAAGUUAAGAAAAAGGCUGAUGGUACUAUUGAUAGGUACAAAGCUCGCCUUGUAGCAAAGGGUUUUCAUCAACAAGAGGGUAUUGAUUUUCAAGAGACCCUUAGUCCGGUUGCAAAGCCGGUUACAAUUUGCAUUCUCCUCACUCUUGCUGUCCAAUAUAAUUGGUUCCUUAAUCAAUUGGAUAUAAGCAAUGCUUUUCUUCAUGGAGACUUAAAGGAGGAUGUAUACAUGCAACAACCUCCCGGAUUUGUUGAUCCUACUUCUCCUAGUCAUGUUUGCAAGUUGAGAAAAUCAUUAUAUGGACUAAAACAAGCCCCCCGAGCCUGGUUUGACAAACUCUAUCAAGCCCUUCAUUCUCUUGGAUUCAAACAAUCAUCCUCUGAUGCAUCCUUGUUUGUUCUCAAUGGUCCUCAUUUGUUAUUGUCCUAGUAUAUGUUGAUGACAUUCUUGUGACUGGUCCAAACUCUCACCUCUGUCAACAGUUUAUUAACCAACUAAGUUCUCAGUUUCCAGUAAAGGAUCUUGGUCCUUUACACUACUUCUUGGGCUUAGAAGUACACCGAUCUUCAUAGGGCAUUUUUCUACAUCAAACCAAAUACUUACUUGAUCUUCUCAAGAAAACAAACAUGGAGGGUGCAAAACCAUGCUGCACACCUCUUAGUUCCAUGAAACUUGAUCACAGUGGGCCUCUCUUGUCCAAUCCCAUUGAAUAUCGUUCUAUUGUAGGUGGUUUACAAUAUCUAACUUGGACUAGACCGGAUCUUGCCUUUGCUGUGAACCAGAUAUGCCAAUUCAUGCAUGCUCCUAGGGAACAACAUCUUCAAGCAGCUAAAAGAGUUCUCAGGUUUCUUAAAGGUUCUAUUUCCCAUGGUAUGUGGUUCACAAAGGGUCCUAUCCAUCUUUCAACCUAUACUGAUGCUGAUUGGGCCGGCUGUACAUUUGAUAGACGUUCUACAAGUGGUUACUGUGUGUUCUUAGGCUCCAAUCUCAUUAGUUGGAGUGCCAAGAAACAAAGUACAGUGGCUCGGUCCUCUACAGAAGUUGAAUAUCGCUCCUUAGCUCACACAGCUGCAGAAAUCACUUGGGUUUGCAAAAUUCUUAGAGAUCUUCACUUCUCUCUACCUACACUGCCUACUCUUUGGUGUGACAACAUCUCCGCAAUCUCCCUAGCCUGUAAUCCUGUCUUUCAUGCUCGCACUAAGCAUGUUGAGAUCGACUACCACUAUAUUCAAGAAUUGGUUAUGGCUAAUCUUCUUAAAGUACAGUUCAUGUGCAGUGAAGAUCAAUUGGCUGAUCUCCACACCAAGUCCCUAUCUAAAAGUCAAUUCCACUAUCUGUGCUCCAAGCUUCCAAUUGGAAUCUGUUCUGAUUCCCAUUCUAGCUUAAAGGGGUGUAUUAGGGAGAAUGACAAGUCAUCCAUUUCAGUUACUGUAAAAUAGUUAGUUAUAUCUAAAUGUGAUUAGCUGUGCUAAUGAUUGUAAUUAGUUAGGGUUGAUAUAAGGUUAGGCAGUUAAGGGGUAUUGUUGUAAAUAGCCAAAGGCUAUAUAUAUAUCCUCACAGUGUACAAUUGUUCAGUUAAGUCAAUACAAUUAGAAAACUUACAGAGGAAGUUUUCUGUUUCUAUACUAAGCACAUAUUUGCAUUAAUCUUUACCUACCGUCUUGGCUUAAUGAAUACUACAUGAAUUUAGGCUGAGUCCCUGGCUAAGAUGAAGAGAAAUACAAACAAGCUGGAGAUGUAGCUUCCAAGUUGACUAUUGAAGAAGCCACGUUUCGUGAUUUACAGGUACCUUUCACCACAUAUAAAUUUGUGGACAAUUAGUGACCCCAUGUUGUGUAUUUGCUUUUGCUCAUUCGAAGAUCAAGGUGCCAAAUGCUUGCUGUUUGUUUGGUUAGAUCUGAGUCAUAAUUGCCUGUACAUGUGAUGUGAGAUGGUGUGCUUUUAUUUUUUAUGAGAUAAGUGCCAAUCAAAAUUCAGAAACAAGUAUGAGUAGGACGUUUUACUUUUUGGAGAAACAAAGAGAAUUAUUUUAUAGUUUUUAGGCCUGUUGGGAUAGAUAGCUGUUGAGAUAAGUGCCAAUCAGUUGAAUGGUCAUACUCCUAGCGGUGUAUUCUUUUUAUUAUCACUGGGCUGAUUAUCUUAUGUGAUUUAUAUGCAGGAGAAGAAAAUGGAGCUAUACAGGGCAAUUGUCAAGAUGGAGCAAGGUGAUGGUGAUGGCACGCUUCAGGUACCUUUGCACAACCUUGCUGUUUAAAAAAUAUCUUUGCUCAACUUGUCUAAGAUCAUUUCCAACUGAAAUUUUCCGGAUCGUGUUGAUCGCUUCCAAUUAGAUCUUGAUGGGCUUGUGAAAACUCUCAAUGAGCGCUGCAAGAAGUACAGAUUACGUGGAAAGCCUACAACAUUAACUGAGCUUCCCUUUGGUAAGUUGAACUCUUAGCUAAUUUCUUGGGAAUCUAAGAAUAUUAUAUAUAAUGAUAAGGGUACUUACAUUAGCUUAUUCUUUAUCUAUCUGAUGGAUUGUACAUAGAACACAUUGUUUUUGGAUAUACUUUUGCUUUGGGUAGUCAAAUUAUUUCAAUUUAUUCAGAGCAUUUCUAUUGUUAAGUUAUCAAUAUCCUACACAGAAACCCUUAUUUUCACUAUUAUAAUCUUUUCUUAAUCACUGUGGUUUGUUGGAUUAUCAGUAUUCGUAUUCUAUGUAGCUUUCACAUUUUCUUUUGUGUUAUUGUUCACUGCUGCAGUAUUUGUACUAUGUUGCAUUUUGUAAUCUGAAAUUUUAUUUUAUUUUCAUAUAGGCUGGCAACCUGGCAUCCAAGAAGGAGCUGCUGACUGGGAUGAGGAUUGGGAUAAAUUUGAAGAUGAAGGUAUGCCAAAAAUGAGCUAUUAUGGUCCAGUAUUGUCUUUGAGAUAAUAAAUUUCUUGUAGCACUUAGAAUCCUUUAACCUUUUCACCUUGUGGUAAAUGGAUCAUAUUGCCUGCCUUUUGUAGUUUUUGUUGUCUGGUUGUGGUUUGCCAACCUGUUUAGGAGUUUUAACUAUUUGAGGUGACUGAUUCAGAAGUUUAAUUGUCAGGAUUCACUUUUGUCGAGGAGCUCACUCUUGAUGUGUCAAAUGUCUUGGCACCUCCAAAACAGAAAUCAUCAUCAGUUCAGAAAGAAAAAGCUCCCCCACUUGAGAGUCCAAAGUACAGAUGCCAAGGUUGAAAAUGGAGCAGCAUAUUAUAAAAAUGAGGACGAGUCAGCAAAAAGUGCUCCGAACUGUCCAUUUGCCAGCAGUACUGUUGGAAGCCCAUCUAGAGAAUUUUCAGAUUCUAACUAUGGAAAGACAACAGACGCAGAUGCCUCAUCCCGUAAUAAGGAAUCUCAAAGGUAUUGUUCUAGAUCUGUAGUUUUCUACAUAUUUAAGGUCACCCUGAUACGUGCAAAAUUGUUGAUAUUCUAAACUUUCAUGUGCAGUGAUGAUCAUGCGGGUGCUGGGUCUAUGUUUUCUGGUGACAAAGGUUCCGAUGAACCAGCAUGGGGGACGUUUGACACUAAUGAUGAUGUUGACUCGGUGUGGGGUUUCAAUGCAGUUAGUACCACCAAGGUAUGCCAAUAUUGUACAUUCAGUAAUUUUUAGUUUUUAUUUAUUUUUUAUUUUUUAUUUUUGUAUUUUAGAGUGCAUUCAGUAUUUAUUUAUUAGAACUCAAUUCUUUGACCUUGUGUUUAUGCUGACUGGAUCUUGCUCCAUGAUUGCUGUUAAUACCCACCUAGUUGUUUGAGGUGGUGACCACUUAUCCUUGUUUUAAGAGAUUGCCUCAAGUGUCCUAAUGCUUGCUGAGUUGUUUAGUUAUUAAAGAUGGUUCUGGGAAUUUUAACAUUAUUUGAAUAGUUUCUAUCUUCACCACUCUGAUGGUUUCAUCAUGCACAUCAGUUAGUAGUAGGGGUCUUUCAACCAAGUAUGGUGAAACCGAGUUUCCUGAUUUUAGUUUUGGUUCACUGUAGAUAUAAAAAGAAGGGGUUGCGGGAUUGUUCUUGGUGCAAUUAAUUGCACAUUGAAGGGGACUCUGAUUUAAGCCUUAGGUCUUGGUUAGUCUUAGUCAAGAUCUUUUUUGUGUUGACAACUUGACAUUGACAAGAGAUGGUGCCAUAUUGCGCACACUUGUCGAAUAUUGACGGUUUCCGGUUAACAAUGUAUUAAUCAUGGUUAAAAAUAGUGACUGGAAAAAGGAAAGUUAAAUUUCAAGUUAAAAAACUAGCAUUCAUUGUCAUGUUAGAAAUACUUCUUGCUAACAUUUUGUAGCCGAUGGAAAGUUUCCAUUAUUUUGCACCUUCCAAGUAGGCAUGGAUUCUAGGUUCCGGUGAAUCCACUUUCUUUUCUAAUAACAUGUCGGUUACGUAGCACUGUCAAGCUUUUUGUUUUUGUGGUUUUAUAUUUGUUGUUAUUGCUGGCAUGCUGGAUUGUGCUGUAACUGCUCUUAAUCGUGUCUGAUGUAGGAUAAGGAUCAGGAGAGUUAUAAGGAUCACUACUUUUCUGGCCCUGGGGAGUUCGGCCUCAACCCUAUCAGGACUGGGUCAUCACAAGGAGGUGGCUUUUCCCAGAAGAGCCGCCCUUUUACUUUCGACGAUUCUGUUCCUAGCACACCACUCUCAGCCUUAAGUUCAGGGUAUUCACCGCCAAGGUACAAGGAUAGCUCAGAACCUUCAUUUGACACCUUCUCUAGGUUUGAUUCGUUCAGAAGCAUACAAGAUACUGGAUUUUUUCCUCAACCAGAAGCACUCAGAAGAUUUGAUUCUAUGCACAGCAGUAGAGAUUUUGAUCAGGGUAAUGGUUUUCCAACAUUUGAUGACAUCCCAGACCCUUUUGGCUCUUCGGCGCCAUUUAGGUCAUCGCUGGACAGUCAAACUCCAAGAAGAGACUCAGACCCCUUCGGAUCUUCAGGUCCAUUUCGGACGUCACUGGACAGUCAAACUCCAAGAAGUGAAUCAGAUUUUUUCGGGUCUUCAGCGGCGCUGUUUAGGAAAUCAUUUGACAGUCAAACUUCAAGAGGAGACUCGGACGCAUUUGGGUCCUCUCCAUUUAGGACAUCAUUCGACGGUCAAACUCCAAGAAGAGACUUGGACCCAUUUGGGUCUUCAGGGCCUUUCCGGACGUCUCUCCGGACGUCAUUGGAGACUCCGAGAAAAGACUCUGAUCAUUGGAGUGCAUUUUAGUCAGGUAGUUGCUCGGCUUCGUUUUUGUGUCUGCCAUUCGCCGUUCCAAGCCUUUCUAUCGUGAGUGUUACGGGCCGAUGCCAUGUUUUAUGCUUGAAAUCACUGUGCUUGUAAUGUGUCUUUUGUAUUUCAUUUCUUUGUGUAUGCAACUCGCUUUGUCUUCAUUCUUUUUUCCUUUAGCUUAUGAUUUUUCUCCGUAAUUUUGGAAUGUUCCUAGUCCUAUUGAAGCGAAGACCCCUAUAGAUUUAUCGUUGUUACAAAUUUGAUGAUUGUAUUAUUAAACUGGGGCUGUGCCUUUCUUUUUUCGACCUUACUUGGCUGUAACAUUUUACCCCAUUAAUAAAAUUUGUUCUGCUGAUCUUUUUUUUGUUCAAACAAGAACACUGUUUUGCCGGUGUUAGUCCAAUUGGGUCAUUCAUAUUUUUCGCUCAUUGCAUCUCAGCCAUCGAACCAUCCUGAAUUUUUGUAGCAUUGAAUGUUCAAACUAUCGCUCUUGGUCGUGAGAUAUUUACUUUGCCCUGAGCUUUGCGUAUUAAUUAAUGUGAAAGUUUAUGCUAUAAAGACGAAUUGCAAGAUGCCGCUGGACUUGAUAAAAGAUAACAAACAUGAUAUUAAACACACUUGUCUAUAACAUUGCGCUUUAUAAUGUAUAAACAAUACUAAAAUAAUAAGAGCCUUGCCUGUUUGUCAGUCUUAUUUCUUGAACUUGCCACUCUCUUCAGCGCCGUGCAGCCUUCAGCGCCGUGCAGCCUUCAGCUUCGACAUUACAUUGCAGUGGGAGUUCUGGCAAAGAUUGAAGCCACUUGCAGUUGACUAUGUUGAGUUUAGACAACCGAGAAGCUUGUUUGAUGCUUGCAGGUAUGCUCCUAAUCUUGGUUCCAGACAGAUCCAAAAAUUCCAAUGAGGUUGAGCAAACGAGACCUUCAGGGAUUUCAACCAAACUUUCACAGCCAGAGAGAUUUAUGUUCACAAUUUUUAGACUCGCAUAGAGAUUUGGAACUUCAGUUAGAUUUGUUGAGUCAUGCAGAUCGAUCACUUGUAAGUUCACAAGUCU